CUGCUCUUCAUUAUCAGCACCAUGCACAUCAUGUCCUCUCCUACUUACAUGCUCAUCAAGAACUUGAUCAAAAAAUUCAUCAAGCUGUUUAGCCACUCUCUUUGCCCUACCAUACAUUCCAUUAACUGUUCCCAACCAAUCAAGCCAAGGUAUGUAGUCCCCUAUAACUGAAGCACUCAACAGCUCCAUCAUCUCAUCCAUUGGCUCCCGAAGCUUACUCCCUCCUUCUCCACUGUAUCUCCUUCCGAGAGCAGCUCUACACACUAUGUCAUUUGCGACUGUAGUAAAUAAAUCAGUUAAAUUCACAGGCAUCGAAGAAGAACAACACUGCUUAAUCUUAUCCAUCAUUGCGGAGAUUUCCUCUUCUCUCACUACACCAAAGGAUUGAACCUUUUUUGCACUGAGNNNNNNNNNNNNNNNNNNNNNNNNNNNNNNNNNNNNNNNNNNNNNNNNNNNNNNNNNNNNNNNNNNNNNNNNNNNNNNNNNNNNNNNNNNNNNNNNNNNNNNNNNNNNNNNNNNNNNNNNNNNNNNNNNNNNNNNNNNNNNNNNNNNNNNNNNNNNNNNNNNNNNNNNNNNNNNNNNNNNNNNNNNNNNNNNNNNNNNNNNNNNNNNNNNNNNNNNNNNNNNNNNNNNNNNNNNNNNNNNNNNNNNNNNNNNNNNNNNNNNNNNNNNNNNNNNNNNNNNNNNNNNNNNNNNNNNNNNNNNNNNNNNNNNNNNNNNNNNNNNNNNNNNNNNNNNNNNNNNNNNNNNNNNNNNNNNNNNNNNNNNNNNNNNNNNNNNNNNNNNNNNNNNNNNNNNNNNNNNNNNNNNNNNNNNNNNNNNNNNNNNNNNNNNNNNNNNNNNNNNNNNNNNNNNNNNNNNNNNNNNNNNNNNNNNNNNNNNNNNNNNNNNNNNNNNNNNNNNNNNNNNNNNNNNNNNNNNNNNNNNNNNNNNNNNNNNNNNNNNNNNNNNNNNNNNNNNNNNNNNNNNNNNNNNNNNNNNNNNNNNNNNNNNNNNNNNNNNNNNNNNNNNNNNNNNNNNNNNNNNNNNNNNNNNNNNNNNNNNNNNNNNNNNNNNNNNNNNNNNNNNNNNNNNNNNNNNNNNNNNNNNNNNNNNNNNNNNNNNNNNNNNNNNNNNNNNNNNNNNNNNNNNNNNNNNNNNNNNNNNNNNNNNNNNNNNNNNNNNNNNNNNNNNNNNNNNNNNNNNNNNNNNNNNNNNNNNNNNNNNNNNNNNNNNNNNNNNNNNNNNNNNNNNNNNNNNNNNNNNNNNNNNNNNNNNNNNNNNNNNNNNNNNNNNNNNNNNNNNNNNNNNNNNNNNNNNNNNNNNNNNNNNNNNNNNNNNNNNNNNNNNNNNNNNNNNNNNNNNNNNNNNNNNNNNNNNNNNNNNNNNNNNNNNNNNNNNNNNNNNNNNNNNNNNNNNNNNNNNNNNNNNNNNNNNNNNNNNNNNNNNNNNNNNNNNNNNNNNNNNNNNNNNNNNNNNNNNNNNNNNNNNNNNNNNNNNNNNNNNNNNNNNNNNNNNNNNNNNNNNNNNNNNNNNNNNNNNNNNNNNNNNNNNNNNNNNNNNNNNNNNNNNNNNNNNNNNNNNNNNNNNNNNNNNNNNNNNNNNNNNNNNNNNNNNNNNNNNNNNNNNNNNNNNNNNNNNNNNNNNNNNNNNNNNNNNNNNNNNNNNNNNNNNNNNNNNNNNNNNNNNNNNNNNNNNNNNNNNNNNNNNNNNNNNNNNNNNNNNNNNNNNNNNNNNNNNNNNNNNNNNNNNNNNNNNNNNNNNNNNNNNNNNNNNNNNNNNNNNNNNNNNNNNNNNNNNNNNNNNNNNNNNNNNNNNNNNNNNNNNNNNNNNNNNNNNNNNNNNNNNNNNNNNNNNNNNNNNNNNNNNNNNNNNNNNNNNNNNNNNNNNNNNNNNNNNNNNNNNNNNNNNNNNNNNNNNNNNNNNNNNNNNNNNNNNNNNNNNNNNNNNNNNNNNNNNNNNNNNNNNNNNNNNNNNNNNNNNNNNNNNNNNNNNNNNNNNNNNNNNNNNNNNNNNNNNNNNNNNNNNNNNNNNNNNNNNNNNNNNNNNNNNNNNNNNNNNNNNNNNNNNNNNNNNNNNNNNNNNNNNNNNNNNNNNNNNNNNNNNNNNNNNNNNNNNNNNNNNNNNNNNNNNNNNNNNNNNNNNNNNNNNNNNNNNNNNNNNNNNNNNNNNNNNNNNNNNNNNNNNNNNNNNNNNNNNNNNNNNNNNNNNNNNNNNNNNNNNNNNNNNNNNNNNNNNNNNNNNNNNNNNNNNNNNNNNNNNNNNNNNNNNNNNNNNNNNNNNNNNNNNNNNNNNNNNNNNNNNNNNNNNNNNNNNNNNNNNNNNNNNNNNNNNNNNNNNNNNNNNNNNNNNNNNNNNNNNNNNNNNNNNNNNNNNNNNNNNNNNNNNNNNNNNNNNNNNNNNNNNNNNNNNNNNNNNNNNNNNNNNNNNNNNNNNNNNNNNNNNNNNNNNNNNNNNNNNNNNNNNNNNNNNNNNNNNNNNNNNNNNNNNNNNNNNNNNNNNNNNNNNNNNNNNNNNNNNNNNNNNNNNNNNNNNNNNNNNNNNNNNNNNNNNNNNNNNNNNNNNNNNNNNNNNNNNNNNNNNNNNNNNNNNNNNNNNNNNNNNNNNNNNNNNNNNNNNNNNNNNNNNNNNNNNNNNNNNNNNNNNNNNNNNNNNNNNNNNNNNNNNNNNNNNNNNNNNNNNNNNNNNNNNNNNNNNNNNNNNNNNNNNNNNNNNNNNNNNNNNNNNNNNNNNNNNNNNNNNNNNNNNNNNNNNNNNNNNNNNNNNNNNNNNNNNNNNNNNNNNNNNNNNNNNNNNNNNNNNNNNNNNNNNNNNNNNNNNNNNNNNNNNNNNNNNNNNNNNNNNNNNNNNNNNNNNNNNNNNNNNNNNNNNNNNNNNNNNNNNNNNNNNNNNNNNNNNNNNNNNNNNNNNNNNNNNNNNNNNNNNNNNNNNNNNNNNNNNNNNNNNNNNNNNNNNNNNNNNNNNNNNNNNNNNNNNNNNNNNNNNNNNNNNNNNNNNNNNNNNNNNNNNNNNNNNNNNNNNNNNNNNNNNNNNNNNNNNNNNNNNNNNNNNNNNNNNNNNNNNNNNNNNNNNNNNNNNNNNNNNNNNNNNNNNNNNNNNNNNNNNNNNNNNNNNNNNNNNNNNNNNNNNNNNNNNNNNNNNNNNNNNNNNNNNNNNNNNNNNNNNNNNNNNNNNNNNNNNNNNNNNNNNNNNNNNNNNNNNNNNNNNNNNNNNNNNNNNNNNNNNNNNNNNNNNNNNNNNNNNNNNNNNNNNNNNNNNNNNNNNNNNNNNNNNNNNNNNNNNNNNNNNNNNNNNNNNNNNNNNNNNNNNNNNNNNNNNNNNNNNNNNNNNNNNNNNNNNNNNNNNNNNNNNNNNNNNNNNNNNNNNNNNNNNNNNNNNNNNNNNNNNNNNNNNNNNNNNNNNNNNNNNNNNNNNNNNNNNNNNNNNNNNNNNNNNNNNNNNNNNNNNNNNNNNNNNNNNNNNNNNNNNNNNNNNNNNNNNNNNNNNNNNNNNNNNNNNNNNNNNNNNNNNNNNNNNNNNNNNNNNNNNNNNNNNNNNNNNNNNNNNNNNNNNNNNNNNNNNNNNNNNNNNNNNNNNNNNNNNNNNNNNNNNNNNNNNNNNNNNNNNNNNNNNNNNNNNNNNNNNNNNNNNNNNNNNNNNNNNNNNNNNNNNNNNNNNNNNNNNNNNNNNNNNNNNNNNNNNNNNNNNNNNNNNNNNNNNNNNNNNNNNNNNNNNNNNNNNNNNNNNNNNNNNNNNNNNNNNNNNNNNNNNNNNNNNNNNNNNNNNNNNNNNNNNNNNNNNNNNNNNNNNNNNNNNNNNNNNNNNNNNNNNNNNNNNNNNNNNNNNNNNNNNNNNNNNNNNNNNNNNNNNNNNNNNNNNNNNNNNNNNNNNNNNNNNNNNNNNNNNNNNNNNNNNNNNNNNNNNNNNNNNNNNNNNNNNNNNNNNNNNNNNNNNNNNNNNNNNNNNNNNNNNNNNNACAUAUAUAUAUAUAUAUAUAUAUAUAUAUAACAACUAUUUUUUUAAUAAAAUAUUAUAUAAUAAUAAAAUAAUAAUCAUAUGAUUUUAGUAGAAUGGUUCUAGAUAGUAAAAAGCUCUUAAAUUCAAUUUUGCUAGAACUCUGUUUUUUUUUUUAUCUUUUUUCUUAGUAAUAUCUUUUACAACAAUAUCUAAUUUUCUCAAUUGUUUUGGUUUAUAUAAUCAUAAUAUUUUCCAUUUAUUCGAUGUUCUAUAAUUUCCUGAACAAAAAAGUAAAACAUAAAUACUUAUUAAGUUUAAUUUUCUUGACAUAUUGAAGAACUAGAAAAAGAAAAAGCACUAGGGAACAAUGGCAAUAAAAAUAUAAAGGUAAAAGUUCCAACCAUUUGCCAUUAAAUUAACAAUACAAGUUUUUUUAAUAAUAUAUAUACAAGUUAUUUCGUUUGUUUCGAAAACCCUAAAUAUUGGAGCCAAGGCUUUUCUAUAAUUGCUAAGUUUACUAUGUACGACCCAUUUGACCACGUGUUAUUUCUCGCAAACCUCCACUUUAUCAUUUUGUAUUGUUUUUUAGCUUUGAAUAUGAAUAUGCUAUGCAUGAACUUUCAGCUCUUCACCCUAAGAUCAUCUUAUGAUACUGAUCUUAUUUGAUAUAAUAAAUGUCAACGACCCAUUUUUUCUUCCCAAAAUAAAUUAUUUCAAUGACUUUUAAACUUAAAAUUGAAAAAUUGUUUAUAAAUUAUAUUCAAAUUCUAUUUAUAUUUUUUCACCAUGUUUAAUAGAAAAGAUGCAUUUUAAACUCCAUAUCAAAGACUAAACUCAUAUGAACUUUUGUUCUCCAACCGGUCAGGACUGAGAGAAUUAUUAUCUUUCUCUUUGCUUGAUCGGUCGUCUUCUACUUCUUCCUUUCACUGAAUGUCUUUUUUCUCUUAUUCACUGUCCUCUUCUUUGUAAAUUCCAAGUCCAGAUGGUACUUGGAAAAGACACCCCAACAUUCCGGUGAGAUCUUAGUAUUCGAUAUUCGGUGUAACUAAUGCGUGAUGAUGUCGUACCUUCUUCACGUAAAUAUAUAACUAUUUAUAUGAUUAUUAUGAGUUCUUUGUUAUUGUGCCGGAUUAGGAUUUUGGAUCAUAAUUUAGAGUGUAUUAUCUAAGCUUAAUGUGGGAGAUUUAUGCCCCAAUUUAUGAAUUUAUAUCAGAUUCAGAUAACGAGUAUCGGUCGUAUUGAAUUUGUGGAUCUUGCAUACAUGUGAUUAAAUACAUGUAAAAAUACGAUUGAUUAUGCCCCAAUUUAUAAUUGUAAAUUAAUACAAUUAUAUACAAUUACAUAUAUAUUUGAUUAAUAUAAUAUAAUUACGAGAUUAUUGAAAUGUUCAAUAGUAACUAAUUAUCUUGUUGGCAGUUAAUACUAAACCACGUUGAUAAAUAUAUAAAAUUAUAUAAUUAUUUGAAAUAUAGUUGGCAAAGUUUUGAUAUCCAAAUCUUAAUGGGAAAUAUCUAUACAUUUAGUUAGUCAUGAAACAUUGGGUGAAUGAACAUUACUCACCACAUUUACAUGAAACCCUCUCAUGUCGACACUGAGAUAACCCUGGUUAUUAUGCAUAUAUCAAAAUAAGAUAUAUAGUAAUUUGGACUUAUGAGAGAAAUAAAAGAAAAUUAAUUUUUGUAAUUUAAAAUUAAUUUAUAUAGAAAUUAGUUUGUACAAAAGUUCUCGUACAAUUUAUUUAAACAUUGCAACAAAUUAUUUAAUGCAAAAAAGUUAGGCUAAUUGUAUAAUUAAAAUUUAAUAAGAUUAAUCAAAUAAUGUAUCCUCAUUUCAUCUUUAUAUUGUACUCUUCUUUUUGACUUUUUUAAUAUUUAGGGGUAUUUUUUUUUAAUUUUUUGUUUAUUAUCGAAAUGUGGUUAGUUUGGAAAAAAUUACGUGAUUGAGAAAUCAUCUAAUAUGACAUAAUUUUAGUGUGAAGAAGUCAUGACACUGUGAUGCGAUUUUGACCAUAAUAAAGUCGUGUCAAGAUAACUUAACUUUAGUAUUAAGUACAAAGUUGUGUCAACCUUAACAUGAUUUUGAUCAGUGAUUUUUUUAGGUUACAACACAAUUUUAAUUUAUUGAUUUUUUUAAUAAUUUUAUUUUAACAAAAAUCAAAAUAAUUAAUUAAAUUAUUAAUUUGAUAAAUUUCUCAAAUUUUAAAAAAAUAAUUAUAUUUUAAUUGAAAAAAUAAUUAAAAAAUGGUAUUAAAAUUUCAACCCUAUUCGAACAAGUAAACUAAAAUUUAGUUGCAAAAAACUAGAUAAACCAAACCUACUAUAACCAAUAAAGGCUGAGGAUAUACUCCCUUAUAUAUUUUCUUAAGUUAUUAUGUUUAUCUAUAACAUUAAAUUCUUAUGCAAUUGUUAUAAGAGGAAUUUUUCUAUGAAUAGUGAACCCAAUACUUUUAAUCAUGUCCAAUGUCUGAUCCUCCACUGCUCCACUUGGCACUUUCCAAUUAAAUUGGUGAAUAAAGUUUUUUUUUUAUUAGUAAAGAAUGAAAUUGAAUUAAGAGGGAUACAAAAGAGGUAUCCCAACUCUUUUACAUAAACCAAACCACAUUAAGAAUCUCCAAGAAUAAAGAGAUGAACAAACACCCCAGAAGUAAUAGAUAGAUAAUGUUUGCUGCAUAAGCUAGACAUCCUAUUUCAGCUAGCACCGUGCUCGUAUUGGAAUGCUAUAAGCACUGCAAACUGCAGCUACAAAACCAUCAAAAUACACCAAAAUAUUGGUUAUCUCCACCACCUCAUUGACAUUCCUUCUACCCAGCUUGCAGUGGCACAAUUAUAACACUUGUCACAGAAUUAAUAACUUCAAUGCAACAUCUUCAAUUCGCUCCUUUUUGGACUUCGGCUUCCCCCUGCUUGCUCCUUUUAAGCUCACUUUUAUCAGAAACCAACUUCCUACUUGCCAGGGUCCAUCUCGCACUUAGAUUGGUUGGAGUUUACAACUUCGACUUACAUCCCCCAACAUGUCUGAAUCCCAACCACAACCUCUACUGCUACCAUCCACAUGUGAGACCACUAAUUGAUCAACAAACACACUUAGGGAUUUCCACAACAACCAAAACACCACAUAAAAAACAGUUUUUGUUUCCUGCAAAAAGAACCCUGAACCAGCAUACACCCUGCCUCUAUUGGUAUGUUAUAAGACACAUCAAAACAGAAUCCUCCAUCAUGUCCUUAACAUUCCUUUUGACUCCCUUGCAAACAAGCACAUAUGUCCUUUCCAUCUUGCACCAGCUGCAGGCCGUGACAAACCCACCAACACCUCCAACCAACUAUAAAUCCAGUAUAGGUCGUAGUCUUAAAACUCUUGGCAUCUGAGAGUCCUAAUUAUAACUUCUAAUGCAAAGCAUUGGAUUAAAAAUCCAGUCUACAAAAGAAUAAGUAAAGGAAUGCACCUUGUGCUUCAUCCAAAGCCAGGAUUUGAGUUGAGCCUUCUGAAACACCUCAUCCGCAUCUACUAGCCCUUUUUUGAAUACAAUCAGGUUCCUUUGGUCCUAGAUACACCUAAUAACAGAUGCCCAAACACCUUUCCAUACCAAGUUUUGCUUCUUCUAGCAUUGCUCAGAUAAAAACUCAUAAAGUGCAGAUUGAAAUCAUUAACAGAAGAGAUACCUAUCCAUUUGAAGCACAAGGACCAUACCCAUUGUGCGUAUUUACACUCCAAGAAGAUAUGUUGACAAGACUCCUCCUUAAGAUGACACAUUGCACAUAUCGCAGAUUCCAUCAUCACCCCUCUCCUACUCAAACUCACCCUUGUUGGGAUUCUAUCCAGCAACACUCUCCAAGUUGUCACGAUCACCUUUAGGAAUGCCUUAGUCUUCCAAAGGAGAUUAAACACAUCGGAUUGGGUUCCACGAGAUUGCUUAGCAAGGCACUCAUAAGCAGAAUUCACAGAAAAAUGGCCUGGUUCUUCGUUCCCCCACACUUGCACAUCCACGUCAUUCCUUCUCAUUAGUGCCCCUGAUAGUAGUGUAAAGAGGUAUGCUUCCAGUGAUGAUUCCCACUAAAAUCUGGCACACCUCCAUGUCAGCCUCCAUCUCCAGUCCGAAUUAAUCCACACGCCAACUUCACCCACUAUUUGCCCCUUGUUUAAGGAUAAGGAGAACAAUCUAGGAAACAAGGAUUUGAGAUCAGAGCUUCCAACCCACACCUCCUCCCAGAACUUUACUUUGUCUCCACACCCUAGUUUCCAGCUUAGUUCUUCUUGAAACCAUCCUUUUCCUCCUCCCUCUUUGCACACUUUAUAGAGAUCUUUCCACCACCAAGAUUGGAGUUUGACUAGUGUAUGGACGCCUCCAGGCUCUAACCCAUACUUUGAGUCCAAUAACUCCUUCCACCUUCCCUCCUCUUGAGAGAUAUAGUGCCAUCUCCAUUUAGCUAGGAGAGCAUGAUUUAACUUUCGUAUUUCUCUUAAACCCAAUCCUCCCUCCUCUUUAGGUUUGCACACAUCUUCCCAACUAACCCAGCAAAUUGGCUUGCUUUCCCCCGACCCCACAAGAAUCUCCUUUGGAUAGAGGUAAUCCUCUUAUAGACUGAGUCAGGGGCUUUGAAAAGGGAGAGAUAAUACAGAGGUAUAGCAGAUAUGACAGAGUUGAUAAGACAAAUUCUCCCUGCCAUGGAUAAAAAUCUCCCUUUCCACACACUGAGCUUCGCUUUUAACUUGUUAAGGACCGGAUCCUAGAACUGCUUCUUCCUGGGGUUACCUCCCACUUCAAGGCCCAAAUAUUUAAACGGUACUCCCAUUUGUUUGCAGUUCAACGUCUUUGUAUAACAUGCUACAUCACUACUUUGAACAUUGAUGCCUGCAAGCUUUGACUUAUGGAAAUUGAUCUUUAACCCUGAGGCUAAUUCAAACCCCCUUAGGAUGGCCUUCAAGGUUACCACAUUGUUGAAGGAGUCUUCACAUAGAAAAAUAGUGUCAUCCGCAAACUGGAGGAUGCACACCUCAAUCUCCUUCCUUCCAAACUUGAGGCCCAUCAACAAAGUGGUUUUGCUAGCACUUCUAACUAUCCCAGCAAGGCCUUCAGCUACAACUAGGAAAAGGAAGGGUGCAAAUGGGUCUCCUUGCCUUAACCCUCUAGUCGGCUUGAAUUCCUCCGUAGGGCUCCCAUUGACUAACACAGACACAGUGGCGGAUUCCAGACAUCCUUUAAUCCAUGCGAUCCAGAGGUUGUGAAACCCCAUCCUGGAUAGCAUAUCAUAUAAGAACGCCCAUCUAACCGAGUCAUAUGCUUUUUCGAAGUCCACCUUUAGGCACAACCCUCUUCUCCCACUUCUCCUUAAAUCCUCAACAACUUCAUUGGCCAUAAGAACACUGUCUAAGAUCCCUCUUCCUUUCACAAAGGUUGAUUGACAUUCAUCUAUCAAAGAGGGCAACACCUUCUUCAUUCUACUAGCUAAAACCUUCGAAAUAAUCUUGUACAUAGCUCCAACUAAUGAGAUGGGUCUAUAUUGCUCGAGCUUGGAUAGGUCCCUAACUUUAGGAACCAAAGCUAUGAAAGAGGCGUUACUGCCCUUCGGAAUACUUCCCGUCUCAUGAAACAGGGACAGCGCUGCCACAAAAUCUUCUUUUAGCAACUCCCAAUUCUUUUUGAUGAAGUUAAAGUUAUAACCAUCUGGGCCCGGACUUUUUGUACCUUCACACUGCCACACUGCAUCCGUAAUCUCUUUCUUAGAGAAAGAUGCUAGGAGACCCUCGUUAUCAGUCGGAGAUAGCGACUUGAAUUCAACUUCAUCCAGUCUUACCCCUAAAUCUUUCGUUGCUUUGAAUCUAGCUUCGAAAAGCUUCUUUGCUUCUGAACGGACAGUGCUUGGUUCCUCACACCAAUGGUCCCCCACCUGGACGCCCUUCACUUCGUUUCUGAGCUUUCUCCACCUCAAGGAGGAAUGAAAGAACCUAGUACAAGAAUCACCAUUCUUGAACCAGUUAGCUCUCGCCUUCUAGCAAUUGAGAGAUUCAAUUUUCUUAUCAUUCUCUUUCAGGAGACUAACCAACUCCAAUCUUUUCAAUCUAUCGUUUUCCACUAAACCCCCCAAGCAAUCUUGACCAUCUAGAGCCUCCAGAUCCUGUAAUAUCCUCCUCUUGGUAGUGUCAAGGUUGCCAAAAACAUCCAUGUUCCAGGACUUCAGAUUUGAUUUGAGGAGUUUCAGCUUUUCUUUAAUCUUCGUCAAGCCAUACCCCUGCACCGAGUAGGACCGCCAUUUGUCUUGCACCAUCCUACUGAAACCCUUCUCCAGGAACCAAGCAUCAAUGGUUCUGAAGGGUUUGGGACCCCAGUCUUUCUCUAUAGACUUAACCACCAUAGCACAGUGGUCUGACACUUCCCUUCUUAAUACAUAUUGCUUACUCAUGGGCCAAAGCUGCAACCACUCUUUUUACAAGCACUCUAUCAAUUUUACUCUUUGCCGUUACAUCAGGUUUAAACCAUGUAAACUUCUUACCUACUAGAGGUAACUCUAGUAGAAAGAUGGAGUCAAUGAAACUAUUAAAGCCAAUUAACUCACUUGUCUGCUCUCCCCUACCUCUAACGCCUUUCCUUUCACUUUUGCUUCUUACCGCGUUGAAAUCCCCACAAAAGCACCAAGCUGGUUCAUGGCGAGCCAUUUUUACUUUAGUAAGGUCCUCCCACAAACUCUUUUUACCAUUCAGCGUGCAUGGAGAGUAGACGUUUACCACCACACACCUAGAGGAUGAUUUUAUGUAAUGGCCAAAGAUGAUAAUAAAGCCUGUUCCCAUCAAAUGAUUUUCGUAUUCAAAGGCUUCUUUAUUCCACAUAGACAACAAGCUUCCACUUCCUUCGUCUCCUUUGUUAUGCAUCCACCCCACCAUAUUAUCACCCCAUAGAGAAAAGCAUCUUGUAUCUGAGAGUUCUUUGGACUUAGUUUCUUGCACACAAACAAAAUCUGCUCCCUCCCUUCCUAUAAUAUGUCUCAUAUACCGUGCCUUUGUGCCUCCCCCCAAACCUCUAAUGUUUAAGUUUACUAUAAUCAUAAAGACCCAUCCUUCUUACCCUCCUCGACAAUUCUCAUAAACUCCAAGUCUCUUGUUUCCAUACACGAAUAUUCCUUUACAACCUCCUGUUGAUCCCCACGACACCUGAUCCCUAUCCGAUUACUGAUCUCCUAGAGUUUUGACGGUUCCACCACCAGGUCAGAUACAAACAACCGUUGGUUACAGUUGUCAAUAUCUCCAUCAGACAAAGACGCAGAGGACAUACCUUGCCUAAACAGAAUAGAGCUACCAGUCUGCGAUAUUUUUGCAUGUAGUCUUGCGGAGCGCCUAAAAUAAUACUGGAAAGCUUACUCUUUAACUCUUUGCAAUAUAGACGUACCUGAAGUGAAAUUCAUGUAAAAAAGUUUAAAAAUUUAAUGAAGUUUAAAGUCGUUGAUAAAUUUAAGUAUUUUCAAUUGAAUUUCUAUUAAAUUUCUUGGUCUCUUGGAUACUAAAUUGUUUUUAUAUUUUUCAAUUGAGUUUCUGCUAUUUUUUUUUUUGUUAAUUGAGUGAUGUAACUAUUAUCUUAUCCCAUAACCUUAUUUAGUUGUCUCUAUAUGUUAUUUUGUGUUAAUAUUAAUUGAUGUAGCUUUGUGAUUAACAAAAUAAGUGAUUUUUAUUGUUGGUUGAGGGUAAACAAAAACAAAAUGAAAACUUGAAUACAAUUUUAAGAGAAUUUAGAACAAGCGUGAUGUUAAACAACAUAACAAACAUUGAGUUGGAGUUGCAAGUGAAGGACAUCCAAUAAUGAAAUCUAUUUGUGUCAGGUGGCUUUUAUUGCUUUUGUUUAAAACAAUAACGAACAACUUUUUUUGGAUGAGAUUGAAAAGAAAUUGAAAAUGAGAAUGUAUGGUAUGGAGGUAAACGAAAAAAAAGAGAAAAUUAAAAUGAAAAUCUAAAUAUGGUGUUAACAAGGAUAACAUUGGAGAUGCAUGUGAAGGUCCUGAAGGAUAAAAAAACUUACAACCAAUUUCUUUACAUUUGGUCUUACCCCUUAUUCUAUCAUUAUUGUUUUGUUGUUCAACCACACACUUGUUAUGCAGUCUCCCAACAUUGUAUUUAGAUUUUUCUUUUGCUUUCCUUUUCAUUUAUCCUCACCCAACAAUAAAAUAUGUAUAUUAUGUUAAUCACAAAACUAUAUUCUUUAAUAUUAUCACAAAAUAACAUGUGGAGACAACUAAGUAAAGUAACGGGCCAAGAUAACAACCACGCCACUCAUUUAACAGAAAAAUUAAAUAGAAGAGACUCAAUUGAAAAAUAUAACUUUUUUUAGUACUAAUAGACGAAGAAAAUUGAAUAGGGACUCAAUUUGAAAAUACAACAAAAAAAUAUUAAGAACUUGAAAUAAUUAAGUAUUUUUUUAAUAAUGAAAGAAACAUUAUUCAACAAAAUCAAAUACCAAUCAACAAGUAAAGUAGUAUAUCAACUAAAGAGGUUAUUUCUAAUAUUGUAUGAAUGCUAAAUAUACAAAAUUAAUGAGUAAACCUCUACUCUGAUUUUUGAGAUAUGUAAACGUCUAGCCUUAUUUCAUUGGUGAAAUCUCUUUACUUUUAGUCUUUUCUCACAUCAACUUUGACAUUAGGGAUUGAACUAAAUGAUGUUUUUGAAAAGUAAAUAUUUUAUGAAGUUAGAAACUAUAGUAGUGAUCAAUUGGAAAAUAUUAAGAACUUAUGCAAGAUAACACAUUGUAUUAAUCUUACUUACUAGGAUUAAAGUCUUUAUGGGCCUUUUAUUAGUUUGGAACUGAUAAGUGCCAUAAUUCAACUAUAUUUCAUACAAAAAGAUAGACACUUAUAAAUUUUAAUUGAUAAAAUAGUUAUAAUUCAACUUCUAAUUUAGGAAUAUGAAUUUUUUUACAUAAUUCUGAUUAUAAGAUGAAUGUGAAUGAUUUAUUUCCAAAUUGUGUUAAUUUUAUGGUUUUAGGGGAAAAUAGAGAUAAAAAGGUUAAAGAAGAAUGAACAAGUUAAAGACAAGAUGAAAAGACAAAGUUAGAACAUUGAAAACUCGCUCAAACUUGACCAAUGAUCGCUUAAGCGAGUUCACUCCCGUGAAGUUGGAUUUUUUCUCGUAAAACGUGCUUAAGUAAGUAAUAUCUCACUUAAGCGAGAUGUUCACUUAGCCCAAACCCAAUUAAGUUAAAUAGAAGGCGUGGGACAUAACUAUAUAUAUCAUUGGGAGGAUGUGGAGAGAUACAAAACCCUAGAGGAGGCAUCCGUCAAGGGGAAACAUCUUGGAUCUUCUUUUCUUGCUUUCAAUGUUUGUAAUGACCAACAUGAGUGGCUAAUUCUUCCCUUUGGGAUUGAGAGUAAUCUGUUCAAACUCAUGUAUUAAGGUGAUAUUCAUUUAUAAUUUUAUGUUUUUGAUUAAUGAUUGAUAUUAUCAUUUUAUUAUUAAAGUUUGAAUCUUGAUUCAUGAUUCUGAUCCUUAGAUUUGUCUGGAAAGUACUUCUAAGCAUCUGACCUAAAUGAUAAUGCUUAACAUAUUUGAAUGUUAGGAAUAGAUUUGAAAUGUUAAUUGCUUUAUAACAUUUGUUCGUAAUGAUAAGGAGUUUUUAUAAAUAUGCGAGGAAUCGAUAUUUAGGAAACUAUCUUAAUAAUUUUGUAUGCGAUGAAUCAAUAUGAAUGAUUUUAUAUGUGCAUUAAUGUCAAUCAAGAUGAAAUGUUAUAUGUUUUUUUUAUUAAGAAUACAAACGAGUGAGAAUGAUGAACCCCAAUCCUAAUUUUAGUAAUUGACUCAUCCAAAUCAUUUAUUUGCUUUUAUUUAAUUUUUUACAAAUCCAUCAUACAAGCUCUAGUGGUCUUCCUUCAAGCUCUAGUGAUUCAACCUUCUGGGAACGAAUGUGGCUCUUCCUGCGAUGACACUCCAAUGCUCAAGUCAGUAAGAGCAUAAAAUAUAAUGAGUAUAAUAUAAAAUAGAGUUGAGAGUACUCCAUGUGUUGUUUAUUAGAUUAGAUAUAUGAGAUGAUCCUUUCUGUAUAGUGUAAUUUGGUAUAUAUAGAUUGAAUUGUAACCUCUCCACCUUUAGUCAUGAUUAUGUCAUAAUUGAGUGAUUAAGGCUAAUUGAUUGAAAUCCCUUUAUUUGUGCUCCUUCAUAACGUUAGAUACAUAGGUCGGGAAACGACCAUAAAUGACCAACUAUCGGGCCAAUCCCAUGACCUAAGAUGCCCCCCAGCCUCAGGCGUAGGCCAAUGAGGCAAUGGUGAGUUUGAAGGUCGAAAGAUGAGCCAUUUGUUAUAUUCCAUCGGGUCAGGCCCAUGACUUAACAUGCCCCCCAGCCUCAAGCGUAGGCCAAUGAGGCUAAUAAGUUCAUAGGCAUUAUUUACAUAGAUCGGUAUCAAAUCCAUUUCACCACAUGAUUGGGCUAGAAACUUCUUUUACCUGCAAUAGAUAUAAGACAAUUACUUCUUGCACCCAAUCAAUUUUGACUGACACCCGACGAAAUUUUUAAAAUCCCAUUUUGCCCUCGUCUUUUUUAUUAAGAAAAACGGCGAUAACCUGGAUAUUGACCUCCGGAUACACGAGUCCGGAAGGCAUUGUUGUUCAUUCCAGAUAUAAAAAUGCGUAAAAAUUAAUAUUUCCAGUUUAAUAUUCUAAACACACAUAUCCGUAAGACAAAGAUUAAUUCUAGACACAAAUGUCCAUAAGUGGAAAAUGGGUUAUGGAUAAAUUUAUCCAGAAUUAAGCAGUACAGUGCAAACAACCUUGCUUCCGGACAUAGGCAUCCGCAGUAGAAAAUCACACUUUCGGAUACCACACAUCUGGAACCAACAAAAUGACAUCUGGAUAACAAUAUUCGUAGGUGAUUAAGCAAUCCGACUUAAAAUAUCUGGAAUGCCUAGGCAAAGAGAAAACUAAACUUAUGCGUGUCGUCUUCUCCGGUGACUUCGUUUUUCUCGUUCUUUGUCGCCUUCCAAUUCCCUCACAGAUGAUGUUGCCUUAGUCACCACAACAAUGGACGUCGCUCCUCAGUGAAGAUGAAGCGUCACUGCCUAAGUGAGAAUGCGCGCAAAGAAGAAUGAAAACGACAGUGGGUGGCUGCUGUGUGUGUUGGGUGCCUGGAUUGGGUGCACAUCCUUAACCUAAUUUUCAUUUCAUUAAGGACAUUUUAGUCUUUUCAAAAGAACGAUUGGGUACCAGUCAAAAUUGAUUGGGUGCAGGGAGAAUCUUCCUAGAUAUAAUUUAAAACUUACAAACUGGAACGAGUGAGAUCGACAUCCCCUUCCUAAACUAGAAGGAUCUUUGUUUCCAUUUUCUUCAUCUGAUAGAUCGCCAUUUCUUUCACUUGCAAAAAAUAUAAUAAUUUUUUUUGUACCUUAUCAGGCUCAGCUCCAUGAUCAAAAUGAAUUUUACUUGAAUCAAGUGUCUAGCUUGACACCAUGAUCAACAUGGAUUUUAUUUGGAUCAAGCGUCUAGCUUGGCACCAUGUCCUUUCAUGGUUUUACUCGACCGAGCACCUCACUCAGCACCAUGCCCAUCACGGUUUUAUUCGACCAAGAGCCGAGCUUGGCACCAUGUCCUUUCAUGGUUUUACUCGACUGAGCGCCUCGCUCAACACCAUGCCCAUCAUGGUUUUAUUCGAUCAAGCGCCGAGUUUGGCACCAUGUCAUUUCAUGGUUUUACUCGAUCGAGCGCCUUGCUCGGCACCAUGCCCAUUAUGGUUUUAUUCGAUCGAGCGCCUCGCUUGGCACCAUGUCCAUCAUGAUUUUACUCGACCGAGCGCCUAGCUCAGCACCAUGCCCAUCAUGAUUUUACUCGACCGAGCAUCUAGCUCGACACCAUUACCUUCAUGGUUUUAUUGGACCAAACAUCUAGCUCGGCACCAUCACCUUCAUGGUUUUAUUGGAUUGAACAUCUAGCUCGACACCAUGUUAGGUGAACACCAGUCCAUGAUUUUUUCUUCAGAUGAAUUAACCAAAGUUGAUCCCUUACAAAUUGCAAACUUGUACAACAUGUAGUAUAUUGAAUAAACAAUCUUAUUUUCAAUCAAGAUAAAUUUCAAAUAAAUCAUAUUGUACCAAACACAAAGUAGACAAAUCCGCAAAUUUUUUACAAAUACUUAAUUAGUUGUAAUAAAAACAUAGAUUACCCACGUUCCAUAUUCUUAGUAUAAGUCUCCUAUCCAAUAAUUUAGAAACAACUAAAUGAAUACUCUUCAACGGAAUGGCCAUGGUAAGAGAAAAUGUUCAAAACACAUAAACAUUCUAUAUUUUUUGUUAAUUGCUAUCUUUAAAUCUUGAAUUUCAACAUUUUAAUUUAAUAAACUUUCUAUCAAAUGAGUUUCCAAAAUUUAUGAGAUUCAUUAUUAUCUUUUGUUGAUCAAAAUAUAUUUAAUAAUGAAACAACAUAAUUCAUCCUUAGUGCAAAAUCUUAUGACCCAUUAGUGCAACGUGCCAACCCAUUAAUUUUGGUAUGCCAAAAUAAAGUGAAUUAAUAGUAUAUGUAUUCUCACUUAAGAUAAGAAUUAUUAGAAUAAAUAAACUUGAUAUAAAUUUGAACCUUCAUCAUUAUUUUUCACUCUUUCACUUACUUCUAUACUCUUUCUUAACAAAAACGUCAUUGUAAUAUAGCUAUUUUUUAUAACAAAAUGUGACAUAAUCUUAAAAGCUUUAAAAUUAAAAAGGUAGUGAUGAAUGAGUAAGUUGUAUAGGUAAAUAACCAAAACAUUAAUUUUUAAUUUUAUUUAUUUAUUUUUAAAUCUGUUAUAAAAUAAAAUAAUAUUCAGAAAAAGAUCAUAAUAAGUUUUCUAAUGUAUAUACAACAUAAAAGAUAAUUUUAUAGUAAAAGAAAUUUACCUAAAUAACAAUAAUAAAAACAUAUUUAAAAACUUGUAAACAUUUUCAUAUACUUCUAUGGUUUUACUUUUCAUCAAUUUUGAAAUCUUAAAAAGUUCGCCGUGUAUAUCAAUUAUAUUAAUGGAAAGCUAUUGAAUGAUAUUGUAACAUUUAAGAAAAUUCAUAGACACUAUAUGAGCAACAUAACAUUUCUUCUAGUUUUCCAUAAACACCUCUUAAAUAUUUUAACCAAAUAAAAUCCAACACAAGAGAAAUUCAAUCAAUAAAUAAUAAUAUUCAUUUAAGAAUAGUAAAAAACUUCUUAAAAUUCAGAAAAAAUACUAGAGGUUGCGAAGGCAAGUAAAUUUACGGAAAUUUAUUAUAUACACCAUUGCCACCCAAAAUCCUCCCAAGAAUUUACCUCACCCACCUUUAUAUCUUGAUCCAUUGAAAAAAAAAUAAAGUCUAGGAAACAAAAAUUUAAGUUUAAUGUUGUGUUCCCAGACGUCCUCCCAAAAUCCAACUUUAUCCCCAUUACCUACUUUCCAAACAACAACGUUUUUGAACCAUCAUUCUUCCUCUCCCUCCUCACAGACUUCAGUUAAAUCCCUCCACCACCAUGAUUGAUAUUUCGACUGAGCCAAACUUCUACCUCUUUUCGAGCCAUAUUUAGAUAUAAGGAUGUAUUUCCAUUUCCCUUUUUAAUCACUCAUUAACCGUCAUUUCCAUUUCGUCAAGAGAGCGCAAUUGAGCUUUCUUAUAUCAUCAAUCCUCAACCCACCUUCUUGAAGGGGCUUACAAACUUUCUUCCAACUUACCCAAGGGAUAGCCUUGUUAUCUCUGCCCCAGGCCCAAAGGAAUUUCCUAUGUAUACUAAUUAUACUACUGCACACUGAAGCUGGAGCUUUAAAGAAAGACAAAUAGAAAAUAGGUAUGGCGGUAAAGACCGAUUUAAGUAGGCAUAUUCUUCCUGCCAUAGAUAAAAAUCUCCCUUUCCAAGAGAUGAGUCUAGCAUUUAUUUUGUUGACAACAAGCUCCCAAAACUGUUUCUUCCUAGGAUUACCUCCAACUUCUAUCCCCAAGUAUUUAAAAGGUAACCGCAUGGUAUUGCAAUUUAAAGAUUUUGCAUAGGUAUUAAGGGAAUACCUGUCAACACAAAUACCUGCCAACUUAGAUUUAUGGAAGUUGACUUUCAAACCAGAAACGAGUUCGUGGCACCUAAGUAUCGCCUUGAUAGUGAGGAUAUUGGAGAAAGACUCGUCACACAAGAAUAAAGUGUCAUCAGCAAAUUGUAACAUACAACAAUCAACACAUUUCUUCCCACCUUCACUCCUUUGAGCACAUUCUGUUUUAAAGCUUAUCUCACAAGCCCGGCCAAGCCUUCGGUCACCAUAAGAAACAGGAAUGGGGCCAAGGGAUCACCCUGUCUCAGCCCCCUAAAAGGUUUGAAUUCCUCCGUGGACUACCAUUUACCAAAAUCGACACAGACGAAGAAACCAGGUAUCCUCUAACCCACGAAAUCCAUUUGCUAUGGAAACCCAACCUAUGAAGCAUAUCACGCAAGAAGUUCCACCUAACCGAAUCAUAUGUCUUUUCGAAGUCCACCUUCAAACAAAGCCCAAACCUCUGAUAUCUCCUUACCUCCUCAACCACUUCAUUAGCCAUAAGAACACUAUCUAACACACCUCAGCCACUCAGAAAGGCGGACUGACAAUCCUCUAUGACCAGAGGUAGAGCAUUUUUCAUGCGACACGAUAACACCUUAGUGAUAAUCUUAUAUAGAGCUCCUACAAGGGAUAUUGGUCUAAGUUGAUCAAGCGAUGAAGGAUCUCUUAAUUUGGGGGACUAAAGCAAUGAAACACACACACACACACACACAUAUAUAUAUAUAACGAUUUUAAUUAAACCAAGAGUCUUUUCGGCAUUUCGUUGAUACAAAACUCCUUAUGUCUGGGGGUUAGUGUAUUGUCUAGUUAAUAAUAUGAUCGAGAGGUUGAGAGGUUGAGAGGCCGCAACUAUAAGAAACUCUCACUCUACCAAAUAUCAUGUGAUUAAUAAGGAUCAAAAGACUUUAUUAUAAAAUAGGAAAAUGUAAAAUAAUGACCAGCCUUAAUACUAUAUCAAAGUCCAAAGAUUAAGUCCAAAAUAUUAAGAAUAAACUCAAUAAAUAUAAAGUACAAAAAGUAAAAGUCCAAUAAGGUUGAUAAAGUCCAAUAAAAAGUAGUAUAAAUAGGUGACUUGAUUAAUAGUUAAGUAAAGUAUUUUUAGAGAGAUUAUCACUUAAUCAAAUUGAUUCCUACUUUAUCAUCGAAACACCUUGCAAAUACACCCACAUGUCUGAGAGAACUGAGACCAACCUGUUCGAGAGAACCGAGACGAAUCUGCUUGAGAGAACCAACAUCCACCUGUUCGAGAGAACCAAGACCCACUUGUCAAAAGAAAUCGAGAGAUUGUGAAGAAGAGAUCACUGAAGUAUAUUAGAGAACGAAGGAGGAAGAACGAGAAGUUUUUUUUUAUCAGCAAAAACAAUAUAUAUAAUGGAGGUAUUUCAGGGAUACAUCAACCCGUAUACAUGGAACCAAACACCUGCACUAAGCUUUUAAACACUAAGCUCUCAAGCGUAACAUCUACCUUCUCACCCUAAAAACAUAACGGACGACAACACCUCCUAUACCUAAAGGUUCGUAGUCCUCUCAACCCCCCUCUCAGCUGGCAAACCUCUACCUUUUAUAAUUUUUAAUAAAUCUCAUACAUACUAGAGGUUCAAGACACCAGUUAGAGUAGGAAAAACAUGUUAAACGUACCUUCGCAGUUACCCAUGACCAGACCUUCAGUUGAGACAUGGUGAAAAUUUCAAGAUGGUCAAUACGUCCAUUUUUAAAGAUCUUCUUAUUCCUUUAUUUCCAAAAAUCUUCCAAAACUGCUAUCCACACACAGGACCAAACUUGGUUGAUGGUUUUGUUAGAAAUGUAGGGCUAAACAAGAGAGCGGGGUGGGGGGAGUGAAUUUUUUUGAAGCAUUUAUGGAUAAGAAUGAAAUUAAAUACAUAAUUACAGAUAAAACAAUCAGAUCAGCCAAGAAACAAAAUAUAUUUAAACUGGUUCCAGAAAAACAAUCGGUUAUUUCUGCGAAUCAAUCGAUUAUUCUUACCAGCACUUCAACAAGAACAUAUUUAAAAUAGAUUUAAAAAUAGAGAGGGAGAGAGAGAUUUACACACAAUGUUUUUAUAAUGGUUCGCUCAUAACCUGAGCUACAUCCAGUCCCAGAACAACCUUUGGAUAAUUCACUAUGUAAUCAACAACAAAUUACAAAAACAAACACAUCAAAGAGCCUAUCUUGAUACCUUCAAGACUGCACACCCUCUUUGAUGUACCACCACCACACACAGUUAGAACACCCUCUGACUUGAAAUACAACACACUUUACAGUAUUCAAAAGUAAACAGAAAUACAAGAAUGAAUAGGAAAGAUUACACUUGAUACAAGAAGAAAAACACAACUCCUAUUUCACUCCUUUGACCAAGGCAAAGCAUAUAUCAAUCUUGCAAUCUCUUUGAAAAAAAUUCUCAAGCUAUUUUCUGUAAUUUGAUUUAUGUGUUGUUAAUUGAGAUUCAAAACCCAGUUAUAAGCCCAUAAAAAUAGUUGUUUGAUUCAGUUAGACAAAGCCCAAAACAGAUGCAUAUCAAGCCAAAAUAGUUUUGACAGUUAAAACAUAAUCUGUUAUGUUUUUCAAAAAAACAAUCGAUUGAAACCUCGAUUCAAUAGAUUGAUAUGGCUUUGACUCGUAAAUUCAGCCAAUUUUAGCUUUUCAAAAAUCCAUUUCAAAACACCAAGUGUAAAACAACCGAUUGAAACGUAGAAACAACAGGUUGUUUUUCACUUACUUUGAAACAAUUUUCUUUAAAAGAUCUUGAUUGUUUCAACUUUGGAUUGGACUAAGAGUGAUUUAACAAAUUCUAAAUACACUGAACAAAAGCCCCACAAGCAACAACCCAGCUUUAAGCAUCCUUCUUGGAUUUGAAAUCAUCAAAGCUUCAUCUUCAACGGGUUUCACUUUCCAUAACCAUCCGAAAUUGUGAAAAAUGGAUUUUAGGGUCCUGGUGAACCACUGAUGCGAAGCCAACCCACUCAUAACACUUUGAUCAAACCAGCCAAGCUACCCUACAGAUGCAAAAAAGGUGGGAAGUUGUUUCCUCUUCUUCCCACACAUACAACACGUGUUACUUCCCCUUUAUUCACCAAAUUUACUUCAAUCGCAAUUUUAUUCUUCAGAAUUUUCCAGAACAAUAAGUAUUGAAGUAGUAGUUAUUAUUAUCUUGUUGAAAGCCUAUAAUAAUAAAUUUUAAUCAGAUAUUUGUGAGCGGUAAAAGUCAUCUAUAUUUAUAUGCUAGGUGUAUUUGUUCAAAAUAUGUAUACGUGAGAUGAUUUCAGCGUUAAAGAUAUGUAUGAAGCAAUAAUGUUAAACAUUAAUGAACCUUCUUAGAUACAUGGAAGAGAGUUUUACUAGUUAAUUAUUUAUUAUCAUAUUAUUUUAAAUUAUUUAAAUUUUUUUGAGUAUUUUUUUUAUCAGCAAUGAAUAAAUUAAAUAACAGAGAUACUUAAGGGGUAUCCCAACCCAUAUACAAACCCACAAGGUACUCCCCCUUGUGGUCUAGAACAAGAAACAACCAUUAUGUGGUAUAAUCUGCACUAUAACAACAAUCUGGGUACAGAUUCUACACCAGAACUUAAAAAAAAUCACAAAAAAACCAGCACCCCUUCCUGCAAUGUAGCCUUGAAAAAAGGAGGAGUACAUCAUGUAGCUGCAGCCACUAAGGAUUGCAUCGAGGGGCACACCAGCAUCACCUAACAAAUUAAAAUGACUGUGGCAGCAACCAUAUUAAAGAUAUAUAACCUUCCAAGUUAUGCAGAAAACUUGCCAAUUAGCACAAUCAUUGGUAGCACGAAUCAGACCUUACCAUAGAAUAUAUAAGCCCCUAGCCAACUUUAUAUCAGACACCUUAACAUAAACAGAAGCUCACUCCAACGUUGCCAACACCUUAAACUAUUCUUUUCUCAAUUCCAAAAUGACUUCAAGUCAAACGUGCCAGUCCUUUGCCAGUGACAAAAUUUAGGAUAGAUACAUAAGCGAGUCCCUCAGAGAGAAUCCCUUUUUCAUUUAGAAACACAGGGCAGUAUCUGAUAAUCUUCCGCAAAACCACUUCACCUUCCUCUAUUACAGUCAUAAACAAAAACCUUCCAGCCUCUACAUAGUUGAGCUCAAUUCCUAAACAAUCCACUACAGAUUCCAAAUAUUCAUUACCAAAAAACUCCCCUCUUCAAUAUAAAGUCUGUCCAUACUCCAGCCAAAACAAUACAUUCCCAAUUGAAAAACCACCUGCACCCCACCUUUUCCAUUACCUUCAAAUCCUUUUAGUUGGUUUGCGUGGCAACACCAUAUUACUAGCCACGCCUUUCACCCCUUAAAAGUACAUCAGCAGAGAGCUCCCCCUCAUAUUGAUAAUGUAUCCUUCCAGUUCUGAAUUCACAUUUAAUCACCCGCCAACAUUCUAUUACUUGAAGCUUCUACAACUAAUUAGUGGAUUUAGAAUCCAGUCCUUAGAGACCAAUGAAACUGGUAUGAGUGUAGUUGACCUCCAACAGCCACGACUCAGAUCAAACACCUUCCCCUCAGUAGCCUUUGGCAAGGCACACAACAACCCUACAAAAACUACUCCUCCGUGGCACCAAAAAGAUAAGUGCUUAGAAAAGUGAUUCAACAGCACCAACUACCUGCACAAAACCAGGGUUGAAAAUUUGAAAGUGGCCCUCCACUGUACAACUAGAGUCAAUCCCUCCAAAGCCUCAGGGGCAUGUUCUGUUCGUGCCCAACUACUCCAGCUUCAUCACAACCUUCUCACAAGAGAAAUAUGUUGGAAAAAACCUUUACAUCCUCACCACAACACCCCUUUUAACAGGAGGGAUUCCAAUAUAUCAGACAGAGAGCUCGCCUUCAAGAGCUCAGCUAUCGUCCAACACUCCACUAGCUGAUUCUGAUAACUGAACCUCUAAAACCGCCUACCAGCAACCACUCACUUUGAACUUCUAAUACAGAUAAUUGGAUUGAGAAUCCAGUCAGCAAGAGUGUAAUUAAAAGAGUGACUUUUGUGCUUCAACCAUUGCCAAGACUUGAGCUGAACCAUCAUGAAAAUCUCUUCCCCAUCUACAACACCUUGUUUGAAAACUAUCAAGUUUCUAUGGUCCCAAAUACACCUCACUAUGGUAGCCCAUACUCCUUUCUACAAAAGAUUUUGCUUGCUAUUCAGAUGUGGCAAAAAGAAGCUUUCAAAGUGUUUUGAUAGCUCAUUGUGUUGUACAAACGUAAUUCCUAUCCACUUAAAGCAUAACGUCCACACCCUCUGGGCGAAAGGGCAUUCAAUGAAGAUAUGUUGGCAAGAUUCCUCCUUCGUUUGGCAGAAAACACACAAAACUGUGUUAAGCAUUACCCCUCUCCUUCUCAGACACGUUCUAGUUGGCACUCUACCAAGGAGAACCCUCCAAGCUGUUAUAAUAAUAUUAGGAAACGCUUUUAUUUUCCAAAGGGGCUUGAACACUUCCUGAUGGGGGUUGCUGGCCCUCUUCGCUAGAAAUUCAUAUGCUAAACUAACAGUAUAGGACCUUGCUUCUUUGCCCCCCCACGUCAGUACAUCUCUCUGUUCCCUUGAAAGCCUUACCUGGGAUAUGUAGUGUAAGAGAUUAGUUUCCAACAAGGAUUCCCAUUCAAAUCUAUCCCUCCUCCAUCUCAAGUUCCACUGCCAUUCUGCAUCUACCCAUUCUCCUACCUCAUUCACCUUUAGACCCUGGUUCAAGGACAGAGUGAACAGCCUAGGGUAGAGGGACUGAAGGCUGUUGUUUCCUAUCCACACAUCCUCCCAGAAUUUCACUUUAUCGCCGCCUCCAAGUUUCCAUGCAAUAUGUUGCUGGAACCAUCCUUCACCUCCUCCCUCUUUACAUACUUUUUGGAGGUCUCUCCACCACCAAGACUGUGUUUUCACUGGGGUACGCAAUCCUUCUGUGACCAUUCCAUAUUUUGUAGCCAGCAAGUCCUUCCACCUACCUUCCUCAUUUGACACUAACCUCCAUCUCCAUUUGGCCAAGAGGGCAAGGUUGAAUUUGCGAAUAUCUCUGAUCCCCAAGCCACCAUCCUCUUUCGACUUACAUACAUCUUCCCAGCUAACCCAUUGUAUCAGUCUCUUCUCCUUCCCCCACCCCCAUAGGAACCUCCGUUGGAUACUGGUAAUGUUCUUAUAUAUUGACUCUGGUGCUUUAAAAAUGGAUAGGUAGUAUAGCGGGACCGAGGAGAUAACUGUUUUGACAAGAGAUAUUCUCCUUGCCAGAGACAAGAAUCUUCCUCUCCAACCAUUGAGUCUAGCUUUCAGUUUGGUUAGAACAGGCUCCCAGAACUUAACCGUCCUUGGAUUUCCUCCCACUUCUAAGCCUAGAUACUUGAAGGGAACUCUCAUCUGAGCAUAAUUCAGCAUCUUUGCAUAACUUGCCACAACAUUUCCACCAAUGUUUACUCCAGCAAUCUUAGACUUAUGAAAGUUUACCUUAAGGCCUGAAGCUAUCUCGAACCCCCUUAGAAUUGCCUUCAAGGUUACCACAUUACUAUGUGACUCCUCACAUAGAAAAAGAGUAUCAUCUGCAAAUUGCAGGAUACACAGUUCUACCUCCUCUCUACCAAUCUUAACCCCUGACAACAGACUGGCCUUAGUUGCUUGCCUUACUAGCCUAGCUAGCCCUUCUACAACCACAAUAAAGAGGAAAGGUGCCAAUGGGUCACCUUGCCUUAAUCCUCUUGUUGGCUUGAACUCCUCUGUUGGACUCCCAUUCACUAGCACAAAGAUGGUAGACGAUUUCAUACAUCCUCGCAUCCACAUUAUCCACUUAUUGUGGAACCCCGUGCAGAAUCUUUACGUUGGGCUCGAUAAUUUUCGUAAGGUAUCAAUUUUGUCAAAAAAUUAAGACUGAAAGAAAGUUACUUAUUUGUUCACUUAUUUCUUAACACGCGUUCCCAUUAUUUUCAAUCCGAAGAAACAUGAAGUGCUUAUGGAAGUGCGUAUGACUGUUCUUGAUUUUGUUUUCAAAUACAGCACGCAUGUAGCUUCGUUUCCAAGACAUUUUAAUUAUUAGAAAAUUCUUGAUGGUUCUUGGUGGUAAAAAGCUCUUACAUUCAAUUUUACUAUAACUCUUUUUUUUUUCUUUUUUCUUUAUAAUCUUUUAUGCAACAAUAUCUAUUCAAUCCUUUUUUUCUCUCAAUUUUUUUGUUUAUAUAAUUAUAAUCAUUUCCAUUUUAUCCGAGGUUCCACCAAAUACUUUUUCUAACUCAUUUCGAAUAACACAAUCCUUUGUAUUAACUAUUCCUCUUCCUUUCUUGAUUUAUCUAUUUUAGAUAUAAGACAUGAUUAACUUACCAUUUACAAUAGAUACACUUUCCAGGAAAAUUCUAUAGCAAAAACACUGCUAAAAAUUCUGAGACAAAUUUUAUGUCUUUGGUCUAUAAUAAUGGUGUUCCUUCCCAUUUUACAUCCUUUGUCACAAUUCCUAUGAAAGAAGAUUUAAGGUAAUAGAGUCACUUGAAACACCAAUGUGAAUAAGAGAAACAUGUCUUAGAUAUAUGGUGUGCUAGCUAUUGAAAUGAAGGAAGCACUUAAGUCAUUAUUGGUAGAUAAAAGAAAACCUUCCCAUAAAGAGAGAAAGAGAGAGAGAGAGUUGACCAAAUUUUAGAAAAUAGAAUCAUAAAGAUCACUUAUCAAAUAUUACACAUAAAUUGAGGACAACUUAUAGUUACAAUAGCAAAAUAACAAGAACAUGAUAAACCAUUGUAUAUGGGCUGAGAAUAUAAUCCCUUAUUUUUUCUUCUAAGUUAUUAUGUUUAUCUUUAACAGUAACUUCUUAGGCAUCAUAGGAUGCAAUUGCUAUGAGAGGAAAUUUUCUAUGACUGGUCAAGCCAUUAGUUUCAGUCAUGUUCAAUGUCUGUUGCCCCACUUCUCCGCUUGGAACUUCCCAAUUAAAUUGGAGAACAAGGUUUGCUAGGACCAGCUCAAUCACAUUCAUGGCAAACAUUAUUCCUGGACAACCCCUCCUCCCUGCUCCAAAUGGUAUCACUUCAAAAUCAUGUCCUUUCACAUCUAUUGAACUAUUUAAGAAUCUCUCUGGCUCAAAUUGUUCAGGUUUAUCCCAGUAAGAAGGAUCUCUUGCAAUUGCCCAAGCAUUAACUAUUACUUGUGUGCCAGUUGAAAUGUCAUAGUCCAUCACUUUGGCAUCUUCCAUGGAUUCCCUUGGAAGCAACAAGGGAGCUGGGGGAUAUAAUCGAAAAGUUUCUUUAAUCACUGCCUUCAUAUAAUGCAUACUAGUUAAAUCUUCCUCAGUUAUGCGACUUCUGCCACUAACCACAUUCCUUAUCUCACCUUUUAGCUUCUGCAUCACAGUUGGGUGCCUUAGGAGUUCUGUCAUUAUCCAUCCUAGGAUUGUGGAGCUAGUCUCAGUGCCUGCAGAAAACAUAUCCUGAAAGAAAUACCCAUCAAUUGUCAAUUUCAUUGUCUACCUUGAAUUACCAUGAACGAAAAUAAACUCAACAUGUAUUAUGAUUCUGUGCAACUAAUGUGACUUAACUUUUUAUUGGGAAAAUAGUGUAUAUGUCUUGAACGUUGAAAAGAAAUAACAAAAUCUAAUACAGUGUUGAGAGACUAUAGAAUAAGGAUAGGAUUAGAGUUGUGCGUGAAUAUCGUGAAGGAUAAAAAAGACAUACAACUAACCUGUUUAUAAUUUACCCUAACCUUUAUUUUAUUGUUAUUGUUUUAGAGUUUAGGUUUUAGGAAAGAAAAUAAUAACAUAAUAAAAUAACAAUCACAUUAAUCAGUUAAAAGAAAAAUUUAACUUUUGAAAAGAAUUUUUGAGUAAUAGACAACGAAAUUUAAUAAAAAUUAAAAUUACUGAAGUUUAUUAAGAAGCAGAAACUUGAUCUUUUUUAAUAAUAAAAUAGAUAUAUUCAACAAAACCCAAUAUCAUUUAACAAAUAUUUUACAAUUAAAGAGAUUAUUUAUAAUAUUGUACUAAUGCUAGAGGUACAAAAUUAAUGAGUAAACGAGUAAACCUCUGCUUUGAUUUUUAAAAUAUGUAAAUAUGCCAACUUAUCUUAAAACUUUCACCAAAGCUUGCUUUAGCCCUUAUUUAAUUUGUGAGAUCUCUUUUCUUUUGGUCUUUUCUCCUAUCAUCUUUGACAUUAAGAAUUUUAGUCUUUUCUCACAUCAUCUUUCACAUUAAGAAUGAGCUUAAUGAUGUUUCAGAAAAGUAAAGAUUUUAUGAAGUUAGAAAGUAGAGUAAUUGUCCAUUGGAGAAUAUUAAGAACUUAUGCAGGAUAGCACAUUGUAUAAAUCUUACGUACCAGGAUUAAAGCCUUUAUGGUUCUUUUAUCAAUCUGGAAUCCCAAGGAGUUUGUCUCUUGGAUCCUCAACAAAAUGUCCACCAAAUCAUUCUUCUCUUCAUUAUCAGCACCAUGCACAUCAUGGCCUCUCCUACUAACAUGCUCAUCAAGAACUUGAUCAAAAAAUUCAUCAAGCUGUUUAGCCACUCUCUUUGCCCUACCAUACAUUCCAUUAACGCUUCCCAACCAAUCAAGCCAAGGUAUGUAGUCCCCUAUAACUGAAGCACCCAACAGCUCCAUCAUCUCAUCCAUUGGCUCCCGAAGCUUACUCCCUCCUUCUCCACUGUAUCUCCUUCCGAGAGCAGCUCUACACACUAUGUCAUUUGCGACUGUAGUAAAUAAAUCAGUUAAAUUCACAGGCAUCGAAGAAGAACAACACUGCUUAAUCUUAUCCAUCAUUGCGGAGAUUUCCUCUUCUCUCACUACACCAAAGGAUUGAACCUUUUUUGCACUGAGAAGAUGCAAGACAGAAAUACUCCUUAUCUGCCUCCAGUAGUUGCCAUAUGGAGCAGUUGCCACAUCUUUGGAAUCAUACAACAAGAUAUCGAACAUCUUACGAUGUGGUCUGUUGGAAAAAACAAGGUCGUGUGUUUUCAUAACCUCACGAGCUGCCUCAGCUGUGGAAACCACAAGAACUGGCACCCUUCCAAAGUGAAGUAACAUUAAAGGGCCAUAGGUUUGAGCAAAGGAUUGGAGAUUGCGAUGAGUGAGGGCGCCAAGUUGGUGGAGAUUUCCUAUUAUUGGAAGCUUUGGAGGAGAUGGUGGUGAGAUUUUUUUGCUCCUUGCAGAAUUGAAAUUGUGAUUACAUUUGGAUAAAAGAUUGAUGAGAGUAGGUAAAAAGAAGAUGAUUAAGGUAGCGAUUGGGAGGAAAAACCAGCAUGAAGAGUUUUCAUGCAGAGAAGUGAACAUUGUGUCGUGUGUUUUCUUUAAUUUGCUGUAUAAUUAAUUAGCAAUGCAGAACGAGGUAUUUAUAAUGUUUGUAAGCUAGGUGUAUUUGUAUACGUUUCUUAGAUUUUUUUUUUUUUCAAAUACAGUACGUAUGUAGUUUCCGUUCCAAGAUAUAUUUAGAGAUUACGUGAAUGAUUUGAAAGUAGGAAAAUGAUACCUCUUAACACCACAGUUCAUUAAAUAUAUAUCUAACUAACAACUAAUUUUUUAAUAAAAUAUUAUAUAAUAAAAAAAUAAUAAUCAUAUAUGAAUGUAGUAGAAUGGUUCUAGAUAGUUAAAAGCUCUUAAAUUCAAUUUUGCUAGAACUCUGUUUUUUAUUCUUUUUUUUAGUAAUAUCUUUUGCAACAAUAUCUAUUCAAUCCUUUUUUUUUUCUCAAUUGUUUUAGUUUAUAUAAUCAUAAUCUUUUCCAUUUAUUCGAUGUUCUAUAAUUUCCUGACCAGAAAGUAAAACAUAAAUACUUAUUAAGUUUAAUUUUCUUGACAUGUUUGAAGAACUAGAAAAAGAAAAAGAAUUAGAGAACAAUGGCAAUAAAUAGAUAAAGGUAAAACUUCCAACCAUUUGCCACUAAAUUAACAAUACAAGUUUCUUUAAUAAUAUAUACAAGUUGUUUCGUUUGUUCAAAAGCCCUAAAUAUUGGAACCAAGACUUUUCUAUAAUUGCAAAGUUUACUAAAAUCACAAUGAUUGUAAAUUUUAUCUACGAUUCAUUUGACCACAUAAUAAGAUACGUGUUACUUCUUGCAAACCUCCACUUUAUCAUUUUGUAUUGUUUUGCUGAUAAAAAAAAAUAAAAAUCAUUUUGUAUUGUUUUUAAGCUUUGACUAUGCUAUGCAUGAACUUUCAGCUAUUCAGCCUAAUCAUCUUAUGAUAGUGAUCUGAUUUGAUAUUAUAAAUGUCAACGAGCCAAUUUUUUUCUCCAAAAUAAAUUAUUUCACUGACUUUUAAACUUAAAACUGAAAAAUUGUUUAUAAAGAUUAUAAUCAAAUUCUAUUUAUAAUUUUUCACAUGUCUAAUAGAAAGAUGCCUUUUAAACUCAUCAUCUAAAUUUAAUUGAAAUUUUGUUCUCGAACAGGUUUUGAUUAAAAGAAUUAUUACCUUUCUCUUUGGUUGGUCGGUCGUUUUCUACUUCUUCCCUUCACUGAAUGUCUUCCUUCUCUUCUUCAUUGUCCCCUUCCUUGUAAAUUUCAAGUCCGGAUGGUAAGUACAAAAGGCACUCCAAUAUUUCAGUGAGAUCUUAGUAUUCGGUGUUCGGUGUAAUUAAUGCGUGAUGAUGACGUACCUUUUUAUCGAAAUCUAUGACUAUUUAUAUGAUUAUCAUGGGUCUUUUGUUAUUGGGUCGGAUUAGGGUUUUGAAUCAUAAUUAAGAGUGUAUUACCUAAUGCUUAAUCGCUGUUUGAUCUUGUUCAUCUUCUGUUUGUCUUAAUGAAUCUGAUCGUGUCGGUCGGCUCUAGUCGGAUGUUGAGACCUCCAUCUAUCAUUCGGAUCCAAUCGGUACAACUUUUGUUACAAAUUAAAUACACUAAAAGAAAAUGAUUAAAUAAAAUCAAUUUUUGAGACAAAAUAUAAUUAGUUGCUAUAUUGAUUAAAUUAGAUAUUAUUUUAGAGAUUAAAAAAAUUAUUGAUAUCUAAAUUUGUUUUUAUUAUUGAUAAAUAGUUUCUAAAUUGGUAUCUACACUACAAUAAAAAAUUGUUUUAACAGAGGUUUAAUUUUACAUUACCAAAGGUUAAAACCUUCGUUAAGUCAUUUAUCCUAGGUUGCAGUUCCUACGCUAAAUCAUCUAUGGGGAACGUGUUACCUGGGGUGUUUUAAAACCCCUAAAAAAAUCAGUAUUAACCUUAGUUAAAUACAAUUGGUUUAAGAACCUCCAUAAAAUACCAUGGGUUUGAGAACCUCCGUAAAUACCAUGGGUUUCAUAGCCUCUUUAAAAUAUUAUGGGUUUCACAACCUUUAUAAAAUACUAUGGGUUUUAAAACCUUCGUAAAAUAGUAAAAGUUUCAGAACCUCCGUAAAAUAUCAUGAGUUUUAAAACCUCUAUAAAAUAUCAUAGGUUUCACAACUAUAAACAUUCAUGUGCUUUAUGUAUUUUUUGAAUCAUUUAUCAUUUAAGCAUUUACGUGCUUUUUAACCAAAAUUAAUAAUUUUUUCGUGCAAUACUUGUUCCAAUUCUCACAACCUCUAAACUAAUAUGAGUUUCAGAACUUCCUUAAAAUAGCAUAGGUUUCACAACUAUAAAUAUUCAUGUACUUCCUGUGUUUUUUUUACUUAUUUAUCAUUUAAACAUUCAAGUGUUUUUUUAACCAAAAUUAAUUACAUUUAUUGUAUUUAUUUAUGUUUUAAAGUACUUUCUUAAUGACAUUAAAAUGUUUUAAGUUAUAAAAAAAUAUUUUUUAUCCACUUAUAUUAUUAUUUCGUGCAAUUCUUGUUCCAAUUUUUACGACCUUUAUAAAAUAAUAUAUAUUUAAAAAUCUUUGUAAAAUAUCACAUUAUUUUAAAACUUCAUAAAAUAUCAUAACUUUCAAAACUAUAAUAAUUCAUGUGCUUAUGUGUUUUGUUUAUCAUUUAAACAUAUACGUGUAACCAAAAUUAAUUUUAUUUAUUUAUUUAUCUUUUAUAAAGUACUUUUUAAUGACAAUAAAAUAUCAUAAUUUAUAAUAAAUAUUUUCUUAUCAACUUGAAUUAUUCUUUCGUACAUGUUCCAAUUUUCACAACCUCUCAGAUAGUACAAGUCAACAUUGUAUUGUAUUGUGUGUAUCUUUAAUUUGCUGUAUAAUUAAUUAGUAAUGCAGAAUGAGGCAUUUAUAAGCAUUGGAAGUCAUCAGUAUUUGUAAGCUAGGUGUAUUUUUGUAUACGUUUCUUAGAUUUUUGUUUUCAAAUACAGACGUAUGUAGUUUCUGUUCCAAGAUAUUUAGAGAUUACGUGAAUGAUUUCAAAAUAGAAAAACAAUACCUCUUUAAUACCACACUUCAUUACAUAUAUAUAUAUAUAUAUAUAUAUAUAUAAUAACUUAUUUUAAUUAAUAUAUAAUAAUAAAUAAUAAUCAUAUGAUUUUAGUAGAAUGGUUCUAGAUAGUAAAAAGCUCUUAAAUUCAAUUUUGCUAGAACUCUGUUNNNNNNNNNNNNNNNNNNNNNNNNNNNNNNNNNNNNNNNNNNNNNNNNNNNNNNNNNNNNNNNNNNNNNNNNNNNNNNNNNNNNNNNNNNNNNNNNNNNNGUAAAACUUCCAACCAUUUGCCAUUAAAUUAACAAUACAAGUUUUAUUAAAUUUUUUUUAAAAAAAAUUAAAAUAAAUUUAGUGGGACACUUUAAGGAUGUUCCAACCCUUUUACAAAUCCAUUAAGCAUCUAGCUUAGAUGCUUAAUAAACAUAUACCACGAACAAAUCAGGUUCAGGUGCAUAGAAGCCCCUGUGAACAACUAACAAUAUCUAAGUUUCUAGACGUAGCACAAAACAGGGACCCAGGCAUCAACACAGCAGCUUAAAAGCACCCCCUUAAGACAAAAAAUCAUGCUAAAUUAUGGAUUCUAAUUGUUGUUUGCACGGUCCUAAACAAGAACACGAAGUAGCAAGUUUGCAAAGUCAAACCAGUAAUUGCCACCUCAACCAACUCCUUGCACACAACUCCUAUUUCAGGUCACGUUACCCAUCCACUUACAGAUGCUUAGUCUAGCAUAAAGUGCAUACCAAGUGCUCACCAGAAAAAUCUUAGAAGAGCCAAAUAACCUGAUAUAACACAACACGGUAUCUUCAUUGCUCCUUCACGGCUUUGGACAUACCUUGAUGGAGAUCAAGUAGAAGAGGAUUUCACUAAUGGAGGAAGGCCUUCCACCCAAGCAUUUAAAGUUCUUCCUUCUAGUUUUCUCAAAAAUAAAGAAGAAAUUAAAUAAAGAGAGGACCAAACUUAAAAGAAGACUACAAGCAUUCAAAAAUGGGCUCCAAUUAAUAUCUCUCUUUGUAAUUUUCUUUUGUAUAAAAUUGUAAAACAUAUAGGAGUAGUGUUUAGGAAGGUGCUAAGAGGGAAACCAAAAGACACCUCCUUUGUAUAACACUUUAGACGCUAGUUUUGGUAGAAAGAGACUAGAAAAGUGCCUUUUCACACUCCUUCUCUCUUUAGGCGCUAGAUUGUCCUAGAAGGAAUUAGAAGGUGACCUUUCAAGCUUCCUUCUCUUUUGUAAAUUUGUGACUAGCCCUCUCUAUUAUAAAAGGGGUGCUUGGGUCUUUGAAAUAAGAAGUUAAGAUUGAUUUUUGAGAGUAAAGAACCUCUACCAAAUUGGUGAGUGAUUGAGAGAGACUUGUGUCUUCUUCUCUUCUAGUCUUAUCUUGAGUGAAUUCUUGGGCUCUCAAGUGACGGCAACAACACUCAUCUUGAAGCCAACCAUUUUUCAAGUGGCGUGCACAAUUCCAAGAGCUCCAACCACAUAAGUUUCCUUGUCCUUUUCAUCUUCUUCUUCCAUUUCCAUUCAAAAAACAAACUCUAAAACAUGUCUUUGUUGUUUCUUGUUGAUUCAAUCGAUAGAACUUGUUUAGUUUGUGUUCAUGUUCUGUAGAUUGUCUUAGUUUGCUGUUCUUAUGGUUUUAAGUGUGUUUCUUGAAGUUUUAAUCGGUGCAUUUGUGUUCUUCUUUGUUACAUUCGGUUCAUAUGUCCAAAAACGGGUUUCUAUGUGAGUUUGGCUUGGUUCUUGUGAUUUGGUGAGUUCUUGAAUGAUUAAGAAGAUUGAUCCAAUUCUUAAAAAGUGCCUAAUCAUAUUCCAACUCUUAUUGAAUCCAUAACAUGUUCAUAUCAUAUCCCAAUCAUGUUCUUUGGUUCACAUCAUGUGGUAUCACAUCAUGUGGUAUCAUGAGUCUUAGGUGUGUUCUUGUGUGUUAGAGUUGUUUUUUGACACUUUUAAUUCAAGAAAUUUACAUUAGCAUUCUGUUUUUACUGUUUCUUUGGUAUUUCUUGUUGUUUUCUUGUUCUUAAUACAUUGUGUUUGUGUCAUUUUGAUUUUUGAGUCUCUAUAAGUUUUGUCAAAGUCAUGUUUCUCCAAAAAUGUUAUCAAUUCUAUGUAGUCCUUUUGUUGAUAAUUUUGGUUUCUUGAUUUUUUAUUGAGUGCAGUUUUAUGUGUUUUUUUCUUGAUCCUUUGGUGCCUUUUCUUUUUAUAUUUGAGUUCUUACUUGUAUUUUAGAUCUAUACAAGUUCUUGAAACAUCAAUUCUAUUAUGUCUUUUGAAGUUCUCAAUUCUGUUUUUCAUUCCAAUUAGGUUUCCUCUGUUUUCUUGAAAAUGUGCUGACUGUUUCGAUUUAUUACAAUUUCUGUGAUUACUAGAAAAUUCUGAAAUUCUGGAUUUGAGUUUUUGAGAGUGUUAUAAAAUAGUAGAAAAAAGAAGUCAGUCAAAAUUCCAAGUACAAAAAAAUGAUAAAUCAAAUAUGUCCAGUGUGUAAUUCUGGCACAAAAAAAUACGGUAAAGUGGCAGUAAUUUUGCAAAAUUUAUCACAAUUAAUUGGCGCAAUAUUUUGUGUGAUUCCAGUGCCAUUGUUGAGAUAAGAUCUUCAACUUUCAUUGGUUUAAAUUUUCAGCUCCAGUUAAAUCUGUAAAGUCACGCACAGUUUACAUAAAAUUCCAGUAGUUCUGUUUUUUUUUGUUUUCUUCAUCUAUUCUAGUGCUUUUCUUUAGGUUUCUUUUGAGUGCCAUCUUUUAAUUGAGUAUCUUUUUUUUUUAUUGUCUUUUCUUCACUAUUCUUUGAGUUUGUCAUAUAUCUUGUAUUCCUUUUGCUAUAGCCUUUUCUUGUUUACACCUUUUCUUGAUUGUCUUUUAUUGUUCUUUAAGUUUUGUGGUGUAUUGGCCUUAAGAGAGAGUACUUUGCUUUGACAUUUUUCAUUUGAGAGUACCAAAACUUCAACAACAGAUUGGUUGAGGGAAGUAUUCUUUCUUGGAGUAAUUUCAGUGUCUUUUAAUUUUCAUUACAGUACCAUAACUGUUCCUUUUUCUAACCUUGUUUUUCUUGAAAUUGUUUGUUCUUGUGUUUGCUGUUUUCUUUUUCUAAUGAUUGCAUAUUCAAGUGGUGACUCUUCCAAACCACACUCUCCUCAUAGAGCUUAUAUUCUUAAUGAAUUAAAAGAGGCAAAAUGUGUCCUUGCUCUAAAGGACGAAGCUAUGAAAAAGUUGGAGGAAAAAUUACAAAAAGUUGGAUUGAAGCAAGAUAGGUCAUCUGCUUCCAUCCAUGGAAGCCACCAUUCUCAUAGACAUUCUUCAAGAGGUUCUUUCAAUGCUCACGACCAUGAAGAAGAACAUAGAAGGAGGAGACAUCACCAUCAUUCUCAUGGAGAUAGACAUCACCGUGAAGAAGGACAUCACCAUGAAGAAGUCUCAUUUAUCUUUUGUAAAAAUACCUAGCUUUAGUGGUAAUAGUGAUCCUAAUGUGUAUUUAGAUUGGGAAGCUAAGGUUGACCAUAUUUUUCAUGUGUAUAAGGUCCAAGAUGACCAAAAACUUAGGACAGUUUCUUUACACUUUUUGGACUAUGCCAAAGAAUGGUGGCAUCAAACUCUUAGGGACAUUGGUUAUAACAAGAGGCCUCUCGUGGUCUCUUGGAAUGAUUUGAAAAAGUGUAUGCGCGCGAGGUUUGUUCCUCCUUCUAGGAAGGAACACUUGUUGAAGUUCCAAAGGCUUCCUCAAGGACAUAGGACGGUAGAUGAAUACUUUAAAUCUUUUGAAACAACUUUGACUAAAAUGAAUAUGCAUGCUAAUGAAGAGUCAAAGAUAAAAUGGUUUGUAAGUGGUUUGAAAAGAGAUAUUAGAGAAUUUGUAGAAUUAAAUGAGUAAUCUUCUUUAAAGAAAGUGGUUCGCCUAGCCAUCAAGGUGGAAUCAUACCUUUUAAAAACAACUUUCAAACAUACUCAUGAUGAUGGUUUCUACAAAUCUUCAAAGAAGGAUGAAAACAUACUUUUGCCUAAACCUUCUCCUUCAAAUUUUUCAAACGCUACCUUUUCUAACCAACAAGUUUCUACAAAGAAUUCUUCUACAUCUCCUAAGUCACCUAUCAAACUUCAAAAAUAAAAUGUUUUAAAUGUUUAGGUUUUGGGCACAUAGCUCUUCACUGUCCACAAAAACGAACCUUAAUGAUAAACAAGGUAAAACAAGACCUAACUCAACCACCUACCAAAAGUGAAAAUGAAAAAGACAGAAAGGGCCAAGUUGACAUAGGUCUUAUCCUUUCACCUCCAAGGUGUUUUCCUUCCUUAUCUUUUUUAUUACCAAAGGUUCUAACUUCACCACCAUCUUGGUUAAAGAAUGUUAGGAAUGAUUUUUUCAUACCUCCUAAUGGUUUUCACCAUUUAAGAGGACUUUUUCCAAAAAAUAUCAUCAUUCCCAAACAAUUUUUUCCAACUUUGUUUGUCUAUAGGACCUCCUUUUUUGAACUCCCACCGUUUACAAAUUCUAAGUCAUGUUUGCCUUUCUCUUAUUCAACUGUUAAUUUUUAUAGUAAACUGACUUUGUUAUAUGCAGGGAUUCAGAAUUCGUGGACGAAUUCUCUCCAACUCGGGGAGUAUGAUGGAGAUCAAGUAGAAGAGGAUUUCACUAAUGGAGGAAGAGGCCAUCCACCCACUUCUAGUCUUCUCAAAAAUAAAUAAGAAAUUAAAUAAAGAGAGGACCAAGCCUAAAAGAAGACUACAAGCAUUCAAAAAUGGGCUCCAAUAAAUAUCUCUCUUUGUAAUUUUCUUUUGUAUAAAAUUGUAAAACAUAUAGGAGUAGUGUUUAGAAAGGUGCUAAGAGGGAAACCAAAAGACACCUCUUUUGUAUAGCACUUUAGGCGCUAGUUUUGGUAGAAAGAGACUAGAAGAGUGCCUUUUCACACUCCUUCUCUCUUUAGGCGCUAGAUUGUCUUAGAAGGAAUUAGAAGGUGACCUUUCAAGCUUCCUUCUCUUUUGUACAUUUGUGACCAGCCCUCUCUAUUAUAAAAGGGGUGCUUGGGUCUUUUGAAAUAAGAAGUUAGUAAAGAACCUCUACCAAAUUGGUAAGUGAUUAAGAGAGACUUGUGUCUUCUUCUCUUCAAUUAUCUUGAGUGAAUUCUUGGGCUCUCAAGUGGCGACAACAACACUCAUCUUGAAGCCAACCAUCCUUCAAGUGGCGUGCACAAUUCCAAGAGCUCCAACCACAUAAGUUUUCUUUGUCCUUUUCAUCUUCUUCUUCCAUUUUCAUUCAAAAACCAAACUCUAAAACAUUUAUUUGUUGUUUCUUGUUGAUUCAAUCGGUAGAACUUGUUUAGUUUGUGUUCAUGUUUGGUAAAUUGUCUUAGUUUGCUGUUCUUAUGGUUUUAAUUGUGUUUCUUGAAGUUUUAAUCGGUGCAUUUGUGUUCUUCUUUGUUACAUUCGGUUCAUAUGUCCAAAAACGGGUUUCUAUGUGAGUUUGGCUUGGUUCUUGUGAUUUGGUGAGUUCUUGAAUGAUUAAGAAGAUUGAUCCAAUUCUUAAAAAGUGCCUAAUCAUAUUCCAACUCUUAUUGAAUCCAUAACAUGUUCAUAUCAUAUCCCUAUCAUGUUCUUGGGUUCACAUCACACCUGCUACUCUUCAACCUGUAUUACACACAUAUUCUCCCAGCAUGUACCUAAUCAUAUUCCAACUCUUAUUGAAUCCAUAACAUGUUCAUAUCAUAUCCCUAUCAUGUUCUUGGAUUCACAUCACACCUGCUACUCUUCAACCUGUAUUACACACAUAUUCUCCCAGCAUGUACCUUACCCUGUUUUUGUGUAUGCCUUUGAAAAUAGGCACUCUCACCCUGUCCAGCCUUUCCCUGCACCAAACCAGCAUCCCAGAUGUUCCUGAACCAUCAAGGCCUCCCAGACUUGGCCACCGAACCAGUAUAGAUGCUCCAGUAACCAACAAGCCUGCUUUACGUUCUUACUUUUCCAAACUCCAUAGUUCCACCCACCAGCCAAUUCCCAUCCAGCACAUGUUCCUUCAGCAUACCAGAAAAAGAGAAUAUAUUACAACACCCUCAACUUCAGCAGCUUUGCAAGCACUUGCCAGGAUUGAGAAUCCAAUCCGAGAAAGCAUAACUAAAGGAGGAUUGCCCCAUACUUCAGCUUCAGCCACACUGAGAGUUGGGCUAGGUGGAAAAUUUCUUCAGCAUCGGCUAUCCCUUUCUUAAAGAUAGCCAAAUUUCUCUGAUCCCAUAUACACCGGACUAUAGCGACCCAAAUUCCCUUCCAUACCUGAUUCUGUUUAGCAUUAAAAUGAGGCAGAUAAAAACUCUCAAAAUGGUCAAAAAUGUCCUUAUGUUGGACAAACAAGAUGCCUAUCCAUCUUAAGCAUAGGGACCAAACACGUUGUGCAUAAAUACAAUCCAGAAAAAGAUGUUGGGUUGUUUCUUGUGCUACCUUACAGAGCGCACAUAGAGAAGAGUUUACAACCAAACCCCUCCGAAUAAGAUUAUCAUAAGUUGGAAGUCUGCCAAGCAAAAUCCUCCAUGCAGUAAAUAACGCUUUUGGGUGUCGCUUUAGCUUGCCACCAAAGGGAGAAAAUGUCAUGCGAGGAGUUAUUAAGUUGACUACACAAAGUCAAAUAUGCAGAUUUCAUAGAGAACACACCAUUAUGGUCCCCAUUCCAUACUAAAGCAUCCUUGAUUUCCUUACACAAACUCUUCCCUGUAAUGAGAUUGAGCAAUUCUCCCUCCAUAGAGCUUUCCCAAUUGAAUCUAGGCCUUCUCCACCUUAAACGGCAGUUCCAUCCUAAAUCCUCCCAAGUGCCUACUUCAGCCACCGUCUUUCCUUGGUCCAAAGAAACGGAAAACAGCCUAGGGAACAGAGUUAUAAGCUUGUUAUUCUCCAACCAAACGUCUUCCCAAAAUUUGACUUUGUCACUGACUCCGACCUUCCAUCCAAAGGAUUUAUGGAACCAUCCAUCGCCUUCUCCCUUAUCACAUGCCCUAGAUAGAUCUCUCCACCACCAAGAAAGAUAGUUACCAGAAUCUUGACUUCUUACUCCACUCGUACAAUACUUAGAUGCUAGAAUCUCUUUCCAUUUCCCUUUUUCCUCACUCAACAUCCUCCAUUUCCAUUUUGUUAGCAAGGCACAGUUAAACAUUUUAAUAUCCUUGACCUUUAAACCCCCUUCCUCCUUUGAUUUACACACAUUUUCCCACCGAAUCCAAGAUAUAUGUUUGUGAUCAUUACCCCAUGCCCAAAGGAACAUCCUCUGAAUGCUAGAAAUUUUAUUAAACACUGAUAUCGAGGCUUUAAAGAAGGACAAAUAAAACAGGGGUAUGGAAGUUAAGACCGAUUUAACCAAACAUACUCUACCUGCUAGUGACAAGCAUUUCCCCUUCCAAGCACUAAGUCUAGCUUUAACUUUAUCCACUACUGGAUCCCAAAACUGCAUCCUCCUUGGGUUGCCGCCUACUUGUAACCCCAGGUAUUUAAAAGGAAUCUGCAUUGCGCUACAAUUAAGAGCUCUUGCAUAAGUUCCUAACAAAUUCCUUCCAACCUUAAUACCUGACAGCUUUGACUUAUGGAAGUUAACUUUGAGACCUGAAGCCAACUCAAAAACCCUGAGAAUCGCCUUAAUUGUUAAGAUGUUGGAGUAAGAGUCUUCGCACAUAAACAGGGUGUCAUCAACAAACUGUAACAUACAACAUUCAAUCUCAGCUCUCCCCACUUUCACUCCUCUUAAUAGGUUCUCCUUUAAAGCGCUACGUACUAGACCAGCUAGACCUUCAACAACAACAAGGAAAAGAAAAGGAGCCAUAGGAUCGCCUUACCUCAGACCCCUGGAUGACCUAAAUUCCUCCAUCGGACUACCGUUAACCAAGACAGACAUUGUUGUCGACUUCAAACAGCCUUGUACCCACUUAAUCCAUUUCAUGUGAAACCUCAUCCUAUGCAACAUAUCCAACAGAAAACUCCACCUGACCGAAUCAUACGCCUUUUCAAAGUCCACCUUAAAAAACACUUCACUUUUCUGACUUCUUUGUACCUCCUCGAUCACCUCAUUGGUCAUCAAUACACUUUCCAACAUUCCCCUAUCUUUCAGAAAAGCUGAUUGAUUUUCAUCAAUAACCAGAAGUAGAACAACCUUAAUACGACACAACAUCGCCUUAGUAAUGAUCUUAUACAGGGCUCCCAUAAGAGAAAUGGGUCUGAACUGGUCAAUCACAAUAGGGUCUUUUACCUUCGGAACAAAAGUAAUAAAAGACGCAUUGCACCCCUUCGGAAAGCUCCCUGAUUCAUGAAAAGAAUGCACCGCUUCCAUAAUAUCCUUCUUUAAAGUCUCCAAAUUGCUUUUUAUGAAGUUGAAAUAAAAACCAUCUGGACCCGGCCUCUUAGAUCCCUCACACUACCACACUGCGUCCCUUACUUCCUCCUCAGAAAACACAUGGGUUUCACAACCUUCGUAAAAUACUAUGGGUUUUAAAACCUUCGUAAAAUAGUAUAAGUUUCAAAACCUCCGUAAAAUAUCAUGGGUUUUAAAACCUCCAUAAAAUAUCAUAGGUUUCACAACUAUAAAUAUUCAUAUGUAUUUUUUGAAUCAUUUAUCAUUUAAGAAUUCACGUACUUUUUUAACCAAAAUUAAUUAUUGUUUCGUGCAAUACUUGUUCCAAUUUUCACAACCUCUAAGCUAAUAUAAGUUUCAGAACCUCCGUAAAAUAGCAUAGGUUUCACAACUAUAAACAUUCAUGUGCUUCAUGUGUUUUUUUACUUAUUUAUCAUUUAAGCAUUCAAGUGCUUUUUUAACCAAAAUUAAUUAUAUUUAUUGUUUUUAUUUAUUUUUCAUAAAGUACUUUCUUAAUGACAGUAAAAUGUUUUAAGUUAUAAAAAAAUAAUUUUUUAUCAACUUAAAUUAUUGUUUCUUAAUGACAGUAAAAUGUUUUAAGUUAUAAAAAAAUAUUUUUUUAUCAACUUAAAUUAUUGUUUCGUGUUUGUUCCAAUUUUCACGGCCUUAGUAAAAUAAUAUAUAUUUAAAAAUUUCUGUAAAAUAUCACAUUAUUUUAAAAUCUUCAUAAAAUAUCAUAAGUUUCACAACUAUAAUCAUGCAUUCAUGUGCUUAUGUGUUUUGUUUAUCAUUUAAAUAUAUAUAUAUAUAUAUAUUAAUCAAAAUUAAUUAUAUUUAUUUAUUUAUUUUUUUAAAGUAUUUUUUAAUGACAAUAAAAUAACUUAAUUUAUAAUAAAUAUUUUUUAUCAACUUGAAUUAUUGUUUGGUAUAAUACUUAAAUACUUGUUCCAAUUUUACAACCUCCCUGAAAUAAUAUAAGUUUGUGUUGUGUGUUAUCUUUAAUUUGCUGUAUAAUUAAUUAACAAUGCAGAAUGAGGCAUUUAUAAGCGUUGGAAGUCAUCAGUAUUUGUAAGCUAGGUGUAUUUUUGUAUACGUUUCUUAGAUUUUUGUUUUCAAAUACAGACGUAUGUAGUUUCCGUUACAAGAUAUUUAGAGAUUACGUGAAUGAUUUCAAAAUAGAAAAACAAUACCUCUUUAACACCACACUUCAUUACAUAUAUAUAUAUAUCUACUUAACAACUAAUCUUUUAAUAAAAUAUUAUAUAAUAAUAAAAUAAUAAUCAUAUGAUUUUAGUAGAAUGGUUCUAGAUAGUAAAAAGCUCUUAAAUUCAAUUUUGCUAGAAAUCUGUUUUUUUUUUAUCUUUUUUCUUAGUAAUAUCUUUUGCAACAAUAUCUAAUCAAUCCUUUUUUUCUCAAUUGUUUUGGUUUAUAUAAUCAUAAUCUUUCCCAUUUAUUCGAUGUUCUAUAAUUUCCUGAGAAAAAGGAAAACAUAAAUACUUAAGUUUAAUUUUCUUGACAUGUUUAAAGAACUAGAAAAAGAAAAAACACUAGGGAACAAUGGCAAUAAAAAGAUAAAGGUAAAACUUCCAACCAUUUGUCAUUAAAUUAACAAUACAAGAUAUUUUUUUAUCGGCAAUAAACAAUAAAUAAUAUAUGAAUAAUUUUAGGGGUGAUUCAACCCUUAUAGAAGAACUCACCCAUAUUCUUCAUCACAAGACUUAGUUCAAAGUCUGCCAAGACAGAACUCUCCUAGCUAACCUAGAGGAAGACCUCUAGGGGAAACUGUCAAACAGCUUGAAUGAAUACGUCAUGAGAUCAUCCUCAUACAAACCAACGGAUGUACACACCAAUCAGAAAAGGAAAAAUUCGCAAACUGUGACUUGGAUGUAACCCAUGACCAAGCCUUUAAUUAAACCAAAUCAAAAGCUUCCAGAACAUCCACUACUCCCCCGUUAAAAAUAACCCUUUUUCUAAGCUUCCAAACCUUGUUGACUAUUGCGAUCCAAACAACACCCGAACCUCAUUCACCGAACCAGACGCAUUGUUCAACCUAAACUGGGAAAAAUUUAAUAAUGGAGCGUUGUGAAACACGCUCAGCACGCCCAACCAUGCACAACAAUGGUUCCACAAUAACCAAGCAAAUCUCCAAUAAAAGAACAAAUGGGUGCUAGUCUCCUCCUCAACCCACAAAGGCUACACGUGGAGCUUGCAGCAAUGAUCUCGCGCCUUUCCAGGUUAGUCUUAGUGGCUAACUUGUUUUCCAACACCCUCUAAGUCGUAACCAAAGCAAUAGGUGCAACUUUACUCUUCCAAAACUUUUUAAACAUCGUCGCAUUCUCCCCUACUCCAUCCUCCCUUAGACGGAGGUAUGCCGAUUUAACUGUGUACCCAAACUCCUCUCCUUCCUUUCAGACCCACCUGUCCUCCUUAUCCAAGUCGAAAUUCACACCUUGGACUUCCUGAAAAAGUCGUUAUGCUAAUUGCUUCUCCCAUUCAAAUAGAUUCCUUCUCCAAACAAAAUUCCAGACCCAAUUUUCGUUGAUCAAUCCCAAAAAACAGUCAUCGCAGAAGCUUUUGUCACACUCAGGGAAUACAACCUCGGGAAAACCGUCUUCAAAGGCCUUCUCCUACCCAAUUAUCUUCCCAAAACAAAACUUCCUUCCCAGUUCCCACCUUCCAUAUUAAGGCUUCUUCGAAAUUUCGGCCCCAACCCUCCAAGCUCCAGACCUCCUUCAAGUCUUUCCACCAAUGAGAGUCUUUACUAUCUUUCCCUCCCUCUCUCAAACUUCUCCACCCCCCAUACUUGGAAACAGUAAUCUCCUUCCACAAACCACCCUUAUCUGACCCCAACCGCCAUACCCAUUUACCAAGUAACACCAAAUUGAAAGUCCUUAAGUCAAUAAUCCCAAGACCUCCGCGAGCUGCACACACCUUUUCCCAGGAGGCCCAAACGACCUUUCUUCCAUCCGAUCCCAACCCCCAUAAGAAAUCCCUUUUGAUUUUCACGAGCUCGUUUGCCACCACCACCGGCAUUUUAAAUAAAGAUAGGUAAAACAAUAGAAUGGUAGACAAUACUAACUUUAUUAAACAAAUCCUACCUGUCAAAGACAAGAAUCUGCCUUUCCACCUACUUAAUCUUUUCUUCAUUCUAACAAUCACUCCAUCCCAAAACGGCCUUCUCUUAUGGCACCCUCCUACCGACAAACCCAAGUACAGAAAAGUGGUUAUCAUUACAUAUUUAGGAAUUAUAUGUUCGGUUUUAUUAAAAACUAAAGUUUCUUAUACAAUAUUAAAAUAAUAAUUUAUUAAGUUACGAAAAAUUGUCAGAUUUGUUUCAAGAAUUUAACAAACAAACAAUUUGUUAUUUACAAAUUACGUCUUUUAAGUUUAAUUUGUUUUUUAAUUAUUAUUAUUUACGAAUUAUAUAUUCAAUUUUAUUGGAAAUUGAAAAUUUUGAUAUAUAAUGUUAAAUGAGAAUUAAUUGUUGUAACAUCCCUAAUUUUACCCAUAUAUGAUAAAAUAAAAGUAAAACAAACACUAUCUACUUAACAUAUGAAUAUACAUGACUAUCUCAUAAUUGUAUCUAAAAAAAAAUAUCCUUUUAUUACCUACAAUCUCAUCUGCUCCCGUGUACAACACGAUCAUCACAAAUAAAGAAACAAACACAAACAAAUAACAGCGUAAGCUAGCUAUAACAAAAUUUUCUAUAUAAUUUAAAUUUCAAAUUGAUACACAAAAUUCAUAAAUUUUCAUACAAUUUCUCAAACAUUUCACAUAAUCAUCAAGUGUGUAUCACGUUCAUCAUCCACAUUACUCCUUUCAGAUUUCUACUGACUCACAUACUCAGACACUUGACUCUACUUCCAGAAGACUCGUGUAUUGACAUUAGCAUCCAGAGACCUGCACCUGUCAUACUACUGUUGUGAAACCCACACAGCCAUGAGCAUAAUUAUCUCAAUAUCUCAUCAUUUCAUCAUCUUCAUAUGACAGGAUAAAUCCAUUUGAUCUGCUCUGAUCAAUUCUUUCAAACCUCAGACUCAGCCAAAUGGACCUCCUUCGACUCUCACCAACUGAAUAACUUCAUCUAUGUUAUUCCAUUAUAUCAGUAGAGUCAGGAUCGUCUCAUUCACAGGACACUCACAAAUCAAUACACCCUAAUAACAAUCUCAACACAGUAUUUCCUUUCCUGAAAAUACUAUGUCUUGAUCACACUUUAACCUCAUUACAUACAUCAUUUAACAUAUCAAUGCACUACUCAAUCACAUCAUUAUUUAAACUUUCUAAACAAUCCAAAUAUAUCUCAAACUUUACUUAAACACAUAAUUGAUUCCAAAUAUAUGCUCUUUAAAUCAAUCAUCAUCUAAAAUCAAACAACCACUUCUCAUCAAACAUUCAAACAUCUCACUUAAGUAAUUCAAUAAAAUAUUCAAAAAAGAACAGUUCAACUCAUUUAUAUUAUCAUUCAAACACUUUCAAUUCUUAAUCACAAACACUUUCAACAAUUUAUUCACCUUAAAAUCAAUAUAAAAGAUUCAAAAUCAACCAUUCUAGUCAAUAUAUUAUUUUACAUUUCAAAAGAGACAAUCCUAUAAGUAAAUAUUGGAAUUGGUGACCACGUCAUCCUCAUAUCACGAUCUUUUAACCUAGGGUUCUAUUGAAAAGAAUAAGACUAGCUUCCCUUACUUGGACUUGAGCAGAUGCUCACUAAGAGCUCUAACCCACCAAAAGCUUAAGAUAACCCAACCUGCACCACAAAGUCCUGAUCACAAAUCUAACUAUAUCACUAUGACCCUAAUCUAACAUAGACUAAUUCUGAAGAUAAAAACCUCACAUGCAAACUUAACUAAAAGAAAACCCUAACCAAAUCAAAACUAACUCCAAAGAAAAUGAGCCAAGAAUGAACUUACUCUAUCUAAGAUUCUGAUCGGGCAAUCUCGUAGAGUUCACUGCCAGGAGUCCAAUGGCAGAAUCUGAUCAUCAAACUGGUGAACGAGCAGGUCAGAAUCAUAAAGAGAAGGGAGAAGAAAGGAAAAAGGAACAAAAAUGAACUUACUCUAUGCAAGAUUCUAAUCGGGCAGUCUUGUAGAUCUCGCUGCCAGGAGUCUAAUGGUGGACUCCGAUCGUUAAACAGAUGAGCGAGGAGGUCAAAAUCUUAGAGAGAAGGGAGAGGAAAGGAAAAAGGAAACUUCUAGAGAGAUGGUGGUUCUUUUAAAAUGAGACCUGAAUAACUAAUUUUUUAUUUAUAUAGUUUUUUCACUUUAAUAAUAAAAUAUUUCGGUGUCAUUUUAAUUGUAUCAUUUAUACUCUAAGACUAUUUUCUCGGUCCUUACAAUUAUCAAAUUGAUUCACUCUCUAUACGUGUGAAUAAAUUAUAUAUAUAUAUAAUAAUUUUUAUUUAAUUAAUAGAAUGAGUAAUUAAUUUAAAAUUAAAUUAGUACCUAUUUUCUAUCUUUUUAUUGUAAUAUUUUUUGUUCCAAUUAUCUAACUUAUAUGAUUUUUAUUCAAUAUUAUUUUAAAAUGGAUAAAUAGAAUUUAAAAAAUUAGAAAGUGCAAUCUAAAUUUAAUUUAUCAAACAAAAUAUAUCACUUACAACACACAAAGAUCAAAAUUAUUUUUAUAAAAUAAACUAAGAAAAAUUAAAUUUACUUUACCAUAAAUAUUUUAUUGAUUAUUUUGAAAAUUUUAAAAUAUUUUUUUAUAUGAUUAACAUAUUUUAAUUACUUAUAAAAAGUAAUUAAAUCAUCAACUUUAAAUUUUUAAAUUUAGUGUCUAAAUAUAAUUUUAGACAAAUAAUUAUAUAUUUCUUACAAAUUAUUUAACAUUUUAUUUUGUAAGGAUAAAUUUUAGACAGUAUCAUAAUUAAUAUAUGUAUAUAUUAAAAAAAUUAUAUAAUAAAUAUAUUACAAUUUUAUUAAAAUAUGGUCUAAUUUUGUUUAAAAUUUUGUCUCUAGCUACAUAAAUAUUAUUUUUUUAAAAUAAUUAUAUUAAUUGGAAAUAAGUGAAUUUUAUUACGAAUAAGUAUUAAUACUCAAUAAUACAUCAUGAUACGGAAAACUUUUCAAUAUAUAUAUUUUAUUUGGCAUGUUUUAUCAUAAAUGAAAUGUUCUAUAAUUAUUAUAUACAUUAUUAAUAUUUAUUUAUAUAUAAAAUUACUUAUGUUUUAAAUUUUAAGUUAAACAUUAAGGACUUGCUGGUUCAAAAAUAAUAAUAUAAAAAAUAUUUACUAUUUUCUAUAAUUAAAAUUUGUAAUUUUUUUAUGAAUAUAGACUUCAAAUUAUAUAUAUUAAAAUCACAAUUAUAAAUAUAUUACAACUAAAAUAUUAUUACUAAUUUAUAUAUUGUUUAUAUUUUGAUAUGAUUUAGUUACUUAUGUAUACAACAAUUUUUAAAAAAAUUAUAAAUUAUGUAUUAAGAACUUAAUAUACAUAUUUACAAAUUUUGAUAUAUAACAUAAUUGAAUAAUAAAUAAGAUAAAUAUGAUAUUGUUUUUACUUUUUUAUAAAUUUUAUUUCAUACCUUAAAUCAACUAUAUCUUAUAAUUAUAUUUAGAAAAUUAAUUUUUAUUAAUAGUAAUAUGGUUCUUUGUAAGUCUCUUCUUUUGACAAGAUAUGAAGUCAAUGUUAAUAAAAAAUAUUACAACAAGGUCAAAUUCAAUAAAUUAUUUCUUAAAAUAUAUAAAAAAAAAUUUAGAUAAAGUCCUACAUUGAAAUUAGUGUUACUUCUACAUAUUCUACCUAAAAACCAUAACAACUAAUUAUUAAUGAAAUAAAGAUUGUUACUACUUAUUACAUUUAGAAUUUAUUUAUUUAUAAAUUUGAAUUAUUUAUAUUUUAAAAUUAUUUAAUUAUUUAUUAUAAUUAAUAUAUAAUAACUAAUAUAUAAUUAUUUGUUUAUAUAAGAUAUGUUUUAUAUAUUUUAUAGGUUUCAAAAUCUACACAUUACAUUAUAUCAAAUUAUUCUUAAAAUAAUAAUAAUUCAAAUUAAUAUAUACAAUUCUGUAAUAUUUUUUAUUAUAAUUAUUUUAUGAUAUAAUAAUAUGUUCCUGAUGUCUGUUUUAAUAUAAUAAAAUGUUUUUUUCAAUAAUAAUAAUAAUAUAUAAACCAAAAUUAUUUAUUUUUAUUUUUUAAAUUAUUUUAUUUUUAUCAAACUAAAUAUAUAUAUAAUAAAUAUUCUACAUUUUUAAAACAAAGUUUACAAAUUCUGCUUUUUUUAUAUGUUUAUUUAUUAUAAUUAUGUUAUACUUUUUGUGCAACCUAACCUCAGUUCUAUUUUUUUACUGUAUUUUGUAUAAUAAUGUUAUGUUAUUACUGUUAUUAUCACAAAUUCAUUAAUAUAUAUUUCCAUUUUUUUACUGUACUAUUUCUGAUUUUAUUACUAUAUUACUUGCAAGGUGAUAUAAUGCUAUGAAAUUAUACAAGUAUUAUUACAUUUGAAAAUUAUUAUUAAUAUAAUAUUUUUUAAACAUAUUCUAUUGAGUAUGACGGUCUAUAAACAUGUUUUCUUUGGACAGUAUGAUAUGUAUAAAUCAUUCUUUCAUACUUCUUAUGUUACUGGUCUCCUAAUUGAUGUUAUUUAGACUUAAAUUUGUUUUUGUGUUUAUUUUGUAAGUCUAUCUUAAGUCAUUUGUUGUAUGACAUGUAUGACAUUAAGUUUCAUAUUUCUUAAUUCUGAAAUUGUGGCAGCUAAAGAAAAGAAACUUAGAAUUUCAUUAUUUUACUUUUUUUUUAUUAUGUUAUGUUUUGUGAAUAAUUGGAACGUUUUUAAAAAUAAAUAGGAUAUGAAAUGAAAUGCAAAGUGAUAACAAGUAUAAUAUAUUUCAAGGUGUAGAUUUGACAGUAACAAAUUCAAACUGUUCUAAUAGAUUAUGUUAUUUAUUAGUGAGAUAUUUAAACUUUUGUUCUAUACAAUUCCUUUAAGAUCGGGUAUGUUAUGCUCUAAGUGAUACUUUGCUGCCUUAAAAGUUAUUUAUUUAAGAGUGUAAUGUGUUCAAAUGUGAUAGCUAGAACUUUUCACUUCUUCAUUCUUACAUAUAUGUUUAUAGUUUUUUUUUUAUAAUGUUGAGUGUUGUCAUAUUAAAAAGGUCUUGACUCCAUCUUUACAUUGUCAACAUUAAAAAUUUGGCAGCUACACUAUUCUUUUUUAUCAUCUCUCAUUCUAUUUUUGAAUUUUUAAAAGUUGUGUCAAAUUUAAUAUUUAAUCAUUGUAAUUAUGACUCUCCAAUAUAAAUUUUAUUCAUUCUAAAUUUUGUAAUUUGUUAUUAUAUGUAGGAAUUGAAUUAUCAGUCAUAUUGCUUUUUCAGGUCUGAUUACAUAUAUAAAACAAUGUAAUUUUGUAACAUUUUUACAAAAAAGUCUCAUGCACACGGGUCACGUACUAGUUUUUUUAUUAACAAGAAAAAAAAAUAUAAAUCACUUUAAGGGUGGUCCAACCCUUUUACACAACACCUCACUCAGAAGCUUACCACAAAUAUCCUACUUGAUGAGCAACUAAAAAACAAGCCAUCAAAUCAAAAUAAAGACACAUAAGAAACAACCUAACACCUCAUCCUAACCUUUUAAAAAACAAAAGGCCUAGAGUUUCUAAGUUUCUUGAUCAAAUACAUACAAACUAGAGAAUCAAGGCAACAAUCAGAAUAAAAAAAAGCAUGUAGAGAAAAUUUAGAAGUAACCUAAGACCAUACCUUUAAUUGAACCAAGGAAAAUAUUUCAGAAUGAUCCUUCACUCCACCUCUAAAAAUGUGCUUAUUUCUGGGUCUCUACAUCUCACCAACAACUGCAGUACCAACGCUUCCUCAUACAACAUUGAUAUAAACAAGUACAUUAACAAGUUUGAAAUGCUAGUAGCGUGAAUAAGGAUCACAAUAAUCUACUGAAGUCAACCAUAACCAUGCAUAACAUUGGUUCCAAACGAGCAGAGACAAUUAAAAGCAAGAAAAACCCCUUUAUAAAUUAACUCUUCCCUCUUGCACUCCCGCCAACAAAAAGCUGCUACUCUUAUAAAAGUCCACUUUUGUUAACAUAAGAACGUCUCCUCAAACAUGCAAAACAUCUUGCUACAUCCUCCCUAAAGCAAGGGGUUAGCUAUACAAAUUCUUUAAAUCUAAAACACUACUUGUUAACAUAUAUCAUACAUUCUUAUUGUUCCAAACACUAUAUAUUCAGAAUAAGAGAACUCAGCAUAUUUUUCUUUACAUGUAAUCAAAGCUCGGGUUUUUCUAUGUACCACCGCAAAGACCUCUAAAUAAUAAGCUCUCCCAUUCUUAAAACUCUUAUGUUCCUAUUUUCCAUAUUUUACCUACCAAAGCAAUCCACAUCCCCUCAAACUCUGGAUAAUUGACCAUUCACAGUAACAGGGCAAAACAUCAAAAAAUGUACCUUAACAUCAAAGCGAUUCAUCGACAGACAACUCAGCCAAGACAAACACAAUUCCCAAACUUCCCAGGCAAAUUUACACUAAAAAAAGAGAUGACUAACAUUUUCCUCCUCCUCACGGCACAACCCAUAUAAACUAUUUACCAAGAUAACACCUUACCUCAAUAGAUUAUCCUUUGUUGCUAUACUAUUUUGCAACACCCUCCAAGCAAUAACUUGUGCAGAUGGGAGGGACUUGACCUUCCAAAACCUCUCAAAAAGGAUCAUAUCACCACCUCAAACCUCUUUCUUUAAAAGAAUUAUAAGCAGAUUUGAUGAAAAACCCAUUUUUUCAUCAUCCCUUCAAAUCCACUAGUACUUCACAAAUUGAAAUCAUAUUUUAGACAAUAAUAAUUUUAGAAAAAAAAAAUACAAUGGCUCUGCCUUAUCAGGAACAACAAAAAUGAUAUUGUUUCAAUUUUCUACUAGCACCGAUUAGCAAUAGAUACACUUUCCAGGAAAAUUCUAUACCUAAAACACUCACUAGUGUUUUAAGUAUAGAAUUUUCCUGGAAAGUGCAUCUAUUGCAAAUGGUAAGUAAAUAAUGUCUUUGGUUAUAAUAAUGGUGUUCCUUCCCAUUUUACAUCCUUUGUCACAAUUUCUAUGAAAGAAGAUUUAAGGCAAUAGACUCACUUGGAACACCAAUGUGAAUAAGAGAAACAUGUCUUAGAUAUAUGGUGUGCUAUCUAAACCUAAACCUAAACAGGAGGGUAAUAAAACUAUUGAAAUGAAGGAAACACUUAAGUCAUUAUUGGUAGAUAAAAGAAAACCUUCCCAUAAAGAGAGAGAGUUGAUCCACCAAAUUUUAGAAAAUAGAAUCAUAAAGAUCACUUGAUCAAAUAGUGUAUACAUAACAUAGAAACUGAGGACAACUUAUAGUCACAAUAACAAAAUAUUAAGGGUGGUCAUGGAUUGGAUUUUAGGUAAUUCGAUCUAAAUCCAAAUAUUUGGAUCUGAUUUAUAAUCCAAAUCCAUAUUUUUUAUAAAAACAAUUUGGAAAUCCAAAUCCAAAUAUUUGGAUUGGAUUUUAAAUCCAAAUAUUUGGAUUGGAUUUUAAAUCCAAAUUCAUACUUUUAUAUAUAAAAAAAGUAAAUAUUAAGAAAGUAUAAUAAAAUUAUAAUUUAAUAAUACCAAAAAAUUAAAGAUAACAUAAUAUAUAAAUUCUUAACAUUAAAAUACACCUACCUAUAAUACUUUAAUUAAACUUUGAAAAUAUUAUAUUAAUUUAUUAUAUGUAAAAUAUUGGAGCAAAAACAAUUAUGAAAAAAUAUAUAUAAAAUUUGAUUGCUCCAUGUGUGGGUGAGAGAGAGCAAAUAAAAUUUCAAAAAAUGAAUAAGAGGUGCCGCUGGAGAGAGGUUUUUUUUUUUUGAUCAACAAAGAAUAUAAUAUAAUAAAAGAGAUACUUCAGGGGUAUCUCAACCCGUAUACAGAACCACAAUACCCAAACCAACUAAGUUAUAGGUUUCUAAAGAAGACAAUAACACUCAUUCAGAGUCAAUGAGCAUUCCUUCCACCAACCUACACAAGUGGUCUAAUGAAACUAUUGCUUAAGGUCCCCACAAUACCACAAUUCAACACUCAUUAUGACACUUGUGCAGUAAAACCAAGUAUAAUAAUAAUAAAAGAGACUGUGGCAGCAUCUAAGGAAUUAAAUCCAAAGCUCAUCUAUCUACUACCUACGUAUGCCCUUCUAGUAACACUUCUGCCCUCCCUUCCUCUCCAUCAUGAUGCUCCCAAUUUGUUCCAAGCUUCUUUGGCCAUAUUAACAUCUCAAUUCUGGCUCAGAGUCUCCCUUCCACAUACUAGUUUACUGAUAUGCAAUGUCUUGGCAUUGUUCAUCUUCCAUGAACCAGCAGCGGUCUUAAGCGUCCAAUAUACCUUACAUGGCCACCUGCAGGAUUCAUUUGACAGUGUUCCAUUCCUUACUUCAUCUUCAUACCCAACACCAAAUUCCCUACACCCUUACUAGCAUUCCUUCAACCAUACUAGCAAGCCAAUUCCUACCAUUCUGCUUCCAUUAUUCCUUAUGUAGCAUCUUCAGCAGCAGACCCCAAUUUGAUUUGUGUACUUCUACAUUUCACCAUAUAAAAAGGGAGCUCGUACGAUACUUCCACCAUUACUUUAGCACCAACCAGCUGCUUCCAAGGCUAUUACACCUAGCUCCCUGCAAGUAAUAUUCAACCCCACCAAAAUUUACACCAAACACAUAACAGAACAUUCUGUUUACUUUAGUGUCUCCAACCCCAAACCAAAAUUUCCACUGCAUUCCCAUUUCUUCUAAAUAGAGCCCACUUCGUUGGUGCAUGGUAUUGUCACACAGAAAAACUUGCUCUGUUAUCCCUUCAUUAGUGACUCCGUAUAGCUGCCUUUGCUUACUACACACCUGCAUAACAGAACCGUAAUACUAAUAGCAUCAAUACAGUAGUAAACUAAACCAUCACACCAAACAGUCCAAAAAGCCUUUCCCUUAAACAGAGCACACUUCCACCCUGAAAUCUGCAUAAACCAGCCAUGUUAUAAUCAUUUCUUUAGGAAAAUUUUCCAACCUUCCAUCGGCUCCUACACACGUUCCAGCCCUUCCAUGUAUAUACAAAUUCCAUCAACCUAACCAUUAGUCAGAACAAUUCACUACUAUUUAGGUUCAAUCUAUGGGCUCUUCAACCUCCUUAGAAGAUUCCAUAGCUGCCUAUCUCCGAGGUUGAUAACCAACAUGUUAUCCCCCCUAAGAUACCUGCAUACACAAAACAGGAUUGUUCCCGUAUGAACCCUUAUGCUCCGGGCUAAACUUAUCUUACACAAAGAAGGCAUUGGACUGGAUUCAAUAACCAGUCGAAGAAAUAAGAGAAAGCACUUUCCCUGUGUUUCAACCAUAGCCAGGACAGUAAUUAAGCAACUUGAAGGAUUUCCUCAGAGUCAGGAACCCUUUGUCUAAAGAUCACAUUAUUCCUGUGCUCCCAUAUGCAACGUACAAUCGCCGCCCACACUCCCUUCCAUACCUGAUUCUGUUUCUCGGACAUAUUAAAUAAGUGAAAGUUCAGAAAGUGAUUACAUAUGUCCUUGUUUUGAGCUCCCAAAACACCUAUCCAUCUGAAACACAAAAUCCACACUCUAUAUGCCACACCACAGUCCAGAAACAGAUGUUGGGUGGAUUCUUCGGAAAGGUUACACAAAGCACAGAGAGGGGAGUUCACCUCUACACCUCGUGACAUAAGAUUCUUGAAAGUUGAGAUUCUGUCCAAAAGGAUUCUCCAUGCAGUGAUUAGAACUUUUGAUAAAGCUUUGGCCUUCCAAAGAAGUCUAAAGACAUCAUUACCCGAUCCAGUUCUUUGGUCGACCAAGAUAGAAUAUGCUGAUUUCACAGAAAAAACCCCCUUGACAUCCCAUCUCCAAGUAAUAAAAUCCUUGGAUUCUUUAUGCAAAACUCCCGUAGAAAAAAUUGAUAGAAGUUCUUCCUCCAUGACCGACUCCCAUUGAAACCUCUCUCUCCUCCAAUUUAAGUUCCAAUGCCAACCAUAAUCAUCCCAAAAACCGGAGUCACCCACUGUCAUCCCUUGUUUUAAGGACAAAGAGAAUAAUUUAGGGUAAACAUCCUUGAGAUUAUUGUCAACAAUCCAAGAAUCCUCCCAGAAUUUGACUAAGUUCCCAGAUCUGACGUUCCACACUAGAGCUUGUUGAAACCAGCCUACACCCUCGCCUUCCCCACAUAAAUUAACUAGGUCUCUCCACCACCAAGAUUGGUAACACGGUCGGGUGUGAUUAGACCCAUUUAUCUCCAUAUAUUUCGACUCCAUAAUAUCUUUCCAUUUCCCCUUCUCAUCACUCAUUAAUCUCCACUUCCAUUUCGCCAUUAAAGCAUAGUUAAACUUCCUGACCUCUUUGAUCCCUAAAUGAGAAAGAGGUAGGUUUGGAGAGAGAAAGACGGAACUCCAAAUGAGAAAAAAUAUAAAAAGGUAGGUUUGGAUAGAGGACUAUAGAGAAAAACUACUUCCAAAAAUUUGGAUUGGAAAUUUGGAUUUUUCAAUUUUUAAAAUUUGUAUAAAUAAAAUGGAAAUCUGGUAAAUAUAUUUUUAAUGGAUUAGAAUUGUGUAAAAAUGGAGUAGUUUGACAAAAUCCAACCUUACAAAAUACCAAUAACAUGAUAAGCCAAAUCUACUAUAACAAUAGAUUGUAUAUGGGCUGAGAAUAUAAUCCCUUAUUUUUUCUUCUAAGUUAUUAUGUUUAUCUUUAACAGUAACUUCUUAGGCAUCAUAGGAUGCAAUUGCAUGAGAGGAAAUUUUCUAUGACUGGUCAACCCAUUAGUUUCAGUGAUGUUCAAUGUCUGAUGCCCCACUUCUCCACUUGGAACUUCCCAAUUAAAUUGGUGAACAAGGUUUGCUAGACCAGCUCAAUCACAUUCAUGGCAAACAUUAUUCCUGGACAACCCCUCCUUCCUGCUCCAAAUGGUAUCACUUCAAAAUCAUGUCCUUUCACAUCUAUUGAACUAUUUAAGAAUCUCUCUGGUUCAAACUGUUCAGGUUUGUCCCAAUAAGAAGGAUCUCUUGCAAUUGCCCAAGCAUUAACUAUUACUUGUGUGCCAGUUGCAAUGUCAUAGUCCAUCACUUUGGCAUCUUCCAUGGAUUCCCUUGGAAACAACAAGGGAACUGGGGGAUGUAAUCGAAAAGUUUCUUUAAUCACUGCCUUCAAAUAAUGCAUGCUAGUUAAAUCUUCCUCAGUUAUGCGAGUUCUGCCACUAACCGCAUUCCUUAUCUCACCUUUUAGCUUCUGCAUCACAGUUGGGUACAUUAGGAGUUCUGUCAUUAUCCAUCCUAGGAUUGUGGAGCUAGUCUCAGUGCCUGCAGCAAACAUAUCCUGAAAGAAGUACCCAUCAAUUGUCAAUUUCAUUGUCUACCUUAAAUUUCCAUGAACGAAAAUAAACUCAACAUGCAUUAAGGUUUUGAGCAACUAAUAUGUGACUUAACUUUUUAUUGGGAAAGUAGUGUAUAUGUCUUGAAAAGAAAUAACAAAAUCUAAUAGUGUUGAGAAACUAUAGAAUAAGGAUAGGAUUAGAGUUGUGUGUGAAUAUCGUGGAGGAUAAAAGACAUACAACUAUCCUGUUUAUAAUUUACCCUAACCUUUAUUUUAUUGUUAUUCUCUUAGGGUUUAGAUUUUAGGAAAGAAAGUAACAUAAUAAAAUAACAAUCACAUCACUCAGUUAAAGAAAAUAAUUUUUGAGUGAUAGACAACGAAAUUUAACAAAAAUUAAUCAUACGUACCAGGAUUAAAGCCUUUAUGGUUCUUUUAUCAAUGUGGAAUCCCAAGGAGUUUGUCUCUUGGAUCCUCAGCAAAAUGUCCACCAAAUCAUUCUGCUCUUCAUUAUCAGCACCAUGCACAUCAUGUCCUCUCCUACUUACAUGCUCAUCAACAACUUAAUCAAAAAAUUCAUCAAGCUGUUUAGCCACUCUCUUUGCCCUACCAUACAUUCCAUUAACGCUUCCCAACCAAUCAAGCCAAGGUAUGUAGUCCCCUAUAACUGAAGCACCCAACAGCUCCAUCAUCUCAUCCAUUGGCUCCCGAAGCUUACUCCCUCCUUCUCCACUGUAUCUCCUUCCGAGAGCAGCUCUACACACUAUGUCAUUUGCGACUGUAGUAAAUAAAUCAGUUAAAUUCACAGGCAUCGAAGAAGAACAACACUGCUUAAUCUUAUCCAUCAUUGUGGAGAUUUCCUCUUCUCUCACUACACCAAAGGACUGAACCUUUUUUGCACUGAGAAGAUGCAAGACAGAAAUACUCCUUAUCUGUCUCCAGUAGUUGCCAUAUGGAGCAGAUGCCACAUCUUUGUAAUCAUACAAGAAGAUAUCAAACAUCUUACGAUGUGGUCUGUUUGAAAAAACAAGGUCGUGUGUUUUCAUAACCUCACGAGCUGCCUCAGCUGUGGAAACCACAAGAACUGGCACCCUUCCAAAGUGAAGUAACAUUAAAGGGCCAUAGGUUUGAGCAAAGGAUUGGAGAUUGCGAUGAGUGAGGGCGCCAAGUUGGUGGAGAUUUCCUAUUAUUGGAGAGAAGUGAACAUUGUGUCGUGUGUUUUCUUUAAUUUGCUGUAUAAUUAAUUAGCAAUGCAGAACCAGGUAUUUAUAAUGUUUGUAAGAUAGGUGUAUUUGUAUACGUUUCUUAGAUUUUUUUUGUUUUCAAAUACAGUAUGUAUGUAGUUUCCGUUCCAAGAUAUAUUUAGAGAUUACGUGAAUGAUUUGAAAGUAGGAAAAUGAUACCUCUUAACACCACAGUUCAUUAAAUAUAUAUCUACUUAACAACUAAUUUUUUAAUAAAAUAUUAUAUAAUAAAAAAAUAAUAAUCAUAUGAAUGUAGUAGGAUGGUUCUAGAUAGUUUUUUUUUUUUUCUUUUGGCAAAGAAUUAAUGAAAUUAAAAGAGGGACACUUUAGGGAUGGUUCUAGAUAGUUAAAAGCUCUUAAAUUCAAUUUUACUAGAACUCUGUUUUUUAUUUUUUUUUCUUAGUAAUAUCUUUUGCAACAAUAUCUAUUCAAUCCCUUUUUUUUUCUCAAUUGUUUUGGUUUAUAUAAUCAUAAUCUUUUCCAUUUAUUCGAUGUUCUAUAAUUUCCUGAACAAAAAGUAAAACAUAAAUACUUAUUAAGUUUAAUUUUCUUGACAUGUUUGAAGAACUAGAAAAAGAAAAAGAAUUAGGGAACAAUCGCAAUAAAUAGAUAAAGGUAAAACUUCCAACCAUUUGCCACUAAAUUAACAAUACAAGUUUCUUUAAUAAUAUAUACAAGUUGUUUCGUUUGUUUCAAAAGCCCUAAAUAUUGGAACCAAGACUUUUCUAUAUAUGCAAAGUUUACUAAAAUCACAAUGAUUGUAAAUUUUAUCUCGAGAAUGGAAAACAUAUGUACGACCCAUUUGACCACAUAAUAAGAUACGUGUUACUUCUUGCAAACCUCCACUUUAUCAUUUUGUAUUGUUUUUAAGCUUUCACUAUGCUAUGCAUGAACUUUCAGCUAUUCAGCCUAAUCAUCUUAUGAUAGUGAUCUGAUUUGAUAUUAUAAAUGUCAACGAGCCAUUUUUUUUUCCCAAAAUAAAUUAUUUCACUGACUUUUAAACUUAAAAAUGAAAAAUUGUUUAUAAAGAUUAUAAUCAAAUUCUAUUUAUAAUUUUUCACAUGUUUAAUAGAAAAGAUGCCUUUUAAACUCAUCAUCAAAGACUAAAAUUAAAUGAAUUUUUUUCUCGAACGGGUUAGGACUAAGAGAAUUAUUACCUUUCUCUUUGGUUGAUCAGUCGUUUUCUACUUCUUCCCUUUACUGAAUCCUUCUCUUCUUCAUUGUCCACUACAAGAAAAUCAUCAAAUAGAAACCAAUUUUUAGAAACCAAAAUAAUUAGUUGCAAUAGUAACUAAAUUAGAGACCAUUUUAGAAACUAAAACAAAAAUUGGUUUCUAAAUUAGUUUCUAUUAUUUUCUAUUAUUGUUAAAUAGUUUCUAAAUUGGUAUCUAAUUAGCAACCAAGGUUUUAUCUACCAAUUAUUUAGUUUAUAAAUUUAGUCUCUAAAACCUUGGUUACUAAUUAGAGACUAAUUUAGAAACUAUUUAAUAAUAAUAGAAAAUAAUAUAAACUAAUUUAGAAACCAAAUUUUGUUUUAGUUUCCAAAAUGGUCUCUAAUUUAGUUACUAUUGCAACUAAUUAUUUUGGUCUCUACAAAUUGGUUUCAAUUUCAUGAUUUUCUUGUAGUGGUCCUCUUUCUUGUAAAUUCCAAGUCCAGAUGGUACCUAGAAAAGACACUCCAAUGUUCUAGUGACAUCUUAGUAUUCGGUCUAAUUAAUGCGUGAUGAUGAUAUACCUUUUUAUCGAAAUCUAUGACUAUUUAUAUGAUUAUCAUGGGCCCUUUGUUAUUGGGCCGAAUUAGGGUUUUAGAUCAUAAUUAAGAGUGUAUUACCUAAUGCUUAAUCGUUAUUUGAUCUUGUUAAUCUUCUGUUAGUCUUAAUGAAUUUGAUCGUGUCGGUCGGCUCUAGUCGGAUGUUGAGACCUCCAUCUAUCGUUCAGAUCCAAUCGGUACAACUUUUGUUACAAAUUAAAUACACUAAAAGAAAAUGAUUAAAUAAAAAUCAAUUUUAGAGACAAAAUAUAAUUAGUUGCUAUAUUGAUUAAAUUAGAUAUUAUUUUAGAGAUUAAAAAAAUUAUUAGUAUCUAAAUUUGUUUUUAUUAUUGAUAAAUAGUUUCUAAAUUGGUAUCUACACUACAAUAAAAAAAUGUUUUAACAGAGGUUUAUUUUUACAAUACCAAAGGUUAAAACCUUCGUUAAGUCAUUUAUCCUAGGUGGCAGUUUCCUCCGCUAAAUCAUCUAUGGGGAAUGUGUUACUUGGGGUGUUUUAAAACCUCUAAAAAAAUCAGUAUUAACCUUAGUUAAAUACAAUUGGUUUAAGAACCUCCGUAAAAUACCAUGGGUUUGAGAACCUCCAUAAAUACCAUGGGUUUCAUAGCCUCUUUAAAAUAUUAUAGGUUUCACAACCUUCGUAAAAUACUAUGGGUUUUAAAACCUUCGUAAAAUAGUAUAAGUUUCAAAAUCUCCGUAAAAUAUCAUGAAUUUUUGAAACCUCAAUAAAAUAUCAUAGAUUUCACAACUAUAAACAUUCAUGUGCUUUAUGUAUUUUUUGAAUCAUUUAUCAUUUAUGCAUUCGCGUGCUUUUUUAAUCAAUAUUAAUUAUUAUUUCGUGCAAUACUUGUUCCAAUUUUCACAACNNNNNNNNNNNNNNNNNNNNNNNNNNNNNNNNNNNNNNNNNNNNNNNNNNNNNNNNNNNNNNNNNNNNNNNNNNNNNNNNNNNNNNNNNNNNNNNNNNNNNNNNNNNNNNNNNNNNNNNNNNNNNNNNNNNNNNNNNNNNNNNNNNNNNNNNNNNNNNNNNNNNNNNNNNNNNNNNNNNNNNNNNNNNNNNNNNNNNNNNNNNNNNNNNNNNNNNNNNNNNNNNNNNNNNNNNNNNNNNNNNNNNNNNNNNNNNNNNNNNNNNNNNNNNNNNNNNNNNNNNNNNNNNNNNNNNNNNNNNNNNNNNNNNNNNNNNNNNNNNNNNNNNNNNNNNNNNNNNNNNNNNNNNNNNNNNNNNNNNNNNNNNNNNNNNNNNNNNNNNNNNNNNNNNNNNNNNNNNNNNNNNNNNNNNNNNNNNNNNNNNNNNNNNNNNNNNNNNNNNNNNNNNNNNNNNNNNNNNNNNNNNNNNNNNNNNNNNNNNNNNNNNNNNNNNNNNNNNNNNNNNNNNNNNNNNNNNNNNNNNNNNNNNNNNNNNNNNNNNNNNNNNNNNNNNNNNNNNNNNNNNNNNNNNNNNNNNNNNNNNNNNNNNNNNNNNNNNNNNNNNNNNNNNNNNNNNNNNNNNNNNNNNNNNNNNNNNNNNNNNNNNNNNNNNNNNNNNNNNNNNNNNNNNNNNNNNNNNNNNNNNNNNNNNNNNNNNNNNNNNNNNNNNNNNNNNNNNNNNNNNNNNNNNNNNNNNNNNNNNNNNNNNNNNNNNNNNNNNNNNNNNNNNNNNNNNNNNNNNNNNNNNNNNNNNNNNNNNNNNNNNNNNNNNNNNNNNNNNNNNNNNNNNNNNNNNNNNNNNNNNNNNNNNNNNNNNNNNNNNNNNNNNNNNNNNNNNNNNNNNNNNNNNNNNNNNNNNNNNNNNNNNNNNNNNNNNNNNNNNNNNNNNNNNNNNNNNNNNNNNNNNAUAUAUACACUUAACAACUAAAUUUUUAAUAAAAUAUUAUAUAAUAAUAAAAUAAUAAUAAUCAUAUGAUUGUAGUAGAAUGGUUCUAGACUCUUAAGUUCAAUUUUGCUAGAACUCUGUUUUUUUUUCUUUUUUUCUUAGUAAUAUCUUUUGCAACAAUAUCUAAUCAAUCCUUUUUUUUCUUAAUUGUUUUGGUUUAUAUACUCAUAAUCUUUUCCAUUUAUUCGAUGUUCUAUAAUUUCCUGAACAAAAAAGUAAAAUAUAAAUGCUUAUUAAGUUUAAUUUUCUUGACAUAUUGAAGAACUAGAAAAAGAAAAAGCACUAGGGAACAAUGGCAAUAAAAAUAUAAAGGUAAAAGUUCCAACCAUUUGCCAUUAAAUUAACAAUACAAGUUUUUUUAAUAAUAUAUAUACAAGUUAUUUCGUUUGUUUCGAAAACCCUAAAUAUUGGAGCCAAGGCUUUUCUAUAAUUGCUAAGUUUACUAUGUACGACCCAUUUGACCACGUGUUAUUUCUCGCAAACCUCCACUUUAUCAUUUUGUAUUGUUUUUUAGCUUUGAAUAUGAAUAUGCUAUGCAUGAACUUUCAGCUCUUCAAGGUCAUCCUAAUAUAAUUUUAUGAUAAUUUUUUUAUUAACAAAGAAUAAAAAAAAAUAAAAAAAAAUACAUGCCCUAAUCCUUAUACAAAAAUUGGUCAAAGAUGAACUUAUUUAACACUUAAGGAACAAAAAUCUUGUUAAACUUUAUAAAUCACCAAACCAAACAUCAAAAACACAUAAAAAAAAAAAAAGUCAUAGCAACACACAAAACACCUUUUCUCAAAAGUCCUAACAUCUUUUAUGUGUUUUUUUACUCAUUUAUCAUUUAAACAUUCAUUUGAUUACCAAAAUUGUUUAUGUUUAUUAUAUUUAUUUAUCUUUUAUAAAGUACUUUUCUUAAUGAGAGUAAAACGUUUUAGUUUAUAACAAAUAUUUUUUUUUAUCAACUUGAAUUACUCAUUCGUGCAUUGUUCCAGUUUCUCACACGCACACCACCAACAAUCUCUAAUGCAGCAAAAUAUUUGUUCAGUUUCUUUGUACCUUUAUUUCCGCUUUUGUGUGUCAAGAUUCAAUUAAUUUCACCAACUUCAUUGGAUCCCAUUACAAUUACUAAGAUUUUCACCUCAAUCACGCUCACCAAUUUCUCACACAAGUCCAAGUCCCACACAAACACUGACAGACCAAUUUACAGCACCACGAAACUACAUACACUAUUCAAAAAAUCAUCAAAUAAAAUUUAAUUUUAGAGAUUAAAAAUAAUUAAUUAUUAUAUUGACUAAAUUAGAUACUAAUUUAAAAAUUAAAAAAAUUAUUAUUUUUUAAAUUAGUUUUUAUUAUUGAUAAAUAAUUUUUAAAUUGACACUAAAAGAAAUCAUGAAAUAGAAACCAAUUUUAUAGACUAUAGAUAAUUAGUUGUUACAGUGACUAAAUUAUAAACUAUUUUAAAAACUAAAAAAAAUGUUUCUAAAUUAGUUUAUAUUAUUGUUAAAUGGUUUCUAAAUUAAAAUUUAAUUAGCAAUUAAGGUUUUUGUUACCAAAUUUAGAAUUAAAUAAUUGGUAGUUAAAACUUUGGUUGGUAAUUAGAUACUAAUUUAAAAACCAUUUAACAAUAAUAGAAACUAAUUUAGAAACUAAUUUUUUUUAGUUUUUAAAAUGGUCUCUAAAUGUUUUUCUUGUAUGUGAUAUCUAAUUAACUACCAAAAUUUUAACUACUAAUUAUUUAAAUUCUAAAUUUGGUAGCAAAAAUCUUGAUAGAUAAUUAAAUACUAAUUUAGAAACUAUUUAUAAUAAUAAAAACUAAUUUUAAAAUCAAUAAUUUUUUUAAUCUCUAAAAUAAUAUCUAAUUUAAUUAAUAUAACAAUUAAUUAUUUUUAUUUCACUAUUACAUUAAGAUGCAUUCUACAACAGUUACAAUUUGCUUUGUUGCCACGUUUUUGAACCGUGAGCUACUGCACCUCCAGCGAUGAUUUAAUUUCAACUCAGCAUUCCAAUUUGUUAAACAAAAAACUACACCAAUUUGGUUCAUGUAAAGUUUAUUUUGAAUUGCAAUUCAACUUUAAUACCAAAUUGUUCCUGCCUAGUACAUUCCAGCCAAAACACCAAAUUUGUACAGUUGAAUCAAAGAAUAGUUCAGAAAUUGAAAUCAUAUUUCAGAAAGUAAUAAAUUUAGAACAAGAAAAACACAAUGACUCUGCCUUAUCCAGGAACAACAAAAACAAUAGUUUCAAUUUUCUACUAGCACCAUCAGCAUAUUCAAGCCACAAGUUAAAGCAUCAAUACAACAUUAUUUUUUCAAAAUAUUUGCUAAUUACUCUUUUAUAAUAUUUAAUUAUUUAAUUAUUUAAUUAUAUCAUGUUUUUUUAUUAUUAUUAUUACAUAUUUAGGAAUUAUAUGUUCGGUUUUAUUAAAAACUAAUUUUUCUUUUACAAUAUUAAAAUAAUAAUUUAUUAAGUUACGAAAAAUUGUCAAAUUUGUUUAUUCUCUUUCAAUUAUCGAGAUUUGUUUUAAGAAUUUAACAAAACAUUUGUUAUUUACAAAUUAUGUCUUUAAGUUUAAUGUGUUUUUUUAAUUAUUAUUAUUUACGAAUUGUAUAUUCAAUUUUAUUGGAAAUUGAAAAUUUUGAUAUAUAAUGUUAAACGAGAACUAAUUGUCAAAUUGAUUCACUAUCUACACGCGUGAAUAAAUUAUAUAUAUAAUACUGUUUAUUUAAUUAACAGAAUGAUUAAUUAAUUAGUACCUAUUUUCUAUCUUUUUAUUGUAAUAUUUUUAGUUUCAAUUAUCUAACUUAUAUAAUUUGUCUCAAUACUAUUUUAAAAUGGAUAAAUAAAUUUACAAAAUUAGAAAGUGCAAUCCAAAUUUAAUUUAUCAAACAAAAUAUAUUACUUACAACACACAAAUAUCAAAAUUAUUUUUAUAAAAUAAAGUAAGAAAUUUAAAUUUACUUUACCAUAAAUUAUUUUUAUUGAUUAUUUUGAAAAUUUUAAAAUAAUUUUUAUCGAUUAACAUAUUUUAAUUACUUAUAAAAAGUAUUUAAGUCAUCAAUUUUAAAUAUUUAAAUUUAGUGUCUACAUAUAAUUUUAGACAAAUAAUUUUAUAUUUCUAACUAUUUCUUACAAAUUAUUUGAAAUUUUAUUUUGUAAGAAUAAAUUUUAUACAACACCAUAAUUAAUAUAUGUAUAUAUUAAAGAAAUUAUAUAAUAAAUAUAUUACAAAUUUAUUACAAAAAUGGUCUAGUUUUGUUUAAAAUUUUGUCUCUAGCUACAUAAAUAUUAUAUAUCUUUUAAAAUAAUUAUAUUCAUUGGAUAUAAAUGAAUUUUAUGAAUAAGUAUUAAUACUCAAUUAUACAAUACGGUUAACUUUUGAAUAUAUAUAUAUAUAUAUAUAUUAUUUUUUAUUUGGCAUGUUUUAUCAUAAAUGAAAUGUUAUAUAAUUAUUAUCUAAAUUAAUUAAUAUUUAUUUAUUUAUAAAAUUACUUAUGUUUUAAAUUUUAAGUUAAACUUUAAGGAUUUGCUGGUUCAAAAAUAAUAAUAUAAAAAACAUUUUUUCUAUAACUAAAAUUUGUAAUUUUUUAAUGAAUAUAAUGAUAGACUUCAAAUUUUAUAUAUUAAAAUCACAAUUAUAAAUAUAUUACAACUCAAAAUAUUAUUACUAAUUUAUAUAAUGUUUAUAUUUUGAUAUGAUUUAGUUACUUAUCUAUACAAUAAUUAAAAAAAUAUAUAAAUUAUGUAUUAAGCACUUGAUAUACAUAUUUACAAAUUUUAUUAUAUAACAUAAUUGAAUAAUAAAUAGGAUAAAUAUGAUAUUUUUUUUUACUUUUUUAUAAAUUUUCUUUCAUACCUUAAAUCAAUUAUAUCUUAAAAUUAUAUUUAGAAAAAAAAAAAUUUAUUAAUGGUAAUAUGGUUUUUUUGUCUCUUCUUUUAACGAGCACUAAUACAGAAUAGUUCAUUAACGACGAUUAAAAAGGCUAUAAAGAUGAUUUUCAAACUGUAUUAUCUUAUAACAUCAGAUUGAAUAACAGAUGUUGUUCUUUCAAAGUUGGAUACAUUAGGGGAAAAAAACCUUAGGUCACAUUUUUUCUAAAUAAUUUCUGAAAUAAUGUAGCCAUAUUUUCUAGUAUUUCAAUAUGCGAAAAUCAUAGGAGAAUGAAAUAAACACAAGUACAAUUAUGGCAAAAUACACUUUGAAAUAUAUGAGAAUCAUAUUUAAGAUAAUUUUUUCCCAAAAUUAUAUUCUUAAAAUAAACUACUCAUUCUGCAAGCACAUUGUUCAUAUUAUAUGUCAAAGAUGAUUUUCAAUUUUCAAAGUUAGAAAACCCUAAGCUACUUGAUGCUAUGAAUCCCAAAGAUUUGAUAACCAAUAGGAUGCAGAACCAAUAAUAGAGGUCUCUUUGGGAAGGGACUACGAUUUACAAAUGUAAGGUUUUGUGAAGCUGUAAAGGCAUGUUGUUUUUAUUGCUACUACAAGAAAUUAUGCAAUAUUUUAUAGCAUAAUUAUGCCAUGCAAAGCACUAGAAGUGCCAAAAAGCAACGAUUUCAUAAAAAAAUAUGCAAAUAAAAUUUAACAGAGAACCAAAACAGAGCACAAUCAAGACAUUUGCAUCACGCUAAAAGACAAUCACAAUAAAAAAUUUCAAUCGAACGAAACAUUUAAAAAAAUCCCAAAAAAUAUAUAUCAGAAAUCAAAUCCAAUGAAGUUCAUCCCCAAACCCUAAAAUUGUUUUUAAUCCUAUUUUGACACUGAAAACCCUACCACAUGCGAAAAUGGAAGGAAGAAAACGUAAAUUUGUCUCUUCACAUCAUUUUGCUUUUGGCAAUGUCAUUGUCGUGAAUGAAUUUGAAGAACGAACCGCUUACCUUACUCACAUAAUGCCACUCCUAGUUCGUAACAAAUGGCUUAGGGUUUUAGAGUUGUCUUGGUUUUGACUUAGGGUUUCACUAGUGCAGAAAGGCAAAACAGGGGCGCCUUAUUAAGUGCGGUUUUACGAACAGACGCAAUCGUAGAAAAUGUGGUGGCAUUUUUUAAAUUAAGUUCAUUUACAAAUGCGACUAUUUGUAACAGCCGCACUCGUAAAUCAAAGCGCUUGAUUUUACGAGUGCGGUUGUUACAAAUAGCCUCCCUCGUAAAUCAUUUUUACCUUAACUUCACUUCAGAAGCGCGCCAUUCACUACUCUUUUUUUCUCCAGAAGUGUUCCGUGUUUGCACUAUGCUCUCAUUUGCGCUUCGAGUUCCUCUCUUUUUGAAGCGUUCGUGCCUUCGUGGUAAGUUUGUGAGCUUUCUUUCUUCUUCACCAUUGUAUUUUUUGUUCAUACAAUGUAUUGAUACUAUUCAUACUGUUGCAUUGCCUUCAUUGAUACUGUUGCAUUGCCUACGUAGGUUCCUCUCUUCUUGCUUGUGUGCUCCGUUGCUGCUUCCCCGUCCACCGCCUCGUUCGUUGUUGUCGUCGUGCCACCUUGGCAACGUUGCCUUCACACACAAGGUUGGUUUUAUUUUUUGAAUUUUUCUUUAGUGUUAUGAAUUUUUUUUAUGUAUUAUAAUUUUUAUUUUUUAAAAUUUAUAUUAUUUAGUGUUUAUUUUAAUUUUAAUUUAUAUUUGUUGAUCAAGGAUGAUCUUGAAGCUUUGAUGUCUCCAAAUCCAUGAUGUUUGAUGGAAGGCUGGAGUUGUUGUGUGUGUGGGAGGGUUUUGGGUAGAAUGAUGUGCAAUCCACUCUUUGUUUGAAUCUAAAACAGUUUGGAAUCAAAACUUUUUUGAAAAAUAAUGUUUUAUGAAGAAGUGGAAAAACAACCUGUUGUUUUGUCGUUUCAAUCGGUUGUUUAUCACUUAGAGGUUUUUGAAAAGGGUUUGAAGCUGUUUGACUUGGUUGACUUUGCUGUCAAACCAAUUCAAUCGGUUGUUUUGAGGAUUCAACCGAUUGUUUAUUGAAAACCCAUAAAAAAAAUUUAUUAUGUUUGCAAAUCAGCUUUAAAUGUUUUCUAGCUGAAUAGGCUCAUACUUUAAAUGUUUUUAACAACAUUUGGAGUAUUUAAAAAGGUUGUUAUACUCUCUUAAAGUUUGAUAACAAAUUUGAGACAUUGGUGAGAGUGUGAAAACAAAUUUGAGUUUUCAAGAUUUGCAUUCAAGAUUUUGGGUUUUCUCAAAGAAGUGGAAUAGGAUUGCGGUAAUCUUUCGAUUUGAUCUUCAUCAGGUGUAAUCCUUUCUGAAUCUAUUGUAUUUCUGAAUACUGGUGUGUAAGUGCAGAAUAAGAGGGUGUUCUGAUUUCUGUGGUGUUUGUGUGCCAAAGGAAGUGUGUUUCUUGAGGUGUUCAAGGUCAUUUCUUUGGUGGUGUGUUUGUAAUAUGGAUUUUGAUUGCAUUGUAGAUACCUAGUGGUUUCUGAGGACUGGAUGUAGCUUUUGGGAUAAGAGUGAACCAGUAUAAAUUGCUUAUGUGUUUUUCUCUUACCCUUAACUCAUUUAAAUUUUGCUUUUAAGUUGUUUUUGCUGAUAUAAACAACUGGGUGAAUCGCAAAAACAACCGGUUGAUUUUCUGUUAAUCAACUUAAACAUUUUUAAUUGAUUGCUUUCUGGAUUUCUAUAUCUGUGAUUCUGAUUUGAACUUCAUUAUACCUUUAAAGUUUGCGAAAAUCUUUCAUAAACAAUUCACCCCCUCUUGUUUAAGGCCAUAUAUUCUAACAAUUGGUAUUAAGAGUUUGGUACUUGAAAAAUACUCAAGUUUGAUCCUAAUUUUUUUUUUCUUAUGGCUGAAAAAUUACCCUUUGGGGAGGGUGCAUCAAUAAAUAGACCACCUUUGUUUUGUGGUUUGAAUUACCAAUUUUGGAAGUACGUAUGCAGAUCUUUGUUGAAUCUCUUGAUAAAGGAAUAUGUGAUGCAAUUGAAAAUGACCAUUUUAUUCCUAAGCUUGAAAAGGAUGGUGUUUCUAUUGAAAAGCCUUGGUCCCAAUGGACUGAUGCAAAAAACAAAAGAGCAAAGUUUGAUUGCAAUGCAAAAAGUAUUAUCACCUCUGCCUUAAAUUCUAAUGAGUUUUUCAGGGUCUCUCAAUGCAGAUCUUCUAAGGAGAUGUGGGAUACUCUAGAGGUAACUCAUGAAAGAACGAACGAUGUAAAGAAGGCAAGGAAACAUACUCUAAUCCAAGAGUAUGAGAUGUUUAGAAUGCUCAAGGGAGAAUCAAUUGCGGAUGUGCAAAAACGAUUCACUUACAUUGUCAAUCAUCUCGUGAGUCUUGGAAAGGUCUUUGACAAAGAAGAGUUGAAUAUCAAAAUUCUCAAAUGUCUUGAUAGAUCUUGGCAACCUAAAGUUACGACUAUCUCAGAAUCAAAGGAUUUGACAUCUUCGACUACAACCUUCUUGUUUGGAAAGCUUAGGGAGCAUGAGUUGGAGAUGAAUAGACUCAAGAUUCAAGAGAGUGAAGAUAAGCAUGUAAGAAACAUUGCCUUGAAAAAUGCCAAGCACAAGAACAAUCAAGUUUCAAGUGAUGAGAGUGAAGGAGAAACUCUUAGUUUUCUGUCCAAAAAGUUCAGCAAAUUCAUGAAGAAGAAUCGCAACAAAGACUCCAAUAAAGAAAGGUAUGACAACAAGAAAACUAGUGAUUUUAAUGCUAACAAUUAUACUUGCUAUGGUUGUGGAGAGCAGGGGCACAUAAAGACUGAAUGCCCAAAUAAAGAGAAGAAGUCGAGCAAGAAGGAAAAGAAAGCAAAAUAAAAAAGAGCCUACAUUGUUAGGGAUGAAAAUGAUGUCUCUUCAUCUAGCUCCUCAUCAAGUGAAGAUGAAGAAGCUAAUAUGUGUUUGAUGGCCAAGGAAGAGGAUGAUGCAAACAGUGUAAGUUCUUGUACUUCUUUAAAUGCUGAAAAUUAUAGUCAACUUCUUCAAGCUUUUAAAAAAACACAUGAGGAAGCUAAUCAUUUGGCACUCUUAAACAACCGAUUGAAAGGGUUGAAUAACUGGCUUGAAAACAGAGUCAAGGCAUUGGAAAAAGAGUUGGAGAAUUCAAAAACUGAUUGAAAAUCUAGAAAUAAUUUACAAGAACUCUUCUUGCAAGUGUGACUCUCUUGUUUGUGAAAAUUGUGAAUCUCUUGAAAAGAAGGUUCACUAUCUUGUGAAAACUGUGGAUAGACUUUCAAAGGGUAAAUCCAACUUUGAGAAUGUCUUGGCAUCUCAAAAUUGUGUUUUUGGAAAAACAGGUUUAGGUUUUAAUCCACAGAGCAAGAAGAAUGAGUUUUCAAAGUCUUUUUCAAAACUGGCAGAAAAACAACCGAUUGAAAAAUCGAAACAAUCGGUUGUUACAUGAUUUAUUGCAUGAAGAGAGGCCACUCUGUUAGAUUUUGCAAUACUAGGAAAUAUUUUGUUCCUAAAGGUGUUAUGAGAUGGAUUCCCAAGAAUUGUGAGGUUCCUCGUGAUAAAGUUAAUAUCAAAGGACCCACAUUUGUAAGAGGACCAAAUCUUGUUGCUUGAUUUCAUGGUUUUGCAGGAUUACUAAUAGAUUAAGGAGUCUUGAGUCACAAGAUCAAGCUUAUGAAGGAACUUUCUGGACUUCCAAUUACUGUUUUGUACAAGCUUAGUCUUCUUGAAAGCCAAGAGAAGUUACUUGAUCAUGGACAAUGACUCAUUGAAAGAACUACAUUGGCAAAAGGAUAAAACUUUCCUUGUUUUAAUUUUUUUUAAUAGUCUUUAAUUCAGGUGUAUGAUAAUUGAUGUCUGUAUUUUUCAUCUAUGUGAAGGUGCAUGUAAAACUUUCUUUCUGAUGCAUCUCUGGCAAUCUAUUAUUAAUCUAUGAAAUGCUUUAAUCUUUGUCACAGAAAAACAACCGAUUAUUUUCACGAAACAACCAAUUGUUUCCCUCUGGCAACACUGCAUUAAAUUGAGUUAAUUUCUCUAUGCAUUGUUUCUGUUGUAGAUUCUUUUCUCAAGAAGUUACAAGUCAAAAUUGCUUUUAUUGUUGGUCAGAUUUUGUGCAGAAAGAGUGUUAUUUUGGUCAUGAAUGGAAUAUAUUCCAUAUCUUGGAAAUUCAAGAGCUUUUAUGACUAGUCAAAUCCACAUGUCAUGACCAUGUGCUUUCUGGUAUUAGCUGACAUUUUUCUAUGCAAUCUUGGACCAAAUAAUUCUUCUUGAAGACUGAAACCCACUAAAUGGCAAGAAUUGAAGCUGCUACUUGUGCAUUUGUAGAACCCUAUGCAGUUGUUUUUCUUCACAAAAACAACUCAUUACCACAUCUCUUGCUGUUUUUCAAAUUUGCUAUUCCUUCUCAAACUGGUUUCUGUUUUUCUCUUUGCCUUCAUGGAUGCCACACCUCUUUCAUCAAAGAGGAUCAAAACAAGGGUUGUAAGAAGGGGAGGACGCAUUUAGGCAUGGUUCUCGGGUGAAGAUAAAAAGAUUGAGAAAUAUCUUCAUGAAACAAGUAGGAAGACAAUAAACAAUCCAAAGCUUAUCUCUUUCACUUGGUUAAAGGAGCAGAAGUUGGGUGAGCUGAGAAGUCUUCUCAAAGAACAAAUGCUGAAGAGGUUCUUGGAGAUGUCAGGGAACACAUACCCUGAACUUAAAAGGGUAUUGUAUACCGACCUUCAAUUUGUUGGAAAUAACCUUGUUUCUCAAGUAAAAGGGCUUGAUAUGGAGAUUACACAUGAAGUAUGGACUGCCAUCACUGGAUUAAAGUAUGCAGGGCUGCGAAUCAACAAAGGAAACAUUGGUGUGGUGGAGGAAUUUAAUAAAAUUCAGUUUUACAAGAAUUGCUUGGAGAAUCCUCAAGCUAAAGUGACAAAUUUUUCAGUGGGAGGUCUAAAAUUGAAUGAAAGGCUAAUUGCCUUAAUUGUGACAUGGAUGCUUACACCUAGGGGGAGCAAUCCUUUUGUGCUUACUGAGGAGGACCUUGUCUACAUGUAUUGCAUUAUGAACAAGGUCAAGAUCAAUUGGAUCCACAUCAUUAAGGAACACAUCCAGAAAUCAAUGAGGUUAAGUGACUAUCACUAUCCAUAUGCUGUAUUGAUUUCUAAAUUCUUGAAUUAUUUUGAAGUGGACCUUGAGGAAGAACAAACUGAAGUUGUGAAAUCAUCUCUUGAAGUGAACAAUGGUUCACUUAACAAGAUGGGUUUCACCAAGAUUGGUGGAAAAUGGGUGAGCAAAGAUGGUGAUCAAGGUAGUUCCUCAAGUGGUGUGCAUGCUGGACAAUAAGAGAAAGAUUUUGAUGCUGCUGAAGGUGUUGGAGUUGAUGCUCAAGAAGAACAUACUGUUACUGAUAUAGGUGCUGGAACAAGUGCUGGAAAUCAAGGAGAAAUGAUUCUCUCAAUGUCUCCUUUUGAGAGGUUUAUGGUUAAUAGAAUGAACAACUUUGCUAAAAACCAAAGGAAUCUCCAUGAAUUUUGUGUUACAAAUUUUCAUAACUUUGAUGACAAAUUCCAAAGCAUGGAUACACGUUUCUAGAACCUUGACGAACAGAUUGAAGUUGUUCAAAACCAAAUAUUUGAGCUGCAGUAUGGAAAGGAAGAUUAAAGCAAAGUUUUAGUUAUGUUUAUGCUUAUCUUGCUUUAAUUUUUGGACAUUUCUUUCUUAUUUUUGUUUUUAUUCCUUUCUUCAUUAUAUUUGUGAAGACAAAUAGGGGGAGAAAAUGUUGGUUUAUGUGUUGUGUAUGCUGCUAUUACAAACUCUGAUUUCAAGUUUUUAAUUCUGUUGCAUUGCUGCUGCUACACUCACUGCUUUUGGCAUAUUUUUGGACUGGUUUUUCUACUGUUUUGAUUAUGCAUAAAACUAGUGAAUGUGCCUUGAUAACCUGCUACCAUAUAUGUUCUAUGUUUGUAUAGUUUUUGUUUGCAAGUACUGGUUCAUAUUCAAACAGAUCAACACAAGCAACCAGGGAUUUGUCUUCAUCAAAUAGGGGGAGAUUGUUGAUCAAGGAUUGUGCAUGAAGCGAAAAUACAUGAUGUUGUCUAUGAUGAUAUCCGGUCCGAAACAGCCAGGGAAUGACAUAGAUGUUUAUCUAAGUUCCCUAAUAGAAUAUUUGAAGUUAAUGUGGGACUAGGGUGUUGAAGUAUUUGAUGGAUUUGCUACUGAAACUUUCAAGCUUCAUGUCAUGUUAUUUUGCACCAUCAAUGACUUUCCGGCAUAUGGUAACUUAUCAAGUUACAAUUUUAAGGGUCAUAAAGCAUGUCCAAUAUGUGAAGAAGACACUGCUUCUCAACAAUUGAAAAAUGGAAGGAAGACAAUAUAUCUUCGGCAUCGGAGAUUUCUUAGAAGUCAUCAUCCUUACCGGAGGUUGAAAAAAGCCUUUAAUGGACACCAAGAGACUAGUGGUCCACCAACUCCAUUAACUGGUGUUAAGGUUUACGAAAAGGUAAAUAACAUAGACCAUACCUUUGGUAAGUCAAACAAAGAGUCAUCUGUGACAAACAUUUGGAAGAAGAAACCAAUCUUCCUUGAUCUUCCGUACUGAUCAAGGUUAGAAGUCAAACAUUGUAUAGAUGUAAUGCAUGUUGAGAAGAAUGUGUGUGAUAGCUUAAUUGGUACACUUCUUACAUUAACGGGAAGGCGAAUGAUGGUCCAAAUGCUCAUUUAGAUUUGAUUGAGAUGAACAUACGAGGCAAGUUGGCACCCAUAGAAGUCGGUAAGCGUACAUAUUUGCCCCCAGCCUGUUACACCAUGUCAAAAGAUGAAAAAAUCAGUUUUUGUCAAUGUCUAAAGGGUGUGAAAGUGCCACAAGGAUAUUCCUCAAAUGUGAAGAGCCUAAUGUCAAUGCAAGAUUUGAAGUUAAUUGGGUUGAAGUCUCAUGAUUGCCACAUCUUGAUGCAACAGUUGUUGCCGGUAGCUAUUCGUGGGAUCUUACCAAAAAAUGUUAGACAUACCUUAACCCGUUUGUGCUCAUUCUUCUCUUCCAUCUGUUGUAAAGUCAUUGAUCCAUCAAAACUAGAUGAACUUCAAAAUGAAAUUGUUGUUAUCUUGUGUGAAUUGGAGAUGUUUUUUCCUCCAUCUUUUUUUGACAUCAUGGUUCAUCUAAUGGUGCAUAUGGUAAGAGAGGUUAGAUUGUGUGGACCAGUGUACUUAAGAUGGAUGUAUCCUGUUGAGUGGUAUAUGAAAAUUUUGAAAGGUGAUGUGAAAAAUCAUUAUCGUUCAGAAGCUUCAAUGAUUGAAAAGUACAUAACUGAAGAAAUUAUUGAAUUUUGUUUAUAGUACAUGUCAAAAGCAAAUCCAAUAGGUCUUCCAGCUAAUUCAUGGCACCACAGGCGUUCUACAAGUAAAUGUUUACGUGGUGUGAAUAUUGUAAGCAAAUCUCGAUUAGAAGUCUUGCAAGCACAUUUGUAUAUAUUGAAUAACACAGAUGAAGUUAUACCUUACAUAGAAGCUCAUAAAGCCAUUGUGAAGGCAAAUAACCUAAGACAAGUAGAGAAAUGGGUCUUGAUGGAACAUAAUUGAACUUUCAUGCCUUGGUUUAAAGACGAGGUGUUAAAGAAUUCAACGGCAUCAGAGACCUUGACCUGGUUGGCUGCUGGAUUGAAGUUUGAUGUCAUUUCAUGUAAAGCGUACAAAGUGAAUAAUUGUAUAUUUUACACGAAGUCUAUGGAUGAAAAUAUUACAGUUCAAAAUUCUGGUGUUACUCUUGAAGCCGAGUCAAUGCAUUUUUUGACUUCGAAAGAUACAAAUCCUGUACUUGGAUCAAUGGCAUACUAUGGGUUUAUAAAAGACAUAUGGGAGGUUGACUACACUAAGUUUUUCGUUCCAGUUUUCAAGUGUAAAUGGGUUGACAAUAAAAGUGGGGUUAAAAUUGAUGAAUCAGGAUUCACACUAGUGGACUUUCGAAGGAUAGGGUAUCGAUAUGAGCCAUUUGUAAUGGUUCAACAAGCAUCUCAGUUUUUCUACGUGAAAGAUCCUAUGUCAGAACAUUGGUAUGUCAUUUUACACGGGAAAAAACAAGGGGAGGCCAUAGAUGAUACUGAAAAUAGUGGCCCUCGUUCAUUCACACCAAUGAUAAUUAAUAAAGAUGACGAUGUACUUGAUGAUGUACAUGCAACCUGUAAAGACCACAGUGAAAGAAUUUACAUAUGAACAUUCAACCCACAUGCAACCCGUAAAUACGCAUUUAUAAUUUUAUGUAUUUGUUUUAUAUGAUUUUAAUUCGAUGCAGAUUAACUAAUGUUAGUUACCUAAUUUUUUUAACACAGCUAUGAAUGACGAUCAAAAUCCAAUCAGAUCUUGAUCCGGACGAGUCAGCAUAGGACCUACUAGAUUGAAGUGUCUCGCAUUUAAACGUGUUGUUGGUGAGAAGACACGUGUUGACAUUGACGUCAACACUAGAGUGGCUUUUGGUCCUCAAGCAGAUGAGUUUAUGAGCUAUCUUAGAGUUGUUUCUCGUGAGAGGCUCUCCAUUUUAAUUAAUUCAUGGGAUGUGGUGUCAAAGGUCGAUCGGAACAUGAUCUGGGAGGAUGUUAUGGUAAGAUUUACAUUUUUAUUGUUACCAUAUAAUGCUUUUUAAUAUUCAUUGAUUAAUUUUAAUUUGGUGAUGAUAUUUUGCAGGCAAAUUUUGAAAUUCUUGAUGUGGAACAGCUUCGAUCAAAGAUUAUAUUCAAUACCGGACUUAAAUUCCGUCACUUUAAGUCAAGACUAACUUCAAGAUAUGUUUUUGGCGACCUUAAAGACGAAAAUCCAUGUUUUUAAAGUACAAAAAUAUUUGAUGAAGAGACAUGACGUCUUUUUAAAGAAAGCCGUGAAAAUGAAGCUUGGAUGGUAAGUGAAGUUACUUAACUAUUUUUAUUUAUAUAACAUUAAUAAGUUUAUCUUAUUUAAUUCACUUUGUUUAUUUCAAUUAUGACAGGAUUGUCGGAAGAAAGCUAAAGAGAUAGCUUUGAAGAAUGUUACCUCGCACGUACUAUCUCGUUCGGGGUAUUGAAAGCUUGAGCAAUCACUGUUGGUGGAAAAGGAGCAAUCUAGACAGGGGACGUCGUCUGAGAAUGUGGAAACAGGGGUCACUUCUGCUCCAUCACCACCUUUUCGCCAUGUAAAAUGGAAAAGGGCCCAAAUUAAAAAGUCGGGUGCACCAAGUUCUAAGCAAUCCGGGGUUUUCAUCGAAAAAAUUGUAAGUUAUUUGUUGUUUUUUUUCAUUUAUUUUAAAUCAUUAAUUAUAUUAAAACUAAUAUGAUUUUUGUCUCUUGCAGGAUUCCUUGGAAUCCCAAGGUAAUCCGAUCAGUCAUCCUCCUCCCCCAAAGAGAGCAAAGCAAAAAUGAAGACUAAGAUACGUGAAGAAUUAAUGGAGGAGAUGAGAAAGGAGAUUGAUCGGAUGUGGCUAGAGAUGCGAAAGGAGAAUGAUCGGAUGCAGCAAGAGUUUCUAUCGAAAGAACUUUGUGCUGAGUCGAUUCAACCCCUUGUUAGUCCCAUUCCCAAGAGCACCAAGGGGAGUUGUGCGGCUCCUACAACAUCAGGGGAGGAUAUCAUUGGGUAGAUGAGGGAAUGUGAGCUACUGGUAGCGGGCGGCAAGCUCCCUCAGGUGAUGACCCUUGGAAAAUUCUAUGAAGAGGCCACCACCUUACAUAACGUUCCUCUCUCCCCUAAUGUGACGAAGGUAACAGUUGAAAAAGUACGAGUACCUGAUGCUCGUGUUCCACUACCUUCAAAUGAGGUAACCACUGUGGCUGAUGCAUUUCAGACAUUCGUUGCCUGGCCCAUACACCUCAAUUUGAAUUAUGCCAGGACCUCAUGUAAUAAUUUAAUUUCAUUAUAUUAGUUUAUAUUUAUAUUUAUAUAUUACAUAUAAUUUAAUACAAAUGUUCUUUAUUCUGUAGAAACCUCGUCGGAAACCAAGUUCAGAAAAGAAGCAUUAGGUUCUGGUUGACGAUCCUAUAGCUUCCUUAGCUCUAACUGCUAGACAAAUUGGUCAAGAUCCUUUUGAAGAUCCCUGGGAUGAUACAUUUUUUCAAAUAAACACUGAUCUGCCACUGUACAUGUACAUGACAGAUUUAUUAGAAUUUGUAGCUGGAGAUUAGGAGUUCAAUAUAAAUAUAAUUCAAUUUUUUAUGAUGUAAGUAUCUUUACCUAUAUUUCAAUUUACUUUAUGUUAAAUUAUUAUUGAUUAUGCUUUAACUAAUAACUUGUAGGUUUUUGCAUGGAGUCUGUCUCAAUGAGGAGAAGGAAAAUGUGUAUAGAUUCUUAGAUCCUGCAUAUACUAAUCCCACUGGAGCAAAAGCAACAGAGACCCAAUCAUACAUCACUAACACCCUGAAAAAAGAGGGAAAACAAAUUUAUUUAUGCCUUUAUAUUAAUGAGUAAGUUUAAUUAUAUGUUCUCAAUUAUUAUUAUUUCAUGUUUUAAAUAUUUACUAACUCUUUUCAUGGAUAAUAUAGGCGUCAUUGGUAGUUACUUGUCUUAUUAAUGGUUGAUAAGACUGUUGUGUGGUUUUGUUCCUUACACAAGAAGAUACUCCCAAAUCUUAAGAAUAUCAUUGAUACGUAAGUACAUUAUAAACUUAACUUUGUAUGUUACUAAUUAACCAUCUACUAACGAGGUUUUUUUGUCUUAACCAGUUCAUUUGCUUGGAUAUAACAUCCUAAAAGGUCGAUCCACUUUAAAUAAUUUGAAUUGGAUAAGAAUAAAAGUUUGUAAUUUUUUUUCUUUCUCUUUUCAUUGUUUAUCAAUAUACUAACAUUUACUUUUUAUUGAAUUAUAGUGUAAUAAACAACCAGGAAGCUAUAAGUGUGGCUAUUACGUUAUGCAAUGGAUGAUUACCAUUGUAAGACUAUGCAUUAAAAGUGGUUGGAAAGAGGUAACAUGAUAUGUUAAAUUAUUUUUAUAAUUCUUGAACAUAUAUGUAUCUUAAAACUAAUUUAUGUCAACUAUAUUGUGAAAUUCACUUCUUCACGGAAGAAGUACCAAUGACUUCGGAAGCCAUAGCAUAUGUGAGACAUUCUUGGUCCAUAUAUUUCAUAAAUUUUUAUAACUCCAGGAUAGUUGAUCAAUAGUGUAGGGAUUAUAUGUAAUUUGAUUAGUGUUUGCAAUGUACAUUUUGAUCAAUAUAUAUUUGAUUCUCUGAAUUUAUGUAUUUUUCUGGCUGGGUAUAUAUAAUUGAACAAGUUAAUUUAUAUGAUAAUUAGCACUAAACAGAUUGCACUAAAAAAACACUAUUUACAAGGGCGGCUAUUAGCAUAGUUGCACUCAUAAAUGUGAUUUACAAAGGUGGUUAUUUACCAAAGCCGCUCUUGUAAAUCACAUUACGAGUGCGGCUAUGGUAAUAACUGCACUUGUAAAUGCAUUACCCCUAAACCCUGAUUCAGAAGCAUAUACAAGUGCGGCUACCAGAAAUAGCCGCCUUUAUAAAUAGUAUUUACAAAUGCGGUUAUAUAGCCGCAGUUGUAUCUCUUCGAUUUAGGAAUGUGUGCUGAUCAAAUGCAGUUAUAUAGUCGCCAUUGUUUAACCAUUAUGCAUUAGUGUUAAGACAUGAUUUCUCCUGGUUUCAGCUUAGGUUGUGUAUAUACAAGAGUCUUUGUCCGUGACGACACAGGCUAUAUGACUUCUAGCUCAAUGACGAGGUUCGUGACAAGGUUGAUUCUUAAGGAUUACAUGGACUUAAUUAGCACAAUUUAAAAACGUAUUUAAUCUUUUUUUAAAAUGUUAUCUAAAAUAGUAGUUAAAGCACCACAUUUUUAAAAAUAUUGUCUAAAAUGCUAUUUAAAAUAUCUACAAUUUUAAAAAUGUUGUUUAAAGUACUCACACUCUAGUCCACAUUUUAUAAGAUGUUGUUUAAAAUAAAUAGGCAACACUUUUUUAAAAUGCUUUGAUAUAAAGUAAAAAAUCUUACUAAGUGGGUAACAAUAAAAAAGUAUUGCUUAUACUCACUUUCGGCAACACUUUUCUAGCCAUUUUCACUCACUACACCAUUUUUUUUACCUUAGACAAUGCCUAAAAAGCGUUGCCUAAAGUAGGAAAAGUGUUGUCUUAACUUUAGGCAACGCUUUGGUAACGUUUUUUUAGGCGUGGAAUAUGCAACCGUGGACUUAGGUUUAGAUAAUGUUUUUUUGCAGUCGUUGCCUUAUACUGGUAGAAUAAGCAACAUUUUCCCAAAAAAAUUUAGGUAACGCUUUUUCUCUUAAUGUUUAGGUAACACAUUUUUAGUGUUAUUGCCACAUUUUUUUAAAUGUUGUCAUUGGUAUAAUCAACAUUUUUUUUAAAUGUUGUCAUUGGUAAAGGCAAUGCUUAUUUACAUGUUGCCUAUCUUUUUAGGCAACACUUAUUUACAUGUUGUUCGUCUUUUAGGCAACACAUUUUCAGUGUUGCAUAUUGAUAGAAUAGGCAACGCAUUUUCAGUGUUGCAUAUUGAUAAAAUAGGCAACGUUUUAUUUUUCAUAAUGUUUAGGCAACGCUUAUUUACUUGUCUGUCUUUUUAGACAAUAUUUAUGUACAUGUUGUAAGUAUUUUUUACAACACUUUUUUAAUGUGAAAACUUAUGAAAAACAUCUUAAUUUAUAAAAUUACGUUAUAUGCAACAUUUUAAACUGAUUUAAAACAUAAUUUCAUUGUAUACCAAAAUAUUUCAAAUGUGCAAGUUGCAUUUUUCAUUGUAUACAAAAAUAGUAGAAGUUGUAAUCAUUACAACUAAUUAGAGUUAGGAAAUAUCUCAAAAUUUCUACAUUUCUUCAAUCGAUCAUAAAUCUUGUGACACCAAAAUUAGUUUUUAUUAUUGAUAAAUAGUUUCUAAAUUGGUAUCUAAUUAGCUACCUAAGUUUUAGCUACAAAUUAUUUAGAUUCUAAAGUUGGUAUCUAAUUAAAUACUAAUUUAGAAAUCAUUUAUCAAUAAUAGAAACUAAUUUAGAUACUAAUCAUUUUUUUAGUCUCUAAAAUAAUAUCUAAUUUUGUCAAUUUAACAAAUAUUAUCUCUAAGAUUGAUUUAUAUAUAAUGAUUUUCUUGUAGUGUUUUAAUUACAUGAUUUGUCUCCUCAAUUUGCGUCUUAUAUACACAACUUUAAUUUAAAUUUAUUAAUCUUCAUGGCCAUCUCAAAUUUUAAAAAUGCAAAAUAGUGAAAGAAAAGAUGCCAAAUAAAUCAAAAAAACUUGAAACGAUAUGAUAGAAUUUUUGUAUGGUAGAUGACUUUAAAAAAGGCGUUAAGAUUGUUUUUGAAGCAUAGAUUACAUACCAAAUAAUGAAAUUCGAGUUAUUCAUCUUUUAAGAUAAUUUUUUUUACAGAACUGUUUAUUAUUAUUUAUUUUCCUCAAAAUUUGUGUCAUUGAUACUUGAACAAUUUAUUUAUUUACAUAUACUAUUUAUGUUUAUGCAUUUAUUAAUUUUAGUAUAUUUAGUUUUUUAUUUAUUUAUUCGUAUAUGUCUGAUGUUAUUUCUUAUAUAUUAAUAUUUGUUUUGUAUUUUUUUUCUAAUUUAAAUUUACAUUUACAUUUACAUUUAUAUAUAUAUAUAAUUAUAUAAAAAUAUAUUUGUACUUCUUUAUAAUUCAUAAAUUACAUGCUAAUUAAAUUUGUAAACAUGUUCGUACUUAUUGUUAAUUGAUUUAAAUAUUUAUAUCUUUUUAUAAAAAAUAAUAAUUAAUAUAUAAUUAAUGAACAGUGAUGAUAACAUAGUUAAUUUAAAUAUUUAUAUCUCUUUACAAAAAUUAAUGAUUAAUAAUUACUAUAUAAUUAAUGAACAGUGAUGAUAAAAUAGUUAAUUUAAAUAUUUAUAUCUCUUUACAAAAAUUAAUGAUUAAUAAUUAAUAUAUAGUUAAUAAGCAGUGAUGAUAAUAAUUAAUAAAUAUUUAUAUAUCUUCAUAAGAAUUAAUAAUUAAUAUAUAAUUAAUGAAUGAUAAGAUCAUUAAUUUUUUUUAAAUAAAAGCUUUCAUGUUAGGCAUCACUAUGUCAUUUAAGAUCUCAGCUAGGCUGAGACUUCAAGUAACAACAAUCAUUUACCAUCACAUGAAAAAAAUAUUAUUAAAUAAAAGAAAAAAGAAAGAAAAUACAAAAAUACGGGGGGACUAGACCAAAACCCUUAUUUUAACAAAAACGAUACGUAGGUAGACUAUACCUAUUCAUAAAGAAUUCUAAGAACAGACAAGGUGGAAGCCUAUUAUACCAAAGAAAAGAUUCUCAAUGAAAAAGUCCUAAAUUAGUCAACUUAUCAGCACACGCAUUUCCUUCCCGAAAAAUAUGAGUAACCGUCGAUAAGAUCAUUAAUUUAAAUAUUUAUAUCUCUUUAAAAAAUUCAUAAUUAAUUAUAGUAAUCUCUAUUUAUCUUGAAAGGGAGGACUGAUGACUUCCAACACUUAUAAAUACCUCCUUCUGCAUUGCUAAUCAAUUAUGCAGAAAAUUAAAGAAAACACAGGACACAGUGUUCACUUCUCUGCAUGAAAACUCUUCAUGCUGGUUUUUCCUCCCUAUCGCUACCUUAAUCAUCUUUUUACCUAUUGUCAUCAAUCUUUUAUCCAAAUGUAAUCACAAUUUCAAUUCUGCAAGGAUAAAAAAAACCUCACUCAUCGCAAUCUCCAAUCCUUUGCUCAAACCUAUGGCCCUUUAAUGUUACUUCACUUGGGAAGGGUGCCAGUUCUUGUGGUUUUCACAACUGAGGCAGCUCGUGAGGUUAUGAAAACACACGACCUGGCUUUUUCAAACAGACCAUAGGUUUGAACCUUUUUGGCACUAAGAAGAUGCAAGACAGAAAUACUCCUUAUCUGCUUCCAGUAGUUGCCAUAUGGAGCAAAUGCCACAUCUUUGGAACUAUAAAAGAAGAUAUCCGACAUCUUACGAUGUGGUCUGUUGGAAAAAACAAGGUCGUGUGUUUUCAUAACCUCACGAGCUGCCUCGGCUGUGGAGACCACAAGAACUGGCACCUUUCCAAAGUGAAGUAAGAUUAAAGGGCCAUAGGUUUGAGCAAAGGAUUGGAGAUUGCGAUGAGUGAGGUUGCCAACUUGGUGGAGAUUUCCUAUUAUUGGAAGCUUUAGAGGAGAUGGUGGUGAGGUUUUUUUGCUCCUUGCAGAAUUGAAAUUGUGAUUACAUUUGGAUAAACGAUUGAUGACAGUAGGUGAAAAGAAGAUGAUUAAGGUAGCGAUAGGGAGGAAAAACCAGAUUGAAGAGUUUUCAUGCAGAGAAGUCAACAUUGUGUCGUGUGUUUUCUUUAAUUUGCUGCAUAAUUAAUUAGCAAUGCACAACAAAUGCUUCUCAUAAACCAGUUUGUAUCUUGAAAUGGUGAAUGCACAAAAGAAAUAAGUUUUUAGGUUUUGUAGAUGUACAUAAAAACAAAAUUAUUUGACUUAAUGAAUAACAAUAUCAUGAGAAAAACCGAAUGGAGAGCAAUAUCAUGAGAAAGACUGGAUGAAGAGCACUAUGAUGAAAAAAACAAAACAUUUAAAUUGUAUCAGUAAAUGCAAUAUAAAGAAACGCAAAAGAGUAGAAUCAUGUUGUAAAGAGAAGCUUACCAAGAGCUCUUGAAGAGUUUUUGGCACCACUAGGAUUGAGAAGUGUAGUGCGGGAUCCAUGAAGAAGUGCGCGUAUAAAGAAUGAAAAAAAGGCUCUAAACUUCAUUUGAAAUCAAGAAUCAAUUGAGAUUUUAAAUUUGAAAUUAAAAAACGAUUAUCUUGUUUAUGUACACGGUCUUUCUACUGUACCGUAAUUUAGGCUUGCGUGUGAGAGAGAAACGGAAACACCAAUUUCCUCCAUCCAAAGCAGCUUUAGGGUUUCGUGACAGAAAAAAAGAAAUCCUAAUCCAACUUGAGAGCAUCUUGUGACUUUUGCAAAUUGUCUUCCACACAGCAAGAAGAAGCUAUGUCAGUGUGCCACAUGUGUUGUUUCUUCUUUUAGUAAAAUUGCAUUUUGAUUUUUUCUUAAAAAAAUGUGGUUGUGACAUGUGGCAAAAGUUUUCGAUUGCUCCCAUGAAUUAUAUUAAGUAUAGAAUUUUAUAUUAUUAUUUAAGUAGAAAAAUAAAAUAUUUAGACACUACAAGAGAAAAAAACCAUUUUGUGUGGGCCAAAUACGGACGCAAAAGCUAAAAAACUGACGCUUAUGCAUCGGAUUCGCGUCCGUUCCACAUCCCACGAAAAAACCGACGCAUGUGAUGAAGAAAAAAAAAAACAUUUUAUUUUGCUUUCUAACCAGAUUACCUGUAAAAAUUAAAUACCAACCAAAUCACAUUCAAACAAAUUACUAUCAUUCACAAUACAUCUAUAAACACCCAAAUCCACAAACACAUCCAAAGCAUGAAAUCAAAAUCCACAAACACAUCCAAAGUAGAAAAGCAAUAGAAAUAGUUAAACAAAAGAUAUGAAUACUUGAAAAAAUAUUACAACUAAAAUUGUACAUUACAAAUUUAACUAGAAGUAGCAAAAUGAAUCUCAUAGUGAUGUGAUAAACCUGUAAAAAAAUAUAAACAAUAUAAAUAAAUAAAUCAAAUAAUUAAAAUAUUUAGUAUAUAAUAAAAAUAUCAAAUAGUUAAACUUACAUUAUAGGAUGCACUUUAAGGAACAGGUUGAUCAUCCUGUUCUGGAUCAUACUCAUGAUCGAAUUGUGUUGUGCUAUUGGAAGUAGUUUUGUCACGUUCCAUANNNNNNNNNNNNNNNNNNNNNNNNNNNNNNNNNNNNNNNNNNNNNNNNNNNNNNNNNNNNNNNNNNNNNNNNNNNNNNNNNNNNNNNNNNNNNNNNNNNNAAGUUUAGCAUGAAGCAUUUGAUUUUUAGUCACAUGUCCAGAUUGUGAAGUGUCGGGCGCAGAGGCUUGGGUGAGAGAAGAGACUCCUUGGCGGAUGUUAGCAGCCAAGUCUGUCGUACCAUACACCCGACCUCUACUCUUUCCUCCGACAACUUCCUUCCAUGUUUGAAGCUUAGUUGCAGGAUCAAGUUGGUGGACAUCAAUGUUAGAGUCCUAAGAACUAUUUGCUUGAAGGGCCUUCAAGUGCUCAUGAUACUUUUCCUACACAGAUCAUUACAAAAUGAAAAUGUUAGAAAAUUAAAAUAUAAAUAUAAAACAAUUUAAAAGAAUAACUUACAUAAGUUUCUCGAGCACGAGAAUCAACCCAUUCACCCUUCUUAUUUGUGUGGGUGGCCAUAAAUAGUUCAUCAGGUUCUGGAGGACGACCAUAUUGACGUUCCUAAUAAUGUUGUACAAUUAAAAGCAUUAUAGGUUGCAAAUGCAAAAUGAUUUUCAUGUAAGGCAGUGACAAGUACUUAUCAAGGUAACUACAAUAUCUGAAUGUGAUUUUCUACCUGUGGAGUGCAGUGCUCCACCACGAGCUGAACUCUUAUUGGCUUUAUUUUGAGUUGAUUUAUCUUUGAAUUUUUGUGAAUCCCAAUAGUUUAGAAGUUCAACCCAUGCUUGCUGACCUAUCCAAAUAGGGCGGACAACCUUUCUCCUAGCCUUAGUCAACAUGUCACAAAGUCUUUUUUUGACUUUAGACUCGUAGACCUUUUUAAUUUGGCAUUCNNNNNNNNNNNNNNNNNNNNNNNNNNNNNNNNNNNNNNNNNNNNNNNNNNNNNNNNNNNNNNNNNNNNNNNNNNNNNNNNNNNNNNNNNNNNNNNNNNNNGAUGAAAAUAGUUACUUUGAGUCCACAAGAAAACAAGUGACUGUAGUUUGUCAAAAAUUAAAAUUACCUGAAAGUCAGUCCACCAUUUUAGUUUGUCCUCCUCAGGCAUGGCAUCAUAAUGAUGAUAUGGACCUCUAAAUUGAGAUCGAAUGCAAUGUCCAAUGGCCUCACUAGCAAAAUGAUUUGGUGUCCAACUACAAAUACAAACAAAUAAAAUUACAAACAUAGUAAUAUAAAGAUAAAAUUAAAUGUACAUUUAGGAUGACUUACCCUCUACCAAGAAGUCGGAUGAUGACCCUACCAGUAGGGUCACGCUGGACCUCCUCAGGGGGGAGGUUAUGCUCUGAAGCAGCAGUGGCACCAUGGUCAACAUGGUCAGAGAGGCCUUGCACAGAGCCAGUAGUAGUCGGGACAGAUGAAGAAGAUGUGGUGUGGACAAUGGGAUAAGGAGUAGUCUGCACCAAUGUACCAGGGGUGGGCUGCACAAAUGUACCAGAGGUAGGGUGGAGUGGAAAACUCUGAGUCUGGUGGAGUGGUUCAGGGACACUCUGAUGGUAAGUCGGAGCAGAGGAUGAUGGUCCUGGUGGUACUGGAAUACUAAGAGGACGAGGUGAUAUAGUGGGGUGUGGAUAAGCAUGCCGAAAUUCUCCUGCCCAGAGGACGAGGGGAUGGAGGAAGACGGGCUAGAAGAUGGNNNNNNNNNNNNNNNNNNNNNNNNNNNNNNNNNNNNNNNNNNNNNNNNNNNNNNNNNNNNNNNNNNNNNNNNNNNNNNNNNNNNNNNNNNNNNNNNNNNNNNNNNNNNNNNNNNNNNNNNNNNNNNNNNNNNNNNNNNNNNAAUCCUACCAUCCCUCCCUCUAGUCCUAACCAUUUUUCCUGAAAAAUUAUCUGUUCAUAAUAUUAGUAUAAAUAUGUAAUGAUCACAUGUUUUGUUUAUAAUUGAUUACAAGUAAUAUACAUUAGUCUUCAUUGUUAUCAAAAUCUGAAUCGUCAGUGUGUAUGUGAUGUUCUGAAUAAUCUUCAUUUAAGAGGUCAACAUCUUCAUCAUCGUCAUCAUUACGUGCUUCAAUAUCAUUAUCGUCAUCAAGUAGUUCGACAUUAGAUGUGUCAGCUAAACAUUGUAAAUGUUCAAUUCUUGUAACUGGUAACACAUUAGACGUCUCCUCAGCUUGAUACGGCAAUUCAUCAUUGAUGUUGUCAACUUGCACAUAUCCUCGAGGUUUUGUUUUAAUUGGAACACACCACCCACGAAGGUUUUUACAUAUGUUUGGAUAAGUGAGAUAAUAAACUUGUUUGGCCUUUUGCGGAAGAAUGAAUGGAUCAUAGGGUCCAUAUCUGCCACUUAACUUGAUUUCAACUAAAUUAUAUUGUGAAUGAAAUCUAGUCCCAACACUAAUUGUAGGAUCAAACCAUUCACCCACGAGGCUCUUAUAAACGUGCGACAUCACAAUAAUCCGUGACCCACGAGGCUCUUAUAAAUGCGCGACAUCACAAUAAUCCAAACCAGCAAUAAUCAGACCAGAAACCAACAAUAAUCCAAACCAGCAAUAAUCCAAACCAGCAACCACAACUCAAUAUCCAAAUAAAAAAUUAGUAAAAUGUGAACUUGAGGAGGAGGCAGAGCUUGAUCGGAGGUAGAGAAGGAAACGGAAGGAGAGCUACACGCGCGGAGGAAGCUUGACGUGGAGGGGAAGCUCGCGCGGAGGAAGGUCGACGCGGAGGGGAAGGUCGACGCGGAGGAAGCUCGCGCGGAGGAAGCUCGACGUGGAGGGGAAGGUCGACGCGGAGGAAGGUCGACGCAGAGGAAGCUUGAUGCGGAGGGAGAACUUGACGCAGAGGAAGCUCGACGCGGUGGAAGCUCGCGCGAAGGAAGCUGGACGUGGAGGGGAAGCUUGAAGAGGAAGCUGAACGUGAAGGAAGCUCGCACGCGAAAAUUGGGAAUUAGGUUUUCAGAGAUUUGGGGGUUUUGAAAAACUGGGAACCCCAAAAAAUUUCUAUAUACCCAAAAUAAAUUAAAACAUUUUUUAUAUAAAAAUAUUUAAAUUUAAUAUAAAAAAAUUAAUUUCAUUAUAUAACAAAAACUUUUAUUAAUUUAUAAAAAACAAUUUAAUUUAAUUUAUACAAUACAAAAAUUAAUUAAAUUUACACAAAAAUAUUUAAUUUAAUUUAUACAAUAAAUAUUUACUUUAAUUUAUAUAAAAUAAUUUAAUUUAAUUUCUACAACAUAAAAUUAAUUUAAAUUGUAAAAAAAUAUUAUUUAAUUUAUAUUAAAUUUAUAAAAAAUAUUUAAUUUAAUUUAUACAAUAAAAAAUGACUUUAACAUCUACUACCACAAAUAUCAAUGAAUCCUAUUAUUGAAAUUGCUCAUGAGACCUUCAUCAUCCCUUCUAACUUAUAAUCCAAAAUCUAAUAAUCAACUAUAUUCCAUGAUUUUAAGUUACUUCUAUAACUAUCACGAAAUGACUCAUAUUUCUCAAAUUGCUUAUGAUACUCUCUUUCAACCUUUACAAUGCACUUCUUAGUUCAACUCUUACCUUGACAAUGGACUACGGUUAUUAACUUCUUCCUGCUAGGGAGAUGAGACCUAGAAAACUAUUGAAGUCUUCGUCUUCUUCCCUCGGUCGGGCAGAUUGUUGGGUGCUUGACUGGGAUCUUUCUCAUCUUCGUGCUUCUUUCCUCGGCUCUCGGUCUAUGGCGAACACCGAUGGGGGGUACCUGCGAAGGCACUCUGACGCUAAGUCAAUGAAGCGGGUGAUCAUUAUUUUGGUAGGUGAACAGUAAUAAAUGACGUACCUUUCUUCUUGGAAUGUGUGUUGUGUAUAUUAUUUUAAUGGGCUGACCUUAUUGGGUCUGAUUAGUGGAGUGGAUCUGGCUUAGGGUUGUAUUACUUUAUCCUUAAUGACAGAUUAGCUUCACUGACCUUAGUUUCAGCGUUAACGGUAGUAUGGGUCAGCCGACCGUGAUGAUUCCACUCGUCUCGGCCAACCUUCCAUGGCACAUAACUUAUAAUCCAAAAUGUAAUCAUGAACUCUAUUCCAUGAUUUUAAGUUCAUUCUAUAUCACACCCAGUCAAAACUUACUUAUUUAUGUUACGUUUAUUAAAAACUAAGUCUACUAAAUUUACUAUGUCAAAGACCUAUUAUUUAGUAUAUUGGGAAACUAUAUUAACACACUUAUAAGGAAUAUUGCAUAUGUAUCAUCUCGUUACUUACUACAUUAUUAUGUGCUUCAGUUGGAAAACAUUAAUUUCUUUUCGAAAUCAUACUAAGUAACUAUAACAAUGACAUUUAUAGAGCAUGUAGUCAACUUUGGAACACUUUGGAUAUUGUAUCAAUCUAACAAUGAAGAAUAAGUUACUUACUCACACACUUAAUCUUAAUAUGUUUGUAUCAUAUACAUUUUCGCUNNNNNNNNNNNNNNNNNNNNNNNNNNNNNNNNNNNNNNNNNNNNNNNNNNNNNNNNNNNNNNNNNNNNNNNNNNNNNNNNNNNNNNNNNNNNNNNNNNNNNNNNNNNNNNNNNNNNNNNNNNNNNNNNNNNNNNNNNNNNNNNNNNNNNNNNNNNNNNNNNNNNNNNNNNNNNNNNNNNNNNNNNNNNNNNNNNNNNNNNNNNNNNNNNNNNNNNNNNNNNNNNNNNNNNNNNNNNNNNNNNNNNNNNNNNNNNNNNNNUAAAAUUAAACACUUCAUCUAAUUUAAAUAAAUGUUAAUUUAACUAAUUUAUAUCAUAAUUUCAAAAAUAAAAUAGUUAUAACAAUAUAUAAAUAAAAUAAAUUUAAAAUAAAUAAUUUUUGAAAUAAUAAAAUAUUUUAUAUAACAUUUAAAUAAUUUAAAUAUAUAUUUUCUUUUACUCAAUUAAUUUAAUUUAAUAAAUUUAAUUUAACUAAUUUAUAUAAAAAAUUGAUAAAUUAAAUAAUUUAUUAUAAUAUUAAAGAAAUAAUUUUAAAAUAAAUAUAAUAAAGAAUUAAAUAUUAUAAUAUUUAUUAUACAUUAAAUAAAUUUAAAUUUUAAAAUCCUAAAAAUGCGUGGGCCAUUGCGGACGCAUAUGCGUGGGCUUUGUGGCCGACGCAUAUUUAUUAUAAUUCUCUUAAAAAAAUAAUUAAAUCCAUUUGUGCGUCACUUUUGCGUCCAAGCUCAUUCUUGAGUCGGCUUUUAGCCUUUUUGAUCGACGAGACUAGCGUCUGCAAGUUGCCCACGCAAAAAUUUGGAAGCUAAUUUUUCAUUUUGCGUCCAAUGUGAUUUUUGCGUGGGCUUUUACCCAUUUUGGCCGACGAGAGUAGAGUCCGCUACUGGCCCACGCAAGAUUUUGGAAGCUACUUCUUAGUUUUCUUGUGGUGAGAAUUUGUAUUUAUUUUAGAUUUUGAAAAACUUAGAAAUUGAAUUAAUUUAGAUUUUUAUUUAAGAAUGAUAUCAAAUAAUUUAUGAUAUGUAUUUAUUUAGGAAUUUUAUUGAUUUUAGAUUUUUAUUUAAGAAUGACAUUAAUUUUUUUAUUUAAAUUUAUUUAUAAUUUUAAAAUUUUUAUUAAUUUAUUAAUUUAAUAUUUUUAUUUAAGUAGUAAAUAAAAUAAUUUAAGAUUUUGUAUUUACUCAAGAUCUGAAAAACUUAGAAAUUUUAUUUAUUUGAGAUUUUUAUUUAAGUAUGACAUAAAAUAAAAAUUUAUGUUUAUUUAGGAUUUUGAAUAAUUUAAAAAAUUUAUUUAUUUUAGAUUUUUAUUUAAGUAUGACAUUAAAUAAUUUAAAAUUUAUAUUUAUUCUGAUUUUGAAUAAUUUAAGAAUUUUAUUUAUUUCACAUACUUUAUUUAAGUAGGAUAUUAAAUAAUUUUAAAAUUUUAUUUGUUUAAAAUUUUAAAUAAUUUAGGAUUUUUAUUUAUUUACAAUUUUGAAUGAUCUUUUCUGUUCUAUGUCACGCUUUAUUAGAAAAUACUGCAACAUUUGCUUUAAUUAGUUGUGAGUUUAGGUUGGGGAAUAAAAUGGUUUGCUAAACAAACUCAAGGUCUAUAUUAUAUUAGUAAUUUUAUUCUUAAUUUAUAUAUUUUUCCCUUAGACUCGUUAUACUGAUGGUUAUACUGGAAAAAUCAGCUUGAAAAGCUUAUGAACACAAUUAAAAUAGCUUAAAUAAGUCAAUCAAUUGACACAGUACGAAUAUCAAUGCAAAGAAUGCAUUUUCCUUCUGCUAGAGUAUAAAAUUAGAAAUAGGUAGAUAAAAUUGUGAUACUUGAAUUCUACAUUUUUUAAUUAUGAAAUUAAAAAAGUACUGCAAAAAAGUUACAAUCUCCAUUCACCUAACAUAAAUUGGAAACCCCUACCACUCGUGUUAGUACAUAGUAUUCAACCAUGUAGGCUCUACAUAUCACAUAAAAAGUUAACGAGCUCCUAGUAUGUGAAUAUUUUUGUCACAAAAAUAAAAGGGAAAGGAUCUUAUAUUUGAUAAUAUAUGAUACCAUUUCAAGAGUUUCAAGGAUAUUCUGAACAUCAACCUUGACAACUUUGAUAAGAAUCUGAUUCAAAAGUUUUAAAUAGUUCAAGAGAAAGUGAUGAAUUAAAAUAAUUUUCAUAAGUAAUCAAUAUAAGAACACUAAAAAAAAAUCAGUAUUAUCUACGGAUUUUUAUCCACGAAUCUGAGUCCGUAGGUAAAUUCAGCAUUACUUACGAAUAUUACCAACAGAUUCUGAAUCCGUAGGUAAAUUCAGCAUUACCUACCAACUAUUACCCACGAAUUCUGAAUUCGUAGGUAAAUUCAGCAUUACCUACCAACUAUUACCUACGGAUCUUAUUACCUACCAACUUUUACCUACGGAUCUCUAUUACCUACCAACUAUUAUACAUAUUAUUAAUAUUAAUAUAAUAAUUUAAAUAAUAUAAAUAGUAUUAUAUUAAUAAUAAUAAUAUUAAUGAUAUUAGUAAUAUAAUAAAAUUAAUAAUAUCAGUAAUAAUAACAUUAAUAAUAUAAAUAGUGUUAAUAAAAAUAUAUAUAAAAUUAACAUUUUUUAUAAUAUUAAUAAUAUUAACAUUAUUUAUAAUAUUAAUAAAUAUUUAAUAAUAUUAAUAAUAUUUAAUAAUAUUUAAUAAUAUUAAUAAUAUAUAAUAAUAUUAAUAAUAUUUAAUAAUAUUAAUAAUAUUUAAUAAUAUUAAUAAUAUUUAAUAAUAUUAAUAAUAUUAAUAAUAUUUAAUAAUAUUAAUAAUAUUAAUAAUAUUUAAUAAUAUUAAUAAUAUUUAAUAAUAUUUAAUAAUAUUAAUAAUAUUUAAUAAUAUUAAUAAUAUUAAUAAUAUUUAAUAAUAUUAAAUAAUAUUAAAUAAUANNNNNNNNNNNNNNNNNNNNNNNNNNNNNNNNNNNNNNNNNNNNNNNNNNNNNNNNNNNNNNNNNNNNNNNNNNNNNNNNNNNNNNNNNNNNNNNNNNNNAUAUUUAAUAAUAUUAAAUAAUAUUAAUAAUAUUUAAUAAUAUUAAAUAAUAUUAAUAAUAUUUAAUAAUAUUAAAUAAUAUAAAUAAUAUUUAAUAAUCUUAAUAAUAUUUAAUAAUAUUAAACAAUAUUAAUAAUAAUAAUGAUAUUAAAUAUAUGAAGAAUGUUAUUAAUUUUUAUUUUAUUAAUUAUAUUAAUAUUGAUAAUCAUACUUAUAAAUAUAAUAAUAAUCAUAACAUGACAACAAAACUUGACUGGUGUAAUGGUUAAAGCUUCUAUGAACAUAUCUCAAGGGACUUGGCUUCGAGUUCCACCUGCUGCAGUUGAGUUCUAACGUAGUGGAAACCGGUACCAACUAACAAUCAAUAAUUAAAAUAAUUUUCAAAUAAUGUGAUUUUAUAACGACGGUUCUAGAGCCGUCGUUAUAAACAACUUUAUAACAACACCACCAAUAACGAUGGUUCAUAAAUCGUCUUUAUAUGUCUUUUUUAACCGUUGUUAAUGAAUUUUUCUAUACUAGUGAUAGUUUGGUGCACUACAAGAAAAUCAUUGAAUAAGGAAAUCAGGAUGAGAGGGAGGGAGGAUGGAGGGUGACUACGCUCUGGUGGAUAGAGGGAGGAGCAGAGGAGAAAAUCUGAUUCACCCUUAAUCAUUCGUCACCAAACUCCUGUACUAUGUUUUUCUUUUCAAAUUUUCCAAGUACCCAUGGUGAAUAUGAUAUGCUGAAGAUUUUCCAAAGAUGGGCUAGGAUGAAAGAGGUGUUCAUUUCGAGAUGGCGGAAUAGGUGGGGAAGAAGGUUUGGCUUUGUGAGAUUUUUUAUGGUGCCAAAUGAGUACAAACUGGAGAAGGAGUUGGAUCAGGUAUACAUUGGCAAUAUGAAGCUCUAUGUUAACUUGCCAAAAUACAAGAGAUCUGGGUCUUCUCAACAAGGUGGGGUGUUACUUAAGGGAGACAAGGGUAAGAAUCACCAUAACCAUGUACAGAUGCAACUGAAGGGUAAGAAGGAAUGGAGAGAGAUAAAAGGAAAAAGCCUUCAUAGGGACUGUUAUGAGAAGUGUUCAUACGCUGAAGCUGUUAGGAAACCUUCUUAGGACUCCUGGACAGGCCCAAGUAUUGAGACCUCCUCAACAGUUCUUCCUUGGAUGUCAAACAGCGCAGUAGGUCGGAUGGCUCUAGAUAUGAACUUUGUGUCCUUAAGCGAGGAGUUUAUCAAAGGAGGUAUGUCUAUGAUUAAGGUGAGAUAUAUGCGUGAUAAUCUUGUUCUCUUCACCCCUAAGGAAGGAGAACAAAUGGAAGAGAUCAUUAAGCUGAACAACAAAUGGUUUACGAGUCUGUUCGAGGAUAUUGAGCCUUGGUCUGAAUCACUGGUAGUGGGUCACAGGUUAGCAUGGGCGAGGUGCUACGACAUUCCAAUCCCCUUGUGGAAUAGGGAUUGUCUGUCUAAGGUUGUAGGCGAGGCAGCAGAGCUGGUAUCCAUCGACGAAGCUACUGAGUAGUGGGAGAACCUUGAGUGUGCACGCAUCCAAAUACGGGUGUUGAAUUCGCGUAAAGUUGAAGUUUCAAAAGGGUUUCGUAUUAAUGGCCAAAUAUACAACAUUAGUAUUAAUGAGGAGGAACCCAUCCAAGGAGGAGGGUCAUGCAUGUGCCCUGAACAUCUUUAUGCCUCUUCGGAUAGCAUUUCUUCAAUGGACUCCUUCAUUGUGGAAACUAUCUUCUCGGAUAAAGCAUUUGAGGAUGGGGACGCCAACAUCGUGGUUUCUUCCCAGCGGGGAGAGGAGGCUAAGGAGGGAAGAGAUAUUUCACUAGAGACAAAGUCGAAACAAAUAAGGGAACAUUCUCAAGUUGAAAGGGGGAAGCAGAAUAAAGAAAAUCUUUCUUGUGCAAAUGAGGUAAGGCGUGAGCAGGGGAUCUCUGUUGCUGGGGCAGCUUUUUCUGAGCAAGAGAAGGUCAACACAAUCUGUUCCUUUUUACAUAAGUCUUUGUUUGACCUGGCUCUUUGUGUCCAAAACUUUAAUCCCUCUACAACACAACCCGAUUUAGAUGUGGGCCAGUUUUCGAAAGCCCAAAUUAAUAAUAGUGGGCUGCUGGGCCUUAUGGAACAGGGGGUUCUGGGAGGAAUGGAUGAGGUGUGCGCAAGGGAAAUCGGAGGUACCAACGUCACCGGUUGGUGGAUGUUCGGAAUCGGCAACGGAGGCUUCUAUUAACUUUUAUGGAAGGAUUAUUGCAGAGCCUAAAAGUGGAUUGGAUCAACCAGAUGGUUCUCCCCGAAGCGGUGAGGAUGAAAGAGGGCCUUCGCCCCAACCUUCGCCCAACCAUAUUGGGGUUUUUGAUGAACCAAGCAGCGUGGGUAGCUCUACACCGGAGAGGAGAGGUUUGACCUUUGAUAAAGCUACACCAAGUGGGGAAGAAGGAUCCAAAACACCAGAGAAUGUGCGUAGGUUACGUGACCUUUGGGAGCAGGGCACAAAACAGUCUUGCCUGCGGUGGAGGUCCAAGGGUGGCUUCGGACCUCUUCACUACGGGAUUAACUCCUCAUCUAGGUUAAGUCACUGCUCCUUUGCUGAAUCUGUUAGUGACAUAGAACAUUGUAACAACAGGUUAAGGCUUGAGGAGUAUGUCGUUGAAUCUGCUCGUAUUUGGGAUGCGAGAAAACAGCUAGGCGUGAGGUUUUCGGGGGAGGAGGUGGAUGUUGUAGUAGAAUUGGAGUGUAUGGAGGUAUGGGACAAGGAAGUCAAAAAGUGUGCUGAGGAGGGUACCAACCAUGUUGUUUUAUGAUCAUACUCAAUCUCAACAUCAGAGGCCUAGGGGGGGUGGGGGAACCAAAGCAAACUACCUGAAACACGUUAUUGCCAAGGAGGAUGCAGAAUUUGUGUGUUUGCAGGAGACAAAAUCCGUUUCUAUCUCCGAUAGUAGAUGUUUCUCGCUUUGGGGGGUUAGUAAUAUUGGUUGGGUGCAUCAUGAAGAUGAAGACGGCGCAAGGAGCCUUUUAUCAAUGUGGCAUAAAGACAAAUGUUGCUACAAAUCGCACGUUGUAGGAUUAGGCUUCAUAUCUGUUGUAGGUCAGCAUAUUAAAUCUAGACGCACGUGUUUAGUGGUUAAUGUGUAUGCAGCUUGUAAUUAUAGAGCUAAAGUAACUCUAUGGAAGCUCUAACGUCUCUUAAAAGGUCUCAUCAAAACGUGGUAGGGUGUUUUUGCGGUGACUUUAAUGCUGUAAAAAGGGAAGAUGAAAGGAAAGGCAUUGGAGGUGGUUCUAGCCAGAGGAAGGAAAUGAAGGGUUCAACAAUUUUAUUGAUACAAACUGUUUGGUAGACAUUCCGAGUAUGGGGAAAAAAUUUACUUGGUUCAAAGCAAAUGGUACUGCUAAAAGCAGGCUAGAUAGAUUUCUUGUGUUCGAAUAAUGGAUUCAAGUUUUGCCCUUCUACAAACAAUAUGUACAACAAAGAAUUGUGCCUGACCAUUGCGCGAUUGUGGCAAAGUCUUGGGCCAAAGAUUGGGGCCCUAAACCCUUUCGUAAUAGAUGCGUGGUUUAUGGAGCCAGGAUUCAAACUGUAUGUGAAGGAGAAAUGGGGUUCUUACAUUGGUCAGGGAAAUGGUAUUUCUAGUCUCAAAGAUAAGCUAAAAUAUUUGAAGGCAGACCUCAAAGACUGGAAUAAGAAUGUGUUCGGGUGUAUGCAGACAAACCAGAAGCAAAUCCUCAAGGAAAUUAAGGACCUUGAUAUUAAGGAUGAAAGUGAAGUUCUUGAGGAGAGUGGUCAACUAAGAAGAAUGGAAUUACUUAGCCAAUUGCGGGAGGUGGAUAACAAGCUGGAUUCCCUUUCAAGGCAAAAAGCAAGAGCAAACUGGUGCAAGUUUGGGGAUAUGAACUCUAAAUUCUCUCACACGGCUAUUAGAUGGAGAAGACUUAAAAACGAAGUCAAAGGUGUGGAGGUUGGGGGGCAAUGGUGUGAGGAACCGGAAGUAGUACGUAGGGAAGCUAAGUCUUUGUUUGAGAAAAGGUUCACGGCUACACAAGAUUUUGGAGUAAAUUUGGGCUCUGUGGAGUUUAAAUGUCUCCCCUCUGAAAUCAGUACAAGGAUGGUAACAAGUUUCAUAGAGAAAGAGGUGAAAGAAGUCGUAUGGCAAUGUGAAGGUUCAAAGAGCCCAAGUCCAGAUGGAUUCAAUUUUACUUUUAUCAGGAAUUGUUGGGACGUCCUUAAAACUGACGUUAUGGAGGCUUUGCAGGUUUUCCAUGAAACCGGGGUGAUACCAAAGGGGUGUAAUGCCUCUUUUAUUGCUUUGGUACCUAAAGUGAGUGAUCCCCUUUCUCUCGACCAAUUCAGGCCCAUCUCCCUUGUAGGAGUCUUCUAUAAGAUUGUUACUAAGGUAUUAGUAGGUCGAAUGAAGGAUGUUCUCUCUUUGGUCAUUGACGAAGACCAAUCCGCUUUUCUGAGGAAUAGAGGCAUGUUGGAUAGUGUGCUUAUAGCAAACGAGGUGGUGGAGGUUAGGAGGAAUCGGAGGAGUGCACUUUGUUUUAAGGUGGACUACGAGAAGGCAUAUGACUCAGUAAGGUCAAACUUCUUACUUGAUAUGUUACAAAGGUUAGGCUUUCAUAGCAAAUGGGUAAGGUGGGUUACAGGCUGCUUGGAAUCGUCCUCCAUUUCUAUGUUGAUUAAUGGAAGCCCAACAGAGGAAUUCAAACCAUGAAGAGGGCUGAGACAGGGUGACCCUAUGGCUCCAUUUCUAUUCCUGGUGGUUGUUGAGGGUUUGGCUGGAUUAGUGAGACAAGCGACUAAGCAAAGCAUGCUUACAGGUGUGAAGGUGGAAAGAAAGGAAAUAGUAUGCAGUAUGCUCCAAUUCGCAGACGACACCCUGUUCACGAUUGCGGACUCUUUCUCAAAUGUUUUCACUAUAAAGACGAUUCUAAGAUGCUUUGAACUAGUCUCCGGAUUGAAGAUUAAUUUUCACAAAUCGAAAUUGGCAGGGAUAAAUGUGGAUAGGUUCACUUUAGAAACCUAUGCCAAGACUUUAAAUUGCAACACUAUGCGGAUGCCUUUCAAGUACUUGGGGUUGGAAGUAGGAGGUAAUCCAAGGAAGGUACUGUUCUAGGAGCCUGUCGUCAACAAGAUCAGUGCUAGACUUAGUACUUGGAAAGGGAGAUGCUUAUCUAUGGCGGGUAGAAUCUGCUUAAUCAAAUCAGUCUUUACAUCCAUUCCUCUCUUCUACUUAUCCUUCUUUAAAGCCCCGGUAUCGGUCUAUAACAGAAUUACGAGCAUACAAAGGAGAUUCCUGUGGGGUUGGGGCAGAGAUAACAGAUCCAUACCUUGGGUAAGCUGGGGAAAAAUCUGUAAACCUCUUGAGGAAGGUGGUUAGAAAUUAAAGACAUCAGGAAGUUCAACUAUGCCCUUAUGGCGAAAUGGAAAUGGAGGUUAAUGAGCGAAGCGAAGGGGAAAUGGAAAGAUAUCUUGGAGUCUAAAUAUACGGUGUUAUCUGGUGUUAACCAUGUUCGGUCUUGUUGCCAAUCCUGGUGGUGGAGAGACUUAGAAAACAUAUGUAGGGAGGGUUAUGGUGUAGGUUGGUUCCAACAAGCUGUUGCAUGGAAUGUCAGAUCUGGGGACUCUGUACACUUCUGGGAGGAUCCUUGGAUUAAUAACAAUAAUCUUAAGGAGUUAUACCCUAGAUUGUUCUCUUUAUCCCUGAAUCAAGGGAUGAUGGUGGGUGAGGCUGGAUUUUGGGAUGACUACGGAUGGCAUUGGCACCUAGAAUGGAGGAGGGAGAGAUUCAACUGGGAGUCAGUUUUGGAAGUAUAAUUAUUAACAACCUUAUCUAGGGAAGUUUUGAACAAGGACUCCAAGGAUAUUUCAUUACUUGGAGAGGGGACCCUAAGGGGUUUUUUUUCUGUGAAAUUAGCAUAUGGCCUCUUAACCAACCAAGGGUCCGGCCCAGGUAAUGCUGCUUUUAGCAUGCUGUGGAAGGUCAAAGCCCUACCAAAAGUCCUAUGCACAGCUUGGAAAAUCCUUUUGGACAAAAUCCCGACAAGCCAGAAUCUCGUGACACGAGGAGUCGUGGUGAACUCCCCUCUUUGUGUCUUUUGUAACCAGUCAGUGGAAUCCACCCAGAAUUUAUUCUUGGAUUGUGGUUAUGCUUAUCGUGUUUUGAUGUUUUGCUAUAGAUGGAUAGGUGUUCUGGGUGCACAGAACAAGGACAUUUGUAAUCAUUUUCUGAAUUUCCACUUACCUAACUUGUCCGAGAAACAGAAUUUGGUAUGGAAGGGAGUAUGGGCGGCGAUUACACGAUGCAUAUGAGAGCAUAGAAAUAAUGUGAUUUUCAAACAAGGCAUUCCUGAGGAAAUUCUUCAAGCAGCUCAACUUCUGUCAUGGUCCUGGCUCAAACAUAGGGAAGGUUCUUUUUCUUACUCUUUCACGGACUGGCUUUUAAAUCCUAUCCAGUGUCUUUUAUGUGUGCGCUGAGAAUAUUCUAGUGCUUCUGGGAAAGCUUGACGUCCAGUAUGCAGGGUAAUAGGUCAAUUAUUGUCUUCUUGGAUAUGCUGGAAUUUUGUCACGAAGGCUGGGCAGUAUAUAGCUGUAUCUGUUUAGAAGUGAAAUGCGCUGGUUUGUGGCUGGUUUGAAAGAUGCUGGUUUGUGGCUAUCUUGAUGCAGGUUCCUUCACGUUACUUGAAGCUAAGAAGUUAUGAAGUCCAGUAGGUUCCCAAUAGGUAUGCGUGGAAGUUAUGGUGCACCUGUGUUUCACUCUGAAGAAAUGGAUGUUCCAAAGUUUAGUCAGGCUUAACAGAUCUGUUUGCAUAGCCUUGUCAUGAUGGUAAUUGGAGGAGAGUUGGCAGGUUCUGAAUAUGCUUGUUUUGUCUUCUGUUGAUUCUAGCUUCAAUAUGGGGAUGCUGUCCUGGUACAGUAGGGGGUGAUAGGCAUUUAGUACAACCUCUGGUCUAUGCAGGUGUGAGAUUAGUAAUGGCAACCAUGUGGAAAGGUAUGGUUUGGAAAUAGGGUUUGAGCAUUUAUAUGGUAACUCAAAUGUGGCAGUAGCUAUGUGUGCGUUCCAUACAGAUAUUGGGGCAUAGGAGAAAAUUGGAGUGAAAAACUGGAAGGGCCUAACUCUAGUAGAUCUGGUUUGGUGUUGCUUGGAAAACCCACAUUUAUCUUUUCAUGUUUUUAGCUACUAGUAGUUUUGUAUAAGGGUUGGGACACCCCUGAAGUGUCCCUUUUAAAUUUAAUUAAUUCAUUGCCGAUAAAAAAAAACAAAAAAAUCAUUGAAUAGAAACCAAUUUUAGAAAAAAAUAAUAAUUAGUUGUUAUAGUGACUAAAUUAGAGACCAUUUUAGAGUCUAAAUUAUUUUUUGAUUUCUAAAUUAGUCUGUAUUAUUUAUUAAAUAAUUUCUAAAUUGGUAUCUAAUUAGCUAUCAAGGUUUUAACUACCAAUUAUUUAGAUUCUAAAUUUGGUAGCAAAAACCUUGGUAAUUAAUUAGAUAUCAACUUAAAAAUUAUUUAACAAUAAUAGAAACUAAUUUAAAAACCAAUUUCUUUUUAAUCUCUAAAAUUGUCUCUAAUUUAAUCACUAUAACAAUCAAUUAUUUUUUGUCUUAUAAAAUAUACUAUAACAAUAUAUUCCAUAUGAAAGCUGAGAAUAUAAUCCCUUAUUUUUAUUCUAAGUUAUUAUGUUUAUCUUUUAACAGUAACUUCUUAGACAUCAUAGGAUGCAAUUGCUAUGAGAGGAAAUUCUCUAUGAUUGCUCAACCCAUUACUUUCGUUGAUGUUCAACGUCUGUUGCCCCACCUCUCCACCUGGAACUUCCCAAUUAAAUUGGUGAACAAGGUUUGCCACGACCAACUCAAUCACAUUCGUCACAAACAUUAUUCCUGGACAACCCCUCCUUCCUGCUCCAAAUGGUAACACUUCAAAAUCAAGUCCUUUCACAUCUAUUGAACUAUUUAAGAAUCUCUCUGGCUCAAACUCUUCAGCUUUGUCCCAACAAGAAGGAUCUCUUGCAAUUGCCCAAGCAUUAACUACUACUUGUGUGCCACUUGCAAUGUCAUAGCCCAUCACUUUGGCAUCUUCUCUGGAUUCCCUUGGAAUCAACAAGGGAGCUGGGGGAUGUAAUCGAAAAGUUUCUUUAAUCACUGCCUUCAUAUAAUGCAUACUAGUUAAAUCUUCCUCAGUUAUGCGACUUCUGCCACCAACCACAUUCCUUAUCCCAUCGCAAUUGGGUACCUUAGGAGUUCUGUCAUUAUCCAUCCUAAGAUUGUGGCGCUACUCUCAGUGCCUGCGGCAAACAUAUCCUGGAACAAAUACCCAUUGUCAGUUUCAUUGUCUACCUUGAAUUUCCAUGAAUGGAAAUAAACUCAACAUUUAUUAAGAUUUUGUGCAACUAAUAUGCGACUUAACUUUUUAUAGAAAAGUAGUGUGUAUGUGUGGAACAUUGAAAAGAAAUAACUUUUGUACAACAAUUGUACAAGAAAAAUAUUUGAAAACUUGUUGUUUAACUAUUUGCAACAUAGACCCUAUGACAAGUGAAUUUCAUGUAAAAUAAUUUAAAAGCUUAAUUAAUUUUCAAGUUCUUGAGAAGUUUGAGUAUUUUUAAUUGAUUCGAUUGAGUACUCAAAAACUCUAUAUUUUUCAAUUGAUUUUCCAUUGUUUAAAUUUUUUGUUAGGUAAGUGAUGUAUUAAUGUUAACAUUAAGUUAGAGUUGCACAUGAAGAUAGUGAAGGACAUCUAAUAAUGAGACAUAUUUUCCGGAUAUCCAAUAUAAGGUGACUUUUUAUUGUUUUGGUUCAAAAUGACAGAAACAACUUGUUUGAAUGAUAUUGAAAAGAAAGUGAAACGAAAAUGAAGAGAAAAGAAAAUCAAAAGCCUAAAUACAAUGUUGAGAAACUAUAGAAUAAAUGGUUGAAGUUGUGGGUGAAGGUCAUGAAUAAUAAAAUACUUACAAUUAACUUUCUUAUAGUUGACUCUAACCUUUAUUUGGUCGCUAUUGUUUCAUUGUUCAACCUCACACUUGUUCUAAGUCUCUCAAUAUCAUAUUUUGAUUUUGCUAUUUUUUUUUUUGUCUUUGUUUUUCAUCAACCCAUAUUAUGUUAAUCAUCAAAUUAUGUCGUUUAAUAUUAACAAAAAAUAAUAUGUCAAAGAUCCAAGUCUAUUAAGAACCGGAAACUUCAUAUCUUUUAAUAAGCACUUUGUGACUUUUGCAAUCCUCCUUACAAGCACUUUGUGACUUUUGCAAGUUGUCUUCCACUCAGCAAUGAAGAAGUUGUGUGAGUGUGCCACUUGUGUUGUUUCUUCCUUUAGUAAAAUUGCAUUUUUGAUUUUUUCUUAAAGAAAACUGGUUGUGACAUGUGGCAAAAGUUUUCAAUUUCUCCCUUCAAUUAUAUUAAGUAUAAAAUUUUAUAUUAUUAUUUAAGUAUAAAAUAAAAUAUUUAAAAUUUGUAUUUAUUUUAGAUUUUGAAAAACUUAGAAUUUUAAUUAAUUUAGAUUUUUAUUUAAGAAUGACAUCAAAUAAUUUAGGAUAUGUAUUUAUUUAGAAUUUUGAAAAAUUUAGGAAUUUUAUUGAUUUUAGAUUUUUAUUUAAGACAUUAAAUUUUUAUUUAUAUUUAUUCAUUUAUAAUUUUGAAAAUUUUAUUAAUUUAUUAAUUUAUUAAUUUUUAUAUUUUUAUUUAAGUAGUAAAUAAAAUAAUUUAAGAUUUUGUAUUUAUUUCGGAUUCUGAAAAACUUAAAAAUUUUAUUUAUUUGAGAUUUUUAUUUAAGUAUGACAUAAAAUAAGUUAGGAUUUGUGUUCAUUUAGGCUUUGUUUGGAUUAGGGAGUGAAAAGGAGGGAGUGAAUUUGUGAUGAUUUGAAGGGAGAUUGUAAAGAAAGUUAGGGUGUUUGGAUUAAGGUAAAUAGAGUGGAAAAUAUGGGGAAAGUUUAUAAAAGUUUGUGAAUGAUGUGAUGGAUGUGAUUGAAAUUAUAUAUUUUUAAAUUGAUAAAAAUGUAAGUUUACAAAUUUAUCCUUAUAUUUAAAACUGGUUAAAAAUUAAUUUGAUAUAUUUAUUUAUAAAUUAUAAUUAUUUUAAUUAAAAUAUUAUUUAAAUAUUUAUAAUUAUAAAUAUUUGAUAAAAAUUUAUUUUUAUAUUAAAUAAAAUUAUUAUUUUUAUCUUUACUUUUUUUAAUUAAUAUAAUUAUUAUUUAAAUUUAUUUUUUUAAUUAUUAAAAUAUAUAUUUAUUUUUAUAUUUAUAAUUUAUUAUAUAUAAUAUGAUUAAUUAUGUUUUUUAUAAUAAUUAUUUUUUUAUAAUCUUUAUAUUUUUAUAUUUAAAUGAUAAUUAUAUUUUAAAUAAAAAUAAUAAUACUUUAAAUUUAAAAUAAAAAGGAUAAAAAAGUAAAUUAAAAUUAAUUAAUUAAAAUAUAUAUAUUUGCAAAUAUUUUAAAAGUAAUAUGAAUUUGGACAAUUAUGAAUUGGAUUUGAGAAUUUAGAUUUUUUGUCCACCCUUAUGUUAUAUUUUAAUAUUUUAAGAUGAUGUUUGGUUAGAGGUCACCAUUUUUAAAAGAAAAUUGAAUGAAGUUAGGUCAAAGUCUCAACAACAAAAAAGUAUAACAACUAUUAUGAAUUCUAGAACUAUAAACAUCCUUUUCAUCUACUUAAGAUUCCAAUUGGAGCAAACCAAGAAAUAAGGGUGUUUGGGUACUAAUGAUGAACAAAUAAAGAAUAAAUUAUUUUUAUGAAAGUUCAAAUGAAGAAGGUGAUUGAGAAUCAAAGAUUUAAAACACUUUAAUUUGACCAUACAAAUGGAGGUGAAGAAUGCUAGUAAAAAAAGGAUAAUUUAUAGUUGAAUAUGGUUAGAUAGGAUGGAAGGAAUGAGAUGACAUAUUUAAACUAAGAGGACAAAGGAACGAAUGGAAAAAUUUUGGUGAAAGGUAACAAAUCAAUUCAAAUUUUGGAAAAAGGAAAGGGUGGUUGACUUCACAAUAGGGUGUUUAAUGGUUCAUAACAAAAGGAAAUCACAACGAGGGAGAUGUUAAAAUUGUUAAAGGAACGAGAGUUGGAAUUCAAGGAGAAACUAGUUUGAUUUUACAAUAGGUACAUGAAGUGCCCCAUAUUAUUUUUCCAUAAAGAUAUAAAGAAGGAAUAAAACAUAAUUGGAUAUGAAAAGAAGACAUAUUUGUGUUUAACAUGAAAACUUUUAUAAAAAAAAAAUACAUGUUUGCAACUUAUGUGGUCAAAUUUGUAUACAUAAUGUUACAUAUGUACUUGGAUUAACAAGAUAGAAUACUAAUAUAAGUCCUUUUAGAGACUAUUACAAAGGAUAAAUGUCUCAUCAAACAUUGUCAUCUUAACUUGGGAGAUUGAUAAGAAACAAAUUAACAUAUUAAAUACAUAUAUCGGUAUAAGAAUACAUAUAUCCUUUCUGCAAUAAAAAAAAAAUAAGAAAUUGGCAGUGUUUUUACAAAGUAAUCUUAUGGGACCUGAGUAAAUGAGUUUUAUUAUGAUAUGAAGAGUGUUAUUAGGAUGAGAAAUUUUGUGAAUGAGAAAACCCACGACCACCACAAGGGCCAUGGAACUUGGGGUUGACUUUGUCAUUGGUGGGAUUCGAAGGUGACCAAGAUGUGAGAGUGACAAUUGUAGGAAAGCUGAGAGGAUCGAGUUGAUGAUGACAUUCAAGACGUUCUUCUUGCACUAGAAGUAGAGCUUCGAUUCAGCCUGGUGGCUCAUGGUAUGCUAUUUGACUGGUUAAAGGCAGAUGUAGGAGCUAGAAUGGUUAAAGGCUGGUUUGGCUGGUUUCAUGCUUCUAAGAGCAAGAAAGGAAGCUUAAGUCUUGAGUCCUAUAAGAGCUCACGUAGCUGGCACUGCCAAGGGUCUAACUCAUGGGUUCAGAGGCAUCAUGUGUCUACAGGCAUGAAGGGUAUCCAAACUAGACUGUGAUCCUGUUUUGAUAAUAUAUGCAGUAGAAUUUUAAGGCCUGGAUGGUGCUAGAAUGGUGAUGUAGAAUGCUGGUUUCGCAUUAUAGUGCAGUAGAUUUCUGCUAUUGUUCUUAUCUGGUUUUGGUUGCUGUCAUAGCCAUCUUAGCUUGAUGCUAGUGGUCCGUUUGGAUGUUGCUCUAAAUGGCUCCAGUAACAGGUUUCGCUUCUCCUGCAGGUCGUAAAGCAGAUUGGAUGUAGAUGUUUCCCAGGAGCUGGUAUAGACUUGUUAACUAGCUUUGGGUUUUUUCCUAAGCUAUAAGGAGGAGAAAUCUCUUUUGUAUAAAGGUUGGGAUACUCCUGAAGUAUCCCCUUUAAAUUUAAUUUAUUCAUUGCUGAUAAAAAAAAAGUAGAGCUUCGAUCUCUUCAACUUUAUAAUGAAUCGGUUCUAGACAGAAUGGAGGCAACAAAAGGAUCAAAAUCAGGAGGGAACCAUCAAGGAUGGUUUCGAAGUGAUAUUCAACAAAUAUAGGUGCAACAACCGCAGCCAACGCAUCCACCGUGCGUUUGAUUUCAAUUUCUUUAUCUAGGCCCGAGUAUGAGAAGAAAAAUAUGUGUGUAACGUCUGCCAGAUCGGCGAUGCAGAGGUAAGACCCACCAUUUGGGUUAAAAUUGGAGUGGUCAUGGACACUAGAAGUCAUGCAACCACCAAAUUAUCUUGUUGUUUGUAAGAGAUGAAGGAAGGAUUGGAACUGACAAUGUCAUCAGCAGCAAAGAGGCAGCGCGAAGGAACGUUAGUUCCGUCAAGAAACGAAGAAAGCAGCAACCCAUCAAUAAUGGCAUGAACCUGUUGUUUCCACAACAACAAAAUUUCGUCAUCCAGUUUGAGCGGAAUAAGAGUAGUAAAGUGAUGCAGAGAGACAGAGGAGCUCUUGGUAGAGAGAGUCUGGGUGGACGAAGAUGAUGGUGGAGAGGAAGGAGCGGGAGCCAUGAAAGAAAAACGAAGAAGAAAAAAAAGAAGAAAACUUUCUAGCUCAUGAUACCAUGUUAUUAGGAUGAGAGAGAGAAAGGAGAAAAGUUCUGAUAUAAAUCUGAUAUAUGUAAUUGUGUUAAUAGAGUAGUUAUUUAUACACAGGAUAACAUAUGGGUACCCUUAAUAAAGAGAUCUCAAUUUUUUUAUUCUUCUCAGUCUUUCAAACUUUUUUAAUUUCUUGGUUAUGCAUCCAUCACAGUCUCUUGAUGGGUAUCAAGUGAGAGAGAUUCACCUGCAAAGAUACUCCAACCAUCAAGUUAGUAACAAAAUUACAAAGUAAAAAAUAUUAGGAUUCUGGUGAUACUUGUGUCCAAGUUAGCUAUUUAUACUGUUAUGAACUAUCAUUAAGGCUUACUUUUGACAUUCUUUUGUUAACCUUUGAAGUUAGUAACAUGAGAUGUUGUAUUCUAACAACAUGCCGAGAGAUCAAUCGGUUUAUCAUUUUAUUUGACAUAGAUUUCAAUACAUGGAGAGGCCGACUUGUUCAUGCAGUAAUAUAUUUUUUUAUGUAAUUUCUCUUACUCUAUUUGGGUUUAUGCUAUGCUAUGAUUGAUCUAGCAUGUGCUUGCAUAAGGAUAACAUUUCACAUUUUCUAUAACAUUCUUGGUGGUCAACAAUCUAGCUCCACAUGAAUAACAUAAAUUUUUAGAGAACGAAGAGCCAAAUAUCAUUCAGGUUAUUGAUCUUACUAUGAGGUAGUAGACAGAUGCAAUUGUAUAGGACAUUCACUAAAAAUAGUAAUGAAUCCUUGUAUGCUUCGGAACACUUUAUAUAACUUCUUACAAGCGAUUCAUCCCACAAUUUUGAAGGCACCCAAAACUCACAUAACUGAAUGAAACACAUCAAUGAUUUUAUUUUUUCUGAUAACGCAGAAUUACUAAUUACACAACUUACUUUCUUUUUAUGCCUGCAAUCUUAUUUGGAAUACUUCACUUCUUAAUAUACUAUAUACGAGGAGAUGCAAGUGCCACAAGAGGUAGUUUUCUAUGAACAGUUAAUCCAGUAGUUUCAGACAUGCAAAAUGUCUGGUCCCCCACAUCUCCAUCAGGCACAGUCCAAUCAAAUUGGUGCACAAUGUUUGCAAGAACCAACUCAUUCACAACCAUGGCAAAAGCUAUUCCUGGACAACCCCUUCUUCCUGCUCCAAAUGGAAUCAAUUGGAAAUCAUGUCCUUUGAUAUCUAUUGAACUAUUCAAGAAUCUUUCUGGUUGAAACUCUAGAGGUUGAUCCCAAUACAAAGGGUCAGUUGAAAUUGCCCAAGCAUUGACUAGUACUUGUGUGCCAAUUGCAAUGUCAUAGCCCAUCACUUUGGUGUCUUGCAUGGAUUCCCUUGGAAUCAAAAUGGGAGAUGGAGGAUGCAGUCUAAGAAUUUCUUUAAUCACUGCUUUUAAGUAAGGCAUGUCACUCAAAUCCUCCUCAGUUACGUGAUUCUUAGCCCUAGCCACGCUUCUCACCUCAUCUUGUAAUUUUUGCAUCACAUUUGGGUGUCUCAAGAGCUCUGUCAUAGCCCAUUCCAGGACUGCAAGGGUGGUAUCAGUUCCUGCACCAAACAUAUCCUGAAACCAAAGAAUCAAACAUCAAUACAUAUAUGCUUAAUAAUUAAUGACUUCAUUGGUAACUAUAAAUCGUUCAGAUUUCUAGGAUAGUUAUUAUUCAAAUUAUCAAACUUGUUACAUGUUAGUUUAUAUUUUGAUGAUAAUGUAAGAAAAACUUAUAUAUAUGCCAUUAGAAACCAUCUUGUGUCCUGUCAGAAUCACACAGUACAAGGUAAAACCAGACAUAGUAUGAAUACAUAUGUUAUUAUCAGAAGUUUAUGUUAUGUGAGAUAAAAAAGAGCAUAAAGAAAGAAAUAAAGGAUUGCAUUGCCUUAUUAUAUUCAGUAUGAAAAUCAACUUUCAACCCAAGAUGGCAUCUUAAGAAUUUAACAGAGAAGAAUAAGACAAUUAAUUGUGUUUAGCUUCUGACUCUUUCUUUAUGUUGUAUUUUUCUUUGUAAGAAAUCACUUUUCUAUUCAUUGAUGUGGUGGUACAAGAGCCACAUGAGUUUUCAAGUCCUUUUUGACAUGUUAAUUUAAAAAUGUUAAAAAAUGAACAAGAUCUGACAUCAUUGUUCAGUCAGUUUCUCUCUCCUACUCAUUGGGUCCAACCCUUGUCCUCAUUCAUCAAUGCAAUCUUUUAUUAGUUAAUCUUUUAUUCCGUUUUUUUUUUAUCAGCAGUCUUUUACUGCGUACAAAUCUAAGCUUUUCAUAACAAAUAGCAGAGUCCAGAUCUUUAGUUUUGUGGACGAAACUACACCAGCAGCAUGUAGUAGGUAUGCAAUUUAAAAGAAGGCAAAACAAAUUAAUUUUUAGGUAUUAUAUUUUUUAUUUAAUUGUUAAUUUUAAAUUCAAAAUACCAUUAAUUUCUCUUUUAUUAUUUAUUGGUUGAUUAUUCACCUAAUAUUUAAUUAUAUAUAUAUAUAUAUAUUUAUUGUAAUGUUGAAUUAAAAAAUAUAAUAGAAAAAAUUUAAAUAACUUAUAAAUCUCUUAUAUAUAUGAUCAAUUUGUAUUUUAAGUAUCUAACUAAUUUUUACUUCAAAUUAGAUAUCUGUAAAUUAAAAACAAAAUUAUUUAAGGCUUUUAUGCCUAUUUAUUUCUAUUAUAUAUGUAUGUUUUUCUUACUAAGAUAAUCACCAUAUAACAAAAAAUCAUAUAAACUUUAUUAUGAUAAAAAAAAAAUAAGUUAAAACACCAAAAUAAAAAGAUAAAAAUAUUACAGAGAUCGUUUAAAUGAGUUAAUAUAAUGUUAUCAAUUAAAUAUAAAUAAAUAUUUUUUUCAAGGACUUCAAUUCAAAAAAAUUAAAUUAUUAAGUAUUUAUUUUAAGAUAAACUAUUAUAUAUUAUAAAAAAAAUUCUUAUUAAAGAUCUCAAAUUUCUUUAAACCAAAUAAUUUUUAUUAAAAAUAAUAAAAAAUUAUAUUUUUUAUUUAAAGAAACUUUACACCACCCUUGAAAAGAUGAAGUGGGGAUAAUAUUUAAAAUAAAGACAGUUCGACCAUCUAUCUUGCAUUUUAUUAAUAUUCAAUUAUUUAUGAUUUUGUUAAUCUUUUUUAUUUAAUCAAAUUAUUUAGAUGGUGAUAUUUUGACAUUUACUAAAUAAAAAAUAUUCAUUUAUUAUAUUAUUAAAGUAGGUUCACAUUUCUUAAAAAACUUACAUCUAAUUUAUAAUCCAUUUUAAUAAUAUAAUAAUAUAUAUUAAAAUUUUAAAUUAAAAAAUAAAAUAAAUAUAAUUAAAAUAUUAUUAUUUUGAAUCGUCAAAAACAAGUGUGUUUUAUGUGGUCACCACUCUAUUAUUUAUCAUAUCCAUACUUUUUUUUCUUUUGUUUCUCACUUUCUGGUGAUGUAGGACAUAUAGGUUGAGAAAAAUUUUAUAAGCUUAAGAUCAUAAUUAAUUCAUUUAAAAUGCACUGUUAAUAUAUUAACAAUCAUACAUUAUAUUACAACUACACUAUAUUACAAUUAAAAAAAAUAUUAAAUAUAAAUUUCAUAAAAAAAAUAAAAAGUUUGAAAAUUAUAUUAUUUCAUAUCACAAUUAUAAAUUGACGCAUUCUAUCAACAUCCAUUAAAAAGAUUCGAUCAUGACUUCGUAUUAUGAUAAAACAUGUAUAAAAAUCACAAGAACUGACAACAUUUUUCAUUCAAAUUAUAAACAUGCCAUUUAUCUACUAAAAUGUGUAAUAAAUAAUACUGAUAUGCUAGCAAAACACUCAAUAAGAACUAAUACACAAGCAGUGAUAGAUAUAUCUUACCAUGAUCAAAGCCUUCAUGAUAGUCCUAUCAACCUGAAAAUCUGUAGUGGAGCUAGUUUUCUGAAUCUCCAGCAAGAUCUCCACAAAAUCAUUCUGCUUAUCAGCAUUAACACCAUCACCAUGGCUUCUCACACCAACAUGUUCAUCAACAACCUCUUCCAAAAAAUCAUUGAGCUGUUUAGCCACUCCCUUUGCCCUACCAUACAUUCCAUUAAUUCUUCCCACCCAAUCAAGCCAAGGUAUAUAGUCCCCUAUAACCGAUGCCCCCAGAAACUCUUCCAACUGGCUCAUUGGCCCCCUAAGCACACUCCCUUCAUAUCUCCUUCCAAUAACACUCCUACACACUAUAUCAUUCGUCACAUCAGAGAGCAAAUCAGUUAAGUUCACUGGCUUCAAACAUGCACAACUCUGCAUAAUUUUCUCUAUCAUUACCACAACUUCCUCUUCCCUCACUUUACGAAAGCCCUGAACCCUUUUCGUACUCAGAAGAUGCAAGACACAGAUACUCUUCACCUGCCUCCAGUAGUGGCCAUAUGGAGCAGAGGCUACGUCUCUGGAACCAUACCAGAAGAUAUCAAACAUCUUACGAUGUGGUCUGUUACAGAACACGUGGUCUUGGUUUUUCAGAAUCUCGCGUGCUGCUUCAGUGUUUGAGACCACAAGAACUGGCACCUUCCCAAAGUAAAGCAUCACUAGAGGGCCAUAGGUUUGAGCAAAGGAUUGGAGAGUGUGGUGAGUGAGGUUGCCAAGUUGGUGUAGGUUUCCUAUUAUUGGAAGCUUUGGAGGAGAUGGAGGUAGCUUUUUUGCUGAUUUGGAAUUCAGUUUGGAUAGAAGAUUGAAUAUGGUGGGAAAGGCUAGCAAGAUGAAGAAUGCUAGCAUGGGAAUGAAGAACCACAAGGAAAUGGUUCCAUUCAGAAAAUUCGUCAUUGGCUUCUACUUCAAGAUUAUGUUCAGUCGUGGAUUUUGUAAUAAUGUGCUGUAAUGUGUUGGCUUGUUUCACAAGGGAUACAUAUAUUGCUAAAAAAAGUCAUGAUGGGAAGUUGAAUAAAGAUGCGGAGCACUUGGGACCAUAAGAUUGACUUUAUGCUUCUCCCAAUCUAUCAAUGAGAUAUGUAACUCACUCCGAGUAUGUAACCAAUCAUGAAAGAUAUAUAAGCAUGUCACUUUAGUUUAGUAAAGAUAAAAGAAAUUUUAUACUCGAUUUUAUAAAGGUGGAGUUAAAUUUAAAUUCAGUCUAGCGAAAGUUAGUUGAAUUUAUCACUAUCGAACUAUCCAUAAAUAUAUAAUUUCACACACGAGUUGAUAGUCUCAGCACGAUAAGGUAUAUUAAAGAUUACACAUCGACUAGAUAUAAAAAUAUUUUAUAAUAUAUAAUAUUUACAAACCUUAACUUUGAACCCGUUUUAUAAGUUUAAAUUACACUUCAAGUUCACUUAAUAAAUAUUUUUAUGAAGUAAAUUAAUGUUAUUUUAUCAACAUAAUCUCCCUUCCUUAAACAUUUAGGUCUUCAUCAUGUCUACUCACAUAAAUAUAAUGAAAUUAUUAAAUAAAGAUGGAUGAAUUAUUCCUUUUGUGAAUAGUCUUUUUGUUGCCUAAAGAAUAUAUGUAUUAAUAAACAUAACACGUAAAGAGUAUUUAACCCUUUUAUACAUGUUUUAUGUAACAUCCCAUAAAAUACAUCUAACUAUUACAAUACAAUUAGUUCUACAGAUUUUUACACAAACUUUUUAAAAAUAUUUCUAUUCUAAGAUGUUUACUUAUAGAAAUACAAAUAUUAACAAUAUAAGAUUUAAAAACUACAUCUUAAAGCCCUCCAGAACCUCCGACACAUAUACGAUCAUCUGCUCAUGUACAUAAUACAGUCAUCGCAGUUCACAACACAUUAAGCUAGUGAAAAUAAAGUUUUAUAAUAUACACGAUUAAAUCAAAAGAGAAAACCAAAUUACAUGGAUCAAUUUAUCAAUUAUUCAAUCUUCUUCAAAUCCCAACAUAAAACAAUCACAUAAAUCUCACAUGGAUCUACACAUCCAUGAUAUUCAACAAACAACGUCUUCCGGAAGAUCCAUAUUAAGUAAGUCCUACCAGAGACUAACACCUGAUCCAAAAAUUACCAAGAAAUCCAAGAGAAAUGAUUAGGGUAAGUUCAAUACAAUCCAAGUCGUGUAUCUCAUAUGUCACGAUGUACAUGAAAUCCUCCAUCAGCUUCUCACCACCCCACCUGAUAUGUCUAUAUGACUUAGAUCAUCAGUGAAGCUCGAAGAUCUCCGAUACCACAUAGACAUCAAUACUUAAUACACAAACAAACAUUAGUCCAUACAUUAUCCCAAAUGUAUGAAUUCAAUUCCAUACCAUUUUCAUCAUACAGUAUCAUUUAAAACACGAUCCAGAACAUUCAAAAGUCUUAUUAACAUAAAAAAACAACACUUAAAUAUUAAACCAUCAAAAUCCAAUAUUUCUACAAGUUUAAAUAAUAUAUAAAUAAAAACACAAUAUAUAAACACGCAACAUCCCUACAAGAGAAAUUAAAUAUAUAGAUUACGUUCCCUUCACAUCCAGAUCUUCUAGCCUAGGUGCUAUUAAAAAUUUAAGUUAGCUUCCCUUACCUGAAAUUUCACUGAUAGAAAUUUCACCUCAAACAGAGGAACCACUCCAAAAUUUAGGAACCUAUAACAAGUUAUCCAAAUAUUACCAAAUUUUAGUUUAUAGUAAAAGAAGUUGAGAGGAACACUUUUCUCACUUGUCCCCAUCGGGAUUGAUGACUAAAUCACAGAGAAAAACCUAGAAUAGAAGAUCUUUAGAAUAAAAAUGAACUCACUUUGUUUGAAAAUCUGAUUGGCUAGAAAUCUAGCCUGACUCUUUAGCUACAGUAUGGCGUGAUCAGAUUUUGGAAUAGAUGAGAUAUGGGAGAGAAAAUGAAGAGAGAAGGGAGAGAUGAGAAGUUGGGAGAACUACAAAAAAAAAUAAGAAUCAUCUAUGAAUUUUUAACCACGAAUAUGAAUCCAUAGGUAAAUUCAGCAUUACCUACAGACAAUAUUAUCUACUAAUAUUACCCACAGAUCUGAAUUCGUAGGUAAAUUUAGCAUUACCUACCAAUUAUUACCCACAAAUCUCUAUUAUCUACCAACUAUAACGAAUCUCUAUUACCUACCAAUUAUUACCCACAGAUCUUUAUUACUAACAACUUUUAUCCAUAGAUUUCUAUUACCUACCAACUAUUACCUACAAAUCUCUAUUACCUACCAAUUAUUAUCAUAAUAAUUAUAUACAUAAUAUUUAAAAUAUUAUUAUAAUAUGAAUAAUUAUAAAAUUAUAACUAAUAUUCAUAAAUAAUAAUAAUCAUAGAUAUACAUAUUAUUAAUAUUAUAAAAUAAAUAAUAUUAAUAUAAUAAUAUAAAUAAUAUUAUUAGUAUUAUAUUAAUAAUAUGAAUAAUAUUAUUAUUAAUAAUAUGAAUAAUAUUAUUAUUAAUAAUAUGAAUAAUAUUAUUAUUAAUAAUAUGAAUAAUAUUAUUAUUAAUAAUAUGAAUAAUAUUAUUAUUAAUAAUAUGAAUAAUAUUAUUAUUAAUAAUAUUAAUAGUAUUAGCAAUAUUAAUAGUAUUAAUGAUAUUAAUAAUAUGAAUAAAAUUAAUCAUAUUAUUAAUAAUAAUAUUAAUAAUAUUUGUUAGUAUUAAUAAUAUUUGAUAGUAUUACUAAUAUUUGAUAGUAUUACUAAUAUUUGAUAGUAUUACUAUUAUUUGAUAAUAUUACUAUUAUUUGAUAAUAUUAGUAAUAUUUAAUAAUAUUAAUAAAUUAAUAAUAUUAGUAAUAUUUAGUAACAUUAAUAAUAUUAAUAACAUUAUUAUAAUAAUUAAUAAUGUUAUUAAUUUGAAUAAUAAUAAUAUUAAUGAAAUUAAUAAUAGAAAUGAUAUUAAAUAUAUGAAAUAUAUUAAUAAUAUUUAUAUUUUUAAUUAUAUUAAUAUUGAUAAUCAUUUUAAUAAGUAUAAUAAUAAUAUCAUGAUAACAAAAUUUGAUUGGUUUAAUGGUUGAAGAUUUUUUGGUCAUUCCUCAAUAAACUUGGUUUCGAGUCCCAAAUUGGGUUCUUUUUAAGAAAUUCAAUGAAAAUGUUUUUUACUUUUUGCUCUUGAAAAAUUGGCAAAUUGAACUUAUAUUUGCUACUAUCAAACAUCAAUAUUUUGUUCUUCCAUUUCAAACAUAGUCAAAUAUCAAUAAUUCAAUUAAAAUAAAAAUCAAAUAUCAAUAUUUUUCUAUUUCAAAAAUAUUAAACAUAAAUACCGCUACAAUAAACAUAGUUGGAGCAUUGAAAUGAAUAAAAAAUAAAAACUGAUUUUUUUUUUAAUCCAACUUGUCUUAUCAUUAUCAAGUCAACAUACAAACUUUUUUUAAAUAAGUCAGCGGACCAGCCAUUCCGCCCAACUGUUUGUACGCACAAACUCAAAUUAUGCAAGACGGAUUAAAGCGGAUCAGCAGAUUGAAAAAUGAAUCCAUCCAGCAUUUUUACUAGCGGGUUAUGAUUGCCCACCCACCCACUUUGCUAUCCCUAAAAAAAUUAUGAAGGAAGGGGUGGCGGCUGCUCUGUUGUGUUUUACGGGAUUUACACUUUAUGAAUCGUUAAACUUGCAUCCUUCCUAGAACUUUCACAUAAUUACUCACUUUAGUUUUUCAAACUUUUCAUGUGUGCCAACUUAACUUUGACCCUUUUUUUUCUAUGGAGGCAAAAGUAAAACUUAAUAAAUAAUGAAUCUAUUUUUUUCCCUUCAUUCUCUUCCAAUGCAAACAAGAAUUAUUGGUUUACAAGUGUGAAAAGAUGCACAAAAAUACUCAAAUUUUAUUUAUUUUACUUUAGACUUAUGUGUUGUCUUAAUUAAGAUAUUCUAGUUGCAUCCUUUUCUCACAAGGAAAUGGCAUGGCGGCAACCUGUUGAAGUGGCCAUAAAUGUUUUGUUUCCACAUAUCAAAUCACGUCUCCUUAUUAUAACGAAUGAUUGAAGGUAGUUGUCCCCACUACGUACUAACGGAUAAGGAAGUAUCUUUUUAGUGUGUACUGUUAAGAUAUCAGCACACUGCUAAUUUAACCCAUGCCUUGUUGCACUAUUAAAAUUUUCUUCUCAUUAUUCUCCCAUUAAUGUGUUUAGAUGAAGAAAAUAGAGCUUGAAUAGGAAUGGAUUGACCUUGAGGACUGAAGUGAAAACUGUUCAAAAAAUAGAAGGUGCUUUUGCAUCUAUUAUCAAAACCCAUCUUUCUUAUUAUUGUAGUCUUUUCCUUUCUUGCACAAUCACUUUCGUUAGUAUCUUCUUCAACCGCCUCAUUAUUGACAUAUAUUAAAGAUCUUUCUUCUCACUUGUGUUCAAAUGUUACAAAGAAAAUCGUAUAUAGUAGCAGAAACUUUACCAGAAUAAUCAACACUUAAGAGCUUAGAUAACAUCCCAAAAUAUUACAAGAAUAAUAAACUUCACAACUACUUAAGAUUGUUUAGCUAUCUUUGGCAGAACGAUCCAAAGUAAGCUCAUUAAUUCAUUACUACAAUAUUGAGAGUAGAUUGCAUUAUUUUCCUUUCAAGUUAUUUUCUAUAUCUUUAACAUUCACUUCUUAUUCAUGAUGGGAUGCAAUUGCCAUGAGAGGGAAUUUUCUGUGACUGCUCAACCCUGUAGUUUCAGUCAUGUCCAGUGUCUUAUCUCCCACUACUCCACUAGGCACUUCCCAAUUAAACUGAUGAACAAGGUUUGCUAGGACCAGCUCAAUCUCAUUCAUGGCAAACAUUAUUCCUGGACAACCCCUCCUUCCUGCUCCAAAUGGUAUCACUUCAAAAUCAUGUCCUUUCACAUCUAUUGAACUAUUUAAGAACCUCUCUGGUUCAAACUCUUCAGCUUUGUCCCAAUAAGAAGGAUCUCUUCCAAUUGCCCAAGCAUUCACUAUUGCUUGUGUACCAGCUGCAAUGUCAUAGUCCAUCACUUUUACAUCUUCCAUGGAUUCCCUUGGAAGCAACAAGGGACCUGGGGGAUGUAAUCGAAAACUUUCUUUAACCACUGCCUUCAAGUACUGCAUGCUACUUAGAUCUUCCUCUGUUAUGUGAGUUCUACCAUUAACCACAUUCCUUAUCUCACAUUUUAACUUCUGCAUCACAAUUGGGUACCUUAAGAGUUCUGUCAUUAUCCACUCUAGGAUUGAGGAGCUGGUGUCAGUACCUGCCACAAACAUAUCCUGAAAAAAAUACCCAUCAACUAUCAAUUUCAUUGUCUAUACCUUGAAUUUUCCAUGAACGAAAAUAAACUCAACAUGUAUUAAGAUUUUGUAGAUGUGAUUUAACUUUUGCUCAGAAAAGUAAGUAUAUAUAGCUUUUGCUAGAGAGAUAUUAGAAAACUAACUUAGUGUUUGACUCUGCAAUAGACUCUACUAUGAAGUGAAAUUCACGUAAGAUUUCUUAAACAAGAAGUAAAACCUAAUGAAACAGAUUCAUUCACUGAAACCCAAAUGAGUUCACCAACUAGUUUUCAAUCAAAGACAUAAUUUCUAAUAUUGUAUGAAUGUUAGACAUACAAAAUUAAAGACUAAGCCACUUUGAUUUUUAAGAUUUGUAAACGCUAGUCACCUUAUAAUAAAACUUCCACCAAACCUUUUGGUUUAGUCCCUAGCUGAUUUGUGAAAUCUCUAUUACUUUUAGUGUUUUCUCACAUCAUCUUUGACUUUAAGGAUUGAACUGCAUGAUGCUUCAGCAAAAUAAAGAUUCUAUUAAGUUAGAAAGUAGAGUAGCUGUCUAGAGAAUAUUAGGAACUAAUUAAUGAGGGAUAACACAUUUGUUCUAAUCUUGCAUACCAGGAUCAAAGCCUUUAUGGUUGUUCUAUCAAUCUCAAACCCCGUUGCGUUUUGCUCUUGGAUCCUCAGCAAAAUGUCAACGAAAUCAUUCUGCUCUUCAUCAUCAUCACCAUGCACAUGACGCACUCUCCUACUUACAUGCUCAUCAAGAACUUGAUCAAAAAAUUCAUCAAGCUGUUUAGCCACUCUCUUUGCCCUACCAUACAUUCCAUUAACGCUUCCCAACCAAUCAAGCCAAGGUAUGUAGUCCCCUAUAACUGAAGCACCCAACAGCUCCAUCAUCUCAUUCAUUGGCUCCCAAAGCUUACUCCCUCCUUCUCCACUGUAUCUCCUUCCGAGAGCAGCUCUACACACUAUGUCAUUUGUGAGUGUAGUAAAUAAAUAACU
rnacentral:lncRNA from 1 species